rnacentral:lncRNA from 1 species
GAGAAGGGGUGAAAGGAUUCACCCGUCUUCGACGUGUUUCCGGUGGCAAUUCCUGCCGCCGGUGGGUUGUUUUUGGGACCUUCCGCGGCCCAUAAGGGGGUUAAGAAGCGAAGCAAUUCUCAUCUCUCUGCAUUCGCAGCUGCGGCAGUAGAGGAAGGCAAAGAAACAAGGGCUUUCACUAGGGUUGGCCAGCUAAACCAACGAGAGCUCUCUUGUCGCCUCUCUUCUCUAAUUUCUUGCCUAGUUCCUCAGGUGGGCAAAUAUAGAGUCGAUGUAGGGUAAAAUGGUCAAUUUAGAUUGUCCUCCGGCUCUUCAAUCUGACGGCUGUGACCCGCUUGAUGGAAGGAUUACGUGUCAAGAUCGUCGAUGGGUACUAACUGCAGCGUUUGGAUUAUGUGAAUGAUUGGGCGAGACACGUGUGCGACACAUGCGGUAAACGAGCAGAGGUAAGCGAGUAAAACACUUUGAAACCAACUUGUUGUGUUAUCGAAAUUACUUUUUUGUCCUUCUUGUCACCAUGUUUUAUAUGUACAUAAUAUUUAUAUUAAGGCACAGAAUAGGAAAAAAAAAUUAUUAUAUUAGUAAUACAUAUAAUAUGAUGCAAUUGUAGUCCAAGAAAAAGAUGACAAUUACAGAAGUGCCACGUCUACGAUGUGGGUGGAAUUGAGGUGGGGGCAACAUCGUCAACGUCUAAAGUUUGUGCAAUUUUGGGAAUGUAUGAUGGCAAAGGUUGAAUGAGGAUGUAUGUGACCAUGCUGGCUAGUUUAAUCGUAAAAGCAUCAAAGUUCUCUUUGACAAAAAAAAAAAAUAAAUAAAUAAAUAAAGGACAACCUUAAUGGAAGAAAGUAGUACUUAUAAUUUUAUAAAUUUCAUUUAGAGAUUGUUUGGGUAAAAAAUAGUUGCGAAUUUGACUGGUUUUAUAGUUAGUGUUAUACAAGUCAACGAACAAUUCAUUGGUGAAAUUUCAAAAGCUGAAAUGUUCAAUGAAUUGUGAGAUGAUAUUCAAAUUCAUGGUGUUGUCUUAUCAAAUUCUUUUCUAAACUUUUUUGAUCCGUUGCUAGCACCAUUGUGAAACUUGUAAUUAAUUUUUGGGAUAAUUUCAGAAAUCUCCCCAGAAGUUUCUGACAAAGUUCCUGUGAGGUUUGAAAAAUUACAUAUAUCUCCGUUGUCAUUUAAAAUGACAAUACUACCCUUAAAUAUUUUAAUAAAAUUCUGUUGUUUGAUAUGCUUAUAUUUAGAAUGACUUUAAAAUAAUUUUUUUCAUUCUUUUUCCUUUUUAUUUUAAUUUUUUACCAAUAAAAUUAUAAAAUUACCACUAUUAGUACAUGCAUCUAUGAUUAACCGAGCAAAAUUAGAAUUAACCAUUUGAAAUCAAGAACAUGGCCUUUAACCAUGUUGGGCUGCAAACUUGGAAAGCAAACAUUUGUUGGCUUAGUGUAUAGCAUGUAGCAGGUAUGGAGGAGGAACAUAGUAUCUGAAGCUAGUUAAUCAUUAUUUGCUUGAUAUAGAUGUCGAGUAUAGAAGAUCCGGAGCCAUUAAUUAAGGUUUAUGUUGAUAUGUUCUUCAUUUUGCCUGGGCAUUCUUUUUUUUUUCUUCUUUUACUUCUUCAGGGAGAGGGGCUGGCUGAGGUAAGGACAGGGAAGAGUGAAUAACCUUUGGCUGCAGUUCAAUUUGUGUUCGAUUUUCACCAUUUAAAAGUUACACAAGGCACAAGUAGCGUCAAAGUAAGCAAGUACAACAAAAAGCAUGUAAUGACUUGAGAAAUUGAAAUAUCAAAGAUUUGGGAGAUUCAACUUCUGAUUUCCCUGCGCAACAGGUAAGGCACAAAAGACAGAACAAGUUACAGAAAUAGCCAAACGAAGUUGCACGAAUCCAGGACCUAGUGGACUAGUAUUGGCAUAUGAACAAAGAAAAUUUGAAGGAAAGCAAGGUAUCAAUUUAUCAUUCCCUGUCUUACAUGCAUGGCUGCAAAUAUAAACGACGAUGGUCCAAAUGGUCCACCGCAGUGCGCUGCAGAUUAUGUCUCUCACAAGUGUCAUGCUGCCCACUACUAACUUGCACCAGGGACCAGAAUCUAGAAGUGAAUACUUUGUUACAGAAGAAAGAACGACGAACGCAUAAAAAGUGAGGAUGAGAGACAUUGCCAAUUCUAUUCAUAAUCUUGCGAGUUCUUAUUUAUUGUCCGCCAUUGUGCUUCAAUCAUCUAUGAAAAUGCUUCCAAAUCAUCAAAAAGUUUGUGAAGAAACAGAAUGGAAAUAUUUGAAUGGAAACCGUGCUACUGCACAAUAGAACGUCGUACAUUUUGCGUUUUAACUCAGAAAAUGAAAGAGAGACGAGUUUCUUCAAGUGAGGGUGGUAUGAAGAGAAUUUUGAACUCAAGAAGAAAAACCUGUGCACAUAAAUUAGGUCCUCCUCCCACUAAAAUGAGAAGGCAAAUAAGAAACAUGGAAACAUUUCAAUGGAAUCCAUACUACUGUACAACCUCUUAAUGGAAGCAAGCACAGAGCUCAUAACAAAAAUUAACAGAUAGGUAAAUUUGCCAAGAAGUGAACUUUUCAUUUUUUGUAAAUUUUUGGCUCAAUCUCUAUGAAACAGGUUCAAUGUCCUUCAGGAGCCCUACUACUUGUUGCAUACUUGGUCGCUUUGAGGGAAGGUCAGCAGUGCACAAAUAUCCAAUCUUCAGAGCUUCCACCAUUUGAGUCUCUAGUCCAGUACCAUGGAUUUUUGGAUCAAUAGCUCUUGACCCUACAUUCUUCCUCACUAAUCCUCUCACCCAACUAACUAAAGUUGCUUCCUUUUCAUCUGGAUAAUCAUCGUCUACAGGCUUUUUCCCAGUGAUCAGCUCAAAAAGAAUGACUCCAAAUCCAUAGACAUCAGACUUAGGUGUUGGAUUCUUAGGGGAUCCAAUCUGUGGGUCAAGAAAUUCUGGCGGCACAUAUCCUGCAGACCCACGAGCAAUCUCAUCCUCCAGACCAUUGCCAAAAAUUUUAGCAAGUCCGAAAUCAGAUAAUCUUGGUUCCAAAUUCAGAUCAAGAUAGACACUGCUUGCUUUGACAUCUCGAUGUAUAAUAGGAGGAGAACAGCCAUGGUGGAGAAAUGCCAGCGCACGCGCUGUGCCAAGUGCAAUUUUGUACCUAAAUCUCCAAGUUGUUAACAAUCCUUCGGAGCCAAUGUUUUGAAUGGAAUUGUUAUCAUCUUCUUCCCACGUGUCUGUGCUCCAGUCUUCUGUAGCUUGAACCCCCAGUGGGAGGUCAUGAAGCAAAUUUUGCAAGUUUCCAUUCUCCAUAUAGUCAUAUAUAGCAAUCCUUUGCUCUCCAGCCAAGCAGUAUCCAGUCAAUGGGACAAGAUUGGGAUGUUUUAUUCGACCAAGAUACUCAAGCUCUCUAGCAGCUUCUUGGUCAGUCAUGGUCGAUCCAUGAACCAAAACUUUGACAGCUACAUGAAUCCCACCAGACAAGAAUCCUCUAUACACUGGUCCAAACUUACCUUCAGCCAACAAUGUGCCACGGUCAAAAUGAGAAGUUGCAGACAAGAGGUCUGCAAAUGUGAAAUUCAACAGAGGCUUUUCAAAUAUAACUACUGGGACAGAUGUUGCUUGCUUAACAUCGGCAACCCAAGUGGUUGAAUCCGUCUGGAAUGAAAAGGGGCCAGAUAUAUUCUGUUCUUCUUUGUAAGAAUUCUGUUUCACUUCCCACAUUCUGGUUUUCCUUCGACAACCAAAGGCUAAAAACAGCAAUCCCAAAAGCAAAAAGACCAUGGAGAUGGUUAACACCACGGCAAGCUUGAGGCCCCGAUGCUUUUGAGUUCUUCUCUUGAAAAGAUCAGGAUUUGCGGCAAUUGGACAGCUGUUCAAUGAGCCGAUGAAAGCUGAAUUGAGGGUUUCAGGGGAGAAUUCUGAGGCACAAAGGGUAAGGUUGUUGUAAGAGAAAUUAAACCUCUCCAUCCAUGGUAGCUUGUCUAUGAGCUUCAUUGGGAUGUCACCACUUAUAUUGUUAUAGGAAAGAUCUAGUACUUGGAGUUUUUGGAUGCUUAAAAGAGGAAUAUGGCCACUAAGAUGGUUCCUAGAGAGAUCAAGUGUCUUCAGAUUACUCAACAUCGAAAUUUCACCAGGCAUUUCGCCAAUCAAAUUACUUGCAGACAAAUUCAGAUACUCUAAACCAGAAAGCAUACCAAUGUGCAGCAACUGUUCUUUGGAAAAUCUGUUGUGUGCAAGAUUAAGGUGUCUGAGAUUCUGAGCUUCAUUUAAGUCGUUGAAAAACUCUCCACUAAGCUGAUUCUCAGAUAAAUCCACAUAAACCAAGCGAGACAAGCUGAAACUGGAGAUAGAAUUUACCUGAGAAAUGUGACCUUGAAACUGAUUUCUGCUCAAAUCAAGCACUUCCAAUGGCCCCUCAAAAAGACCAACAACUGAACCUUGAAAAUAGUUUCCUGAAAUAUUGAGAUAGGUAAUUGAUGUCAGCCCCAAAAAAUCUGAUUCUUUUCCAGUGAAGCCAUUUCCAGCAAUGUUCAAAUAUCUCAACUUUGGAAAUGAAGCACCAAAACCAUCACGAAGAGAACCAUUGAACUUGUUCCCCGAAAGAUCAAGCGAAACCAAAGAACGGCAUUGCAGGAUCCCCAGAGGCAUGCUAAACUCAAACCCAUUUCGGUCGAGUUUUAGAACUCGUAAGCUUCCAAGGGAGCUUAUAGCUUCAGGGAUACUGCCAGAAAAUUGGUUAGAAGAAAGGUCCAAGAUUUCAAGUUGGCCAAAAUUACCAAUGUUGCUAGGAAGGUCCCCUGAAAGAUAGUUAAAUGAAAGAUUAAGGCUCUUGAGUGAACCUAAACUCCAAAAAUCAGAAGGCAAACCAGUGAUUUUAUUAUUGCUCAGAUCCAAAGAUUCAAGCUUUACAAGUUUGCCAAUGGUAGAAUCAGGGAUUACACCCGAAAGACCCCACCCUGAAGCUACCAACUUGACAACAUUUUCUUCAUUGGCAGCACAAAAGACACCAGGCCAUGAACAAAAGGGGGCAGAAAAGUUGUAGAUAUCGGAAGAAUUUAAACCCAUUUUCUGCAAGAAAUCAGAGACAAAGGAUUCAUCUGUAUUGGGUUGCUGACAAACCAAAGGCCUGAAGAACAGUGUUAGAAUAAAAAAAGAGCUAAAAAAACUAAAACCCAUUUGGAAAUGAGGCCUUAAACUAGCAACCAAGAAACAGAAAAAAAGGUAAAAAACACCAGCAGAACUCCCCCCAAAGUCACUUCAAACGACUAAUCUUUUUUAGCCUCUCUGCAGCAUAAAGGGCAGUGAAAGAUCACUAUUUUUUCUGACUUCUGGAACACCAACAUUAAUUCCAUAACCACCCCCCAACCUCUCAACAGAAACUCCAGUGAGGAAGUGGUAUUCAGCUUUCAAGGGAAUAUUACCACUGGGCAAAAGGAACCAACCACUUUUGCCUCAACUUUGUGGUGGUCUUUUUGUGCCCAUAACCCCAGAAAGUGCAGUGAGCAGCACAUGACUGGAGACUCUUUAUCAAGAACAAAAAUGGGAUUUUAUUAUUGUUUUCCCUGAGAGAGGGAACAAAAGUUGUAAGUGUAUGGGGAUGGUCUUGAGAGAAUGAACGUGAGCAUUGUUUCUUCUGGGCUUGCAGUUUCACUCAAUUACAAGGGGGACAGAAAACCACCACUAAAAGCGGUUUUGUUUAAGUCAAAAUCAAGACUGGCUCACACAAUUAUCCCAAAAGAAACAAAUAUCAAACACUGAAAGAAAUUUGCCAGACUACCUUAAAACAAGCGAGAGUGAACUCAGUGAAAUGGGGUGUUGUUUGUUGGGAGGAGAAAAUUGACAGUGCUGUACGGCUGUAUGGAGUGGUGAGAAGUUGGGCUUAAUAAAUGACAAAGGAUUGAAAGAAAAUGUCUUUUUGGUUGGUGGAAUUUAUCAAAGGGCUGUUGGCAAAUGAUUCAAUUAUUUUUUUCCCCCACAUUUCUGAUAAGAACAAUGCAUUGAUUCUGCAUUUAAGAUAGUGGCAUCUGUUUCCAAAAUAAAUCCCAUCAAUUAGUCCCUUUUGGUGAAGUAAUUUUGGGGAGUCAAUAAAGAUGUGGCAAAAAGGACAAAAUAAAACUACUUUUCAUUGCUAUAUCUACCGGUUAGAAUUCUCUACAAUUUUUGUUAGGCAAGCAUAAAUUUAGAAUUGUAGAUAUUUUUUAGACAAAUUGCAAAUACCACUGUAUUAUCUAAUUAGAUAACAAGUACAAAAUUUUGGGUUGUUUACCUUCCAAAAUAAUUCCCCAUUUUUUUAUGGAUAUAAUAGGGAAAGUUAAUCACAAAAAAUCUGUUUCCAAUUUUAACUUACCUUUUUUUUGUAAUAUUUAGUUGGAAUUCCAACUUUCAAGGAUGUCGUUACAAUGCAAACUUCAGUAUUUAGAUGCAGAUAUGAACUUGAAGCAAUUGAGUGUUUAUAGACAAAAAUCCAGAGGCUUUGGACUAGUGAUAAUCCAUGAAAAUUUGGACACAAUAGUGAAUUUAUUGUCUUAUUUAAUUUUAUCCUUAUUAGUCCUUAAAUAAUAAAAAUAAUAAUAGUGGUAAGUAACUUAGGUCGAAAGGCAUUUUUGACACUUAAUAUUAGCGGCUUGUAAAAGGCAACAAAUUGGCCAACACAUAUCAUGACAGGGAGAAAUUGGUUCACCAUUAUAAAAAGUCAAGAAUUUGAUCUCUUAUUAUUAUUAUUAGUGAGUGUAUAGCAUUUACCAUUCGCCAUGUGAGUGCUGAUUAUUUUAGCCUCCAAAUAGAAGAAGAUAUUCUUUUUUCUGUCAAGAGAUAGAAACACACACCCAAUUAGAUCAGAAACACCCAGGAGGUUAACGGUUAGAGGACCCAAUUAAGAGUAAUUUAAGGGAAACUCACAAGAAACCCAAUUAGAUUAGAAGAAGAUAUUCAAUUCAUUCAAUUAUGAGAAUUAUUAGCAGAGAUUGUCUGUACUGUACCGUAUAACAUGUUUGGUUGGUCCUUUUGUACAUGAACCAUUACGUAUCAAAGUGUGCUUGUUCUUCUUUACUUGAUUUUUGGUACAAUACUUUAUAUGAAAGGUAGAGAACAUAAAUUGAAGUGGGCAGGGCGGUUGUUUUAGUUGACUUCUAAGUUCUGCCCGUGACAUUUUUCCUCAAGAUAUGUAUUAUAUAAUUUAUGGCAAGGUUGGCCCUGAUGGACUAAAGUUUAAAAGAAGAUAUGUUUCUUGGAAAUGUGAAUAAAUUCCAAAUUCAGGUUAAUUCCUAGAUCAGGAAGUAUGCCCUUUUGCAAUUGUUCAUAACCAUUUGUUGAGAAAGUGGAAGUAAUUUGCUUCUGUUUUCCAACUUGGAUUUUUACCCUCUUCCAUCAGCAUUUGAUGGAAAUUGCGCCAGCAGACCAGGUCAGCGGACCAGUUGCAUUGGGGUCGCCCCAUCAGAACCGUUAGCUUGGUGGACCAGGUUUGACAAAAGUGGUACUUUGUGUUUUAUAUGUCGCUGCAUCGUGCAAGUUAAGGAACCAGACAGAAAUGCAAGGAAAUUUUGAUUUGUCAGUUUUUUAAAAAUAAGAUUUUCAAAUACAAUGUUAUAGUAAUAUACAGAUAAAAAUAAUUAUAAAAAUAUUAAAAACAAUAUCAAAAAGACAAAAAAACCAUCAAAAAUACCAAAAACACAAAAAAUAACCUCAUAAACAAUCUCAUCAAUAGUAAAAAAUUUUCACUUAUAUUACUACAGUUUAAAAACACAUUAAAAAAAAACUAAUCCUCCUUGAAAUUAAAAUAUGAGUAAUUUGAAAUUUUGUUAUAAUUCUCCAAAAGACACUACUGUCCUCCUUGAAGCAAAUCAUGCUCUUUCAAUCUUGUUCUAUUGAUUGCAUUUACCUUUCUAUGCUAAUUGUACAUUCCUGAGAUUUGUAGUUUGAACUUAGUAAGUUCAAAAUUUGUGCUUGUGAUGUUUCAAAUCUCUCAAUCUCGUAUUUGUCAAAGAAAUAAUUAUCAAUGUUCUUCUAGUAUUUAUAUGUAAAAAAAAUGUCUUGCAGUAUAAUCAACCAACAAUAGCGUACGCAAAUGUACUAGGGUUAACUGGUUAUCAUGAUUCUAAUAGUUUUUGCAACUAAAUCCAUCUAUAUACUUUACAUACCGUUUAACUAAAAAAUAAGAACAUUUUUCAAUCGUCUUUUUAUUUUACGUAUAUCAAAUUAUUAUAAUAUAUAUAUAUAUUUUACAAAAUUUUUAGAAAAUAACAAUCCAAACUGGCUCUUGAAUAUCUUAAACGUCUCUACAAGAUUUCAAAUCCUGUGGUUCACAAAUCCUUUGAUAUCAAAUAUCUGUGAGAAUAAUCCAUCCUUUGUGGGAAACUGGAAAUCCCUCAAGCUACGACCAACACAUUCAAGUCAAUAUCAUGAUCUUGAUAAGCCCAAAAAUUGUCUCGUAGAUACCAAACUAUUCAGUCCUUAUGGGCCCCAAGAAGUGAUCACCGAUCAUAAUCUAUAUUCCAACCAUUGACCAUUCGUGGACAGAUAAUUAACCUUAUUAAGGUCUCAUGAUUAAUCAUGUGAAAAUCAAAUUGAUCAUAUGACGCACUUGUCCAUAAACAAUGAAAACAAUGAGUAAUCACCUCUAAUCAAACAAGAGAUUGGACAAUGCCAACCCCUGUUCCAAGUGUUGUGUGGAUGUGAGUGUGUGAGAGAGAAAUUGGUUGGUUUUUUUUUUCUUUUGGUUGAGCACGCCAAGGCCGACAAGAGAUGAAGUGGGGGUGGUGUUUUAAUGAUUUGCAUUGAUUGAGGAAGCUUGAGAAGUGAGAACGAAGAAGAAACCAAUAAAUCAAGAAAUCAAACCGGCAGCACAGCUAAUGAUCAAGGUCAUGUCAUUUGGUCAUGUGCACAAAUUCAAAUGCCGGCAAACUUUUUUAUGGGAUAAUUUCAGAAACCUCCCCUGAGGUUUCUGACAGUCUCAAGGACCUCCCCUGAAGUUCCGAAAAUCCCUUAUACCUCCCCUAAAACUAAGUAGAUAGUUUCAGGUCCAACCCAAUUGAGGUGGACAAUGAAUAUAAAAUGUGUUUCAGGAGAAAGAAAAUAAUCAAAUUCCACCUCUGCCCUCAAGAUUGUCAUUAGUGAGGAUGUUUAUGUUGAAAAUUUCAAUGGAAUCUAGUUCCUUUGAAAUUGCGGGGGGUGUAUGUGAAACUGAUGGAAAAAGGUAAAGCUGUAUUGCAAGAAAUUGUCUUCUAGUUCAUGCCAACGGCUCUCAAAGUAGUUCUUUGUAACGGUAAUAAGAAACAGUAGUGUUGCUUUGGAGCUCUAUAUAAUUGCCUACUGAAGUUGCAAGAGAAACCAGUGAAUGUUGUUGGGUUGUGACUGAGGUUUCUGCAAAAGUGCUCAUACAGUGAAUGUUGUUGGGUUGUGACUGAGGUUUCUGCAAAAGUGCUCAUACAAGUAGCAAAGCUGAACUACGUACAAACAGAUACACAUGGCUUCUUCAAGCCUGGCAGAUUCAUCAUGGAAUUCACCAACUUCAUUUUCAAUAAGAAAUAGAUAUUGCUAUUGUCAUCGGAAAGCAAGUAUUAAGAUUUCUGAGAGCAGGAGGAAUCCGAACAAGCUCUAUUUCUGUUGCUCAAAUUGCAAAUUCUUUCAGUGGUUCGAAGGACCUGAAGAAGGUGAAGUGAGCAGCCAAAGAACAGAUCAACGUUCAAGCAUGCAAAAGGAGGAUCAUAUACAGUUUGCCAAAGUAGAGCAGUCGAACUCCAGAGAAAUUUCUAAUGUGGUGAUGGUUUUUAAAAAAAUUCUACAAAGGGGGCGUUUAGGGUGUCAUGUUCUGUAAAAGGGAUGUUCGCAUUUGUCAAAUGCGAGUUCAUUGAGAUCGCAUUUGCUAAAUGCGAAUUAUCCCCCAUUUUCCAGCCACCAAGAUCCAAAAAAAAAAAGAAAAAGAAAACAUGACCUCGCAUUUCUUAAAUGCGAGGUCAUGUAUCUCGCAUUUCUUCAAUGCGAGGUCAUGUACCUUGCAUUUAACAAAUGCAAGGUCAUGUACCUCAGUUUCCCAUCAUUGUUUCGUAUGAUGCUUCCAUAUUUUGGCAUGAUUUUUCCUUUUGCUUCAGCUGUAAUGCCAUGUACUCAAUAUAAAUGAUUUAACUGCAAAUUAUAAAAUGAUUUACAAUUUGCAAUGAAAGCGUCUACAAAUUUUAGCAGUUAAGGCUCUAAAUUCAUUAGAACUGGAAAAAAAUUUUAUUUUAAUUCAAUAAAUUUAUUUUAUUUUAUUUUAAUUUCGGCAUUCAAUGGGUUUAAAUUUAUUUUAUCCGAUAAAUAAAUUUCUAUUUAAGGCACCUUGGGUAUUCUGUGAGUAUAAUGGACGAAAGGCAUAAAGAGCUGGUCUUUUAUUCAACAACGGAUUUAUUUUUAUUUUAUCCGAUAAAUAAAUUUCUAUUUAAGGCACCUUGGGUACUAUGUUGUUGUAAUAGAGAAAAGCCAUAAAGAGCUGGUUUUUUAUUCAACAACGAGUUAAUUUUUAUUAUAUCUAAUAACUAAAUUUUUGUUUAAGAAAAAUGGGUACUCUGUUCUUAUAAUGAAUGAAAGCUUUGAAAAGUGGGGCUCUUUUAUUCAACAACGGGUUUAUUUUAUGUUAUCCGACAAAUAAAUUAGUAUUUAAGGAAAAUGGGUACUCUGUAAGUAUAAUGGACGAAAGCCAUAAAGAGCUGGUCUUUUAUUCAACAAUGGGUUUAAAUUUAUUUUAUCCGAUAAAUAAAUUUCUAGAAAAUUUUCUAGGCAAUUUUCUAGGAAUUCGUAUUUAUCGGAUGCAAGAUACAGUCCAACCAAAAAGCUUGCUAGUUUGAUGCAAUUUUUGGCGCCUUUUCUCUUAGCCCAAAUUAGCAAUUCAUUUUAUUAUCAAAUUCCAGUUAAGUUACUUAAUCCUUUCUAUUACUCAUUUCACUAAUUAAUUCAUGUUAUUAUCAGAAUAUAUUACUUCAACAGCAGGGAUAUUUGUGUCAAUUCAACGUUUUUCAAGUCAUUUUGGGACCCAACAAUCUGACAGGGGAGGUAUAAGGGAUUUUCGGAACUUCAGGGGAGGUCCUUGAGACUGUCAGAAACCUCAGGGGAGGUUUCUGAAAUUAUCCCCUUUUUUAUUCUUCAAACUCUAAGUAUUAAUGUUUCUUUUCAACAUCUACUCCAGUCAACUAAAACCGGCUGUAGCUUUCUGAGUUAAUAGUUUAGAGCUGGCUUGAAAACAUAUUUGAAAGAUACCCAUAAAUUGAUCAAAGAAAAGGGUGUAUGUAGUUCUUUUUUCGUUCUCUAGAAGUGGUCUUUGUCAUUAACACAUAUUCUACAUUAUCAACUACGUCGGUGAUUGAUUAUUCUCUUUAAUUUUGUGACGAAAUCAAUCAGGCAAUAAUAAGUUCAUGUAAUUUUUUCAUCACAAACAUCCACACAUACAUAGCUCCGAUUAAUGUUAAUUGGAUUCUGAGAGAGACAAAUAACGUUGCAUAUGAACUUAGGUUUUUUGCGAAAUCUUGUGAGUUGGCAUAUGAACCGCGAAAUUUUGUGGCACAUGAGCUCGCAUUUUUUGCGAAAUCUCUUUAGAAUUUCUCUCCUACUUUUGUCGAGUAAUUCAUGUUGGACAAUUUUUAAAAUAAUGAAAUUUCUCUUUUAUUAAAAAAAAUCAAAGAUGUGUUUACUACGUACCUAUCCUUAUAUGUGCCCCAAAAUUUUUACCUAUUAUCUCAUUCGUGAGUAGCCGAAGUUAUCCUAGUUGAAAAUUGUUGACUCAAUGGAAUAGUUUAGUAAGCUACUUGAUGCAUUUGAACUUAGUGAUUAAAAGGUUGUAUACACAAUUUGACAAUUAAAAGGAGAAUCCAUAGAUUGAACAUGGGUUUAUUCAAUAGCCGGCCGAUCCCAAAAAGGUAUUUGAUCAGGGUCUAAUCUGACAUCCAAAAGUCAAGAGGUCUUUUUAAUUUACUCAACAGGGUCCAACUUAAACACUUGUUUAUGUGAAUCGUACCCACCGGGGUUAAUAUUAUCAUAAGCCUGACUACAGAAUUUUGUGUUGGGGGGAUAAUGCUGAAUAUUUAGACAGUGGUUUGGUUUGACCUUCUCGUUUGCUUGUCUUCAACUAAUACACAAUUAAUUGGUGGUUUCAGGCAAAACUAGUAAAUAAUCUAUCAUUAUGGUGACCUACUCCUACCAUGAGAAAUAUGUCACCGUUUUGUAUCACUAUCCCAGCAAUAAAAUAGUCAGUAUUGAUAACUUGGAAUUAGCUCUCUCUUGUAAUGAUUGAAAUGUGCUUUUCUGAAAUAUUUUGUUAUUGAAUAAAAAUUAACUCAUUCCAAAAAAAAAAAAACUCUGUGAGAUGCAAUGUACUCGUCUCUAAGAGUUCGAGCCCUGUGCUUUGCCUUUUUUGUGCUUGGUUUUUCGUUGAAAACACAAUAUUCUCUCUGUGCCUGUGGUAGUUGCAUCUGCCUGCAUGUUUAUGUCCACUUAUAUUUCCUUUCUGUCUUACUAUACUAGUGUACAUUUUAUGCAUGUAAAAGCAAAUGCUAGCAUUCCAGAACAUUUGUAAUCAUUUUCGAAAGAAAGUCCCUUUAAUUUGAUGAAGCAAAACGCUUGCCUGGAAAGCAAUUAGGAAUAUGAUAAUGAUGGCAGCAGUAAAUAUUCAUGUCGUGGCACCAUUAUUGCUUCCACAUUAUUUCCUUUUCAAAGAUCAUUAAAAGUAUCGAAAUUUAGAUGUUUAUUGUGACUUGGGUAUAUUUAUUUUGAACCUCUUGGCAUAAAAUGUUAAAAAGAAUUAACAUUUAGUAUCUAAUUAUCACUUCUUGCAUUACUAGCUAGUUUCAUUCCACCUAUAUGUUAGUUAUUCUGGGUAAUUUAUUCCUAACCCUUGAUGAGAUUAAACCUGACCUCAAAGAAUACUACAUACUCCCUCCGUCCCACUUUGAUAGUCCCGUUUCUUUUUUCACACAGUUUAAGAAAAAGUAGUUAAUUUUGUUGGAAAAGUAAAUUUAGAUUGCUAUUUUCCUAAAAUACCCUCACAUUAAAUAUGGUACAACUUUAUGGGAACUUGAAUUGAUGGUAAAAAAAGAAUCAAAUCUCAUUAAAUGGGGUAGGUUUAUAGUAACAACUACUUACAUUGAAUAAGGGUAUUUUAGAAAAAUUAAAAUACAACUACAUUCUUCAAUUAGAAAGUGGACUACAAUUUGGGACAGAUGAAAAAGGAAUACAGGACUAUCAAAGUGGGACGGAGGGAAUAUAUAGUAUAUGUUGUGAACUUCAAUCUUGAUUCUUACAGCUUUUACUGUAAAGUUGCUUAGCCAUAAUGAGUAUCACAGAGUCCCAGCGCAAACAAGACUGGUUGGUUAAUGGUUGGACAUAAGAAACCUAUGACUUGGUGAGCAGAAUAAUUCCUUCCACCUCAGCAAUUAAUCCAACAUCUUCAUCAACCACGUUUUGAGGUUUGAGCUGGAUCGGAGUAGCAAAUUAAUGGAUGUGCUUUUUCUUUUUUUGGGUGAAAGCUGGAGUAGCAAGCACGUUUCAUCAUCGAGGUAGCCUUAAUUAGAGUGGGACUGUUUCAGUCUUCACAGACAUACGAUUGAUUAAUAUUAUCCUUAGAUUUCUACACCCAAAAUGUAAAGGUGAAAAUGGUAUGGAAGGAAGACAAGUCUGGAAUGGAAGGAUGUUCCCUGCCUUCAUUAUUUCUAUUGCGUGAGAGUUUCUACUUUCUACUCUUAUCAAUUAUUACUGCCACAUCCACAUGCAGGUAACAUCGCCACUUGACAUAUGUGAUGGUUAUAAGCAAUUAGUCCAUAACUUUUUUUUCCUUUUUUUUUUUCCUAAUGACACAUCUAACCUAGCUACUCUUAUUCCUACUCUAACCUAUUCCAGGGUGGCCCAACUGAGGCACAUCCAGCCUUAGGGUGUAAAUCGGAAUCGAAAUCAGUAAUUCAAAACUUUGAAAUCAGAAUUUCCAACCGAAUUCGAUUUCAAAUUCACCAACUCCGAAUUCGAAUUCGUUCCAAAUUCAAUUCGAAAUUCGAUAAAUUUCAAUUUCACCGAAUUUAGGAAUAUAAAAAUUUUUAUUAUUAUAUAAAUGUUAUAUUACAUAUAUAUAAAUAUUGUGUAUAUAUAUAUGUGAAAAAUGAAUUUGAAAUCGAAAUAGGAAUUCUGAAUCACCAAAUUCAGGAAUAUAAAAAUUAUUAUAAUAAUAUAAAUGUUAUAUUACAUAUAUAAUAUAUAUAUAUAUAUGAAAAAUGAAUUUGAAAUAGGAAUUCUGAAUUCCGAUUUAAAAAAUCCCAUUAUCGAAUUCGAACCAAAUUUGCAUAAUUUGAAAUCAGAAAACCCGAUUUUAGUUCCGAAUUAUUGAUUUCGAAAAUUCCGACGAUAAAUCAAAAUUUUUUGAUUUUGCACACUCCUAUCUAGUCUAACCUACUCCUACUCCAACUUUAACCUACUCUAGGUUGAUUCUAAAUUUAAUUCAAAUUCGGUCGAAUUAUAUCGAAAAUUUUCAAUUUUACACACUCCUAUCUAGCCUAGUCUACUCCUACUCUAGGGGGUAGCCCAAUUGAACCACAUAUAGUUGCACAUUGAUGAGAGGUAAGGAUUGAAUUCUUGACCUCCCACCCCACAAUACUGGUUAAUUAAUCCAUAACUUAAUGUAAAAAGAAAUGUGCAUGCACAAUAAAGCAAGUUCAAUAGAAACGAAGGAAAUAUGAUGAAACAACAAAGUUUACAAUAGAGUAACUAUAUACAAUGUUGUGAAAUUCAGGGGAAAUGACGAGAGUAAAACUAAAGUACUUGGAAAUGGCAAUACUUAUUAUUCAACAGGUUCUAAGCGUUGGAACGUGAGACUUGAUCUCUUUGGUAGUGUUUAAUUUUCUUUGCGGCUAAUUACAACAGUUUCCUAAUGAAUGCGAGUCAUUUGCACUUUUCAACUUUGGAUGCAAACAAAUAGUAGGCACUUUACUCUUGGAAGAACAUUUUAUUUACAUUUCUAAGUUCUAACCAAGAAACCGUUGACCAAUUUGACCGUCGAAUUUGUGUACAAUUCUACCCUCCAUAUGAUGACCCAAAGAAUUUUGUCUUCUUGACCAACUUGUCAAUUGAAACUUGAACUGCAGCAGCUAUCAAUAGCAAAAUCGCAUAACUAUUUAAAUUUGGUAUUUUUUUUAAUCGAAAUGACCAAACAGAGUAGCAUCAAUUUUUAAUGAAAAAUCUAUCAAAACAAUAACUUAUAAAGUUGAACCAUACUUUAUUGCUAAAUCUAAUUUCAUAGGAUCUUAUUGGGUGUUGCGUUGAAACAUGCUCCAAUUAGUAGUUUAAAAAAAAAAAAAAAAAAGAGUAACGAGUCAUAAUGCGUUUUCUCUAUAUAUUUCACUGAGAACACUUUCUAAUGCAUCUUUCGUUUUGCUUAUCGUGGCUCAAUUCUGUUUUUUUUUUUUUCCAUUUUUAUACACAAUAAAUAUUUUCAAUUCUUAUGCUUUUAGUCUUUCUAUUUUCUUUUAAUAACAAAAAUAGUCCUACACCAAACUUACUUUCGAAAGAAUUUUAAAGGGGACCCAACAUUUUUUUCUGAAGGAGGAAGUUAAACUCUACAUCUAGUUCAGAGCAGUGCAAUUCUGCUACUUUGGAUUUAACAUGAUUUGAACUUUCAAUCUAUCAACCUGACAAAACGAGCCCAGUUUUAAAUGCUGGAACUGAAACCAAAAGUCUAAAGUGACUCAAAACGAGAAGUCUAAAGUGCCUAUUUUGUGCAUUUAGGAAGAGAGAGAGAGUGCAAAUGACCCUGACAAAGACAAAAAGUGUAAUUAACCGUGGUUUCCAUCUGUUUAGGUAGACAUGUCGCUCAAUCCUACUGUUUAGCGGAAACUCAUCCGCACGUACACCUUAGAAUUGGUAAAUGCUGCUGUUACUAGUGAUUGCUUUCCUUCUUGUAAUCUCCGAAACUAAUGAUACGGUGAUUUUUAGUCAAUAUGUGAUGUAGGAAAGAGAUUAGUCCGUUUACUUUUCCAUGACAAUCGUACUUGCUUCUAGCAAUUCGGUCAGGACAGAAAUCGUGUUUGCUCUUUGUCGUUGUUUUGCUUAUUGCUUGCCCACUAAAGUACACAUGUCGCUGGCCCAGUUCCCCAUUUCUGUCUAGCGUCCGCAGGACCACAAGUAAGUCCAUCAGCGCUCCAUUGCAAGAUAUUUCUCCACAGUUAGUUGAUUCCUCCUGGUCUCCAUGCGAACAAAAUCCCUACAGUUUAGCUUUUGGCAAAUUGUUAGAACUUACUCAGGUUUAAGCAAGCAUUUUUUUGUGUUGUGUUGCAAGUCAAGCAAGCAGAUGAAAAUAACACUCUACUCUUACAAGAGAACGCCGAGGCUCAAUCAGUAAACAAAACUUCAUGGAGAAAUAAAGGCUGGUAAAUACUCAGCAUCUAUCUCCAGAUAAAUUGCAGAGUCAGCUGUAAACCAGAUAGCCUGGCAGGUCACCCACACAACUAAACACUUGGGAGCUCAGGCAAGUCCCAAAAUACAUAUUUUGCCAACUGCCAAAACAGAUGAUGAAAACUACAUUUAUCGGGUGGGGAAAAAGAAGAAUAGCAUUGACUAAAAAAAUUUGGUCCAUAACGAUUUCGACCACACCCUCAGCUCUGCCCAGCAACAAUCGUUACAGAAAAAUGCAGACAUGCCGCCACUCACUAUACGAGGAAUUCUCUUCAAUUCGACAAAUUCUAGACCUUGUGCUUCCGAGUCAUCAUAUCCUGAAUGGUUGGUUUGCAGAGCUGCAUCGGUCCAACUUUGCUUUCUUUGAUUUUGCCUUGUGCGUCGCAAUUUCUUGGAAAGGAUUGAUUCCAUCAAAUGUGAGCUUGGAGCUUCUAACCUUCUUCCUUUUUCCCUUGUCGUAUUCCUCAUCCCUGCAAAAGUAUAGAUGAUUUGAAAUGGAGACUGCAAUAAGAGAUCAUUCCAUACAAGAAAAACAGCUAAAAGAACAAGUAGGCCUGAAACUUUUAUUUGGUUAAUAAGCCCAAUUUACUUUAAAUAUAUCACGACAGAAAGAGCAGAGAAUUUCGACUCGUCUAUAGCUGGUCUCACAAUUUAAACAGUAGGAAUAUUGGGCUCCCAAGGCAAAAGGAGUGGAACGAACUGAGGAAUUCACUGACAAUUCAUGGGUGGUAGCCAAAGCAGCCAGCAGCAUCCAAUCCAGAUUUUAACAAAUUAAGCUGCAUACUUCUUUUUAAUGAUGUGAACCUUGGUAUUGUAAUUUAUAAAUUAGAAAAAAGUACUAAACACAAAUAUCUCAGUAACUUAUAUUCAACUCACCACUCAUCCCCAAUAUAACCAAUUCUAAGAUUUUCAGCGCCUCUGGAUUCUAGAAUAUCUUCAGAACUUUCAACACCAUCCCAACGUGCAACUGUAAUCAAUCAAAUCAAAAGACAAGUGAUAAUCAGUGCUCCAGCAGGGAGUCCAUGGACAAAAACUAGAUUGAGCUAAAAUACCCUAAAAAGACAAAAUUAUGCAGGUACUCACCAGUUGUCUCUUCCAAACCUCUAGCAGGAAUCUGUAUCAAACCAUUCUCCACCUUUUCACCUUUCUUGUGUGCGGAGCCACAUGAUUUUCCAUUAUCUGAUAACUCUCUGCCCGAUGUGGAAUAAUAACUCUUGCUUGGUUGUGCUUCUGUCAAGGGAACUUUCUCAUGUUGACCAACUUCAUCCCUACGUGGGACGACCUUCACAACCCUUAGAAGUUCACCAUUGUUUGAAGGACUCUUCAAACCUAGAACCUUAUCUUUCUCAUCUGCACUAGAUCUGAGCCUCCUAGGAGGGUAAGCUGAACAGCUUAUAGUUUUGCAGUCCUCAGAAGUAGAUGGCCCGAGAUCUGACAGGAUACGAUUCCCAUCCAGUUUUUUUGGGCAACAAUGUUUGGCCCUGUUUUUCUUCUUUCUCCGUCCCAAGGCUGCUCCUAAAAUGAUGUUUCUGCUAAGAUGCUUGGUUGUAACAACAAGCUUCAAAGGCUUCCUCUUUACUAAAUGCAGCCUGUCAUUAAGGGACUUUUCGCAAAGCAAGUGUUUUGGUGCUGGUUUUCUGCGUGCUAGAUCUUUGCUAUCACGAGCCUUUCGAACACCUACCUCAGCUACACCAGUAUUGUCAGGGAAACAUCCAACCUACAGAAGAUUUGGUUAGAUGUGCAGCAAGAGGGGGAGGGGAAGGCCUAGAAUAAGUGGCUGUCUUUGUAACUUUGUUUAUUGACUAUGCUGGCCAAGUAAAAAUUUGUCACUUAUCUCCAGAUAUGUUAAUUAUCAAAUCAGAAAUGACAAUAUAUAUGGGAAAGAUGCUUGAAAUAGUGUGACAUUCUGCAGAUACAACUGGGCAAGUCAGAUGGCAUAUGUGCAAUUCCAAGAAAGCAGGUAAGAAAAAGAAAUAAAAGCUAAUCACCAUGUUUUCUCAUAAUCUAAGCAAAUCAAGUACCUUUCCAGCAUUAGUCUCCAAAGAAACACAUGUAUCUUGAGGAGGUCUAUGGAGGACAUUGCCAUUAGGUGGUCUGUCAACUGCGUUACUGAGAUCUUUACCAGCGCUCACUUUAAUAUUUCCAUUAGUUGGUAUGACCGCAGAAUCAGUCUCGUUCUUUCCAGCAGAGCUUUGGGAGCCAUUGAUGUCUUCUUGCUUAACAAUAGCAGUAGUCAGUUCUAUGCCACUGCUACUGCCCGAGUUACUAGAAUUCCCAAGAUUAACAAAGCCAUCAGAUCCCUUAGAAGAUGGAAGUGAUUGCACCAAGCAAUCUCCACCAUUUAUAUUUGAUCUGGAAAGGCCAUCCACAGGUGGCACCUUCAGUAAAUUUGCGGCAGGACGGUCUUUCUUUAAGCAUGAUUCUUCAGGAGCUGUUGGGCCAUUAAUUUUCUGAGCAGGAUCCUUUUUCAUUUGAUUUUCGCUUAUGAUGUUAGGAUUCACUACUUCUUUCUGAGCAGCAAUAGCAGAAAAGGAAUCAUUCAACUUUCCCCCAACUGCUCCGUUCGGGAUAUUUUCCUUCGAUCCUUGAUGAAAAUUAGGAUACGUUUUCCUUCCAAAUGUAUUUAUAACCAUACUUUCUUUAUGUACUGCAUCGACAACUUUCUUAGGUGUGGAAUACAUUCCAUCUCGAACAUAAAACAACAUAUAAGCCUUCUGCUCCAAAACCCUCCUCUCACUAACUUGAACAACCUGUAAUUCACGGUGCAUCAGUUUACAAUGCAGAGAAGCCAAAAUUUAUCUAUUCUGCACAAACAUGUGCAAUAGACGACCUAACAAGUAAAAAUGGAAAAUUAAUCCAAUGAUGCAUCACGUGAUGGAGGGCAUAUAAAACUGCAAUAGGCAACUGGACAUGGUUAUCUCCACCAACAUGUGAACCUAGCAAAUCAAGACAAUUACAUUGCACCACAAUUUAAACUGAGAUAGAGGAAUUUGGCAAGAAUUCCGCUUUCCUUAGAAAGAGUUGAUUGUCCAAUGUGACAAGGAGGAAGUCUUUUUUAUCACAAUUCUCUUAAAAAAAGUUAGCUCUUUUGAAACUCUUGAUCUUGAAGCUCAACUAAGACUCUGAUGCUUAAAAGAAUUUUAAAACUCUGUAAAAGAUCAAGCAUUCCAAGUUCCAUUCAUUAGGUCCUUAAAUUCAUUCCGUAACUGUUCCGAAACUAAAAGCAUUAAACAGUUAUGUUACCAUAAUGCAGCAUUAACUGUUCCAUUUAUUGACUGACAUGGUCUGGCCGCAUGAAUUGCCCAGCCCAUUGCAAAGAUCCACCACUUUCUCUGUGGACAGACUGAAGCUACUAGAAUUUGAUUUAUUGGGAAUCAGAUUUAUAGGUUGUAAGUUGCAUUUGCCAGCAAAACCACAAACCAAAAUGCAACAUUAAAGAAAGCAACCCAUAAUGAAGAAAACCGUGCUGCUUGGAUUCCACCAAGUUCACCUCUUUAAAGACUGAGUCAUAAAGACCAAAAAAUAAUAAUCUAUGAGUUGAACAGAUUUGACCAGCUAGUUCAUGUUAUGAAGCUGGGGAGGACCAAUCAUGAAAUAAUAGCAAACCCCAAACAAAUCAUUCAGCAACCCUGAUUCAUGCAAUAUGUUUCCUGUUCUUUUUAGCACAUUGACACCCAAAAGUUCCAAACUGCCCACCAUCCAAAGGAGGUUUCAAAUAUUAAAAUAAAAAAGGUGCAUCUCCAAAUAUCUGCUUUGGUACAAGUUACUUCAAUUUCCCACCAAAGAAAAUAACACGUCCACCAGCUCUGUCAAUCAAUUUUCAGGUCAUACACAAUUAAUGUGGAAAUUUAUAGCACUAAUAAGACCUUAAUCCAACAAGGAAAGAGAUCCACAAAUACUAGGAGAAAUGAUAGGUCCUAAGUUCUGUAAUUGGCAGAAGAAACUGAUGACAAAAUUGAUACAUCCUGAUACCUGGUUGUCGUCAAGAGAGUACCACACGCCACUUGAUGUCCGAACAAAGCAGUAGUAAUGACCAGAAUGAGUGCUCCAACCAGCAUGAACCAGAACACCAUAGAGAGUAUAUUUCAAUUCCCCAUCCUGCAAUGAAUUAAGAAAAGAAAGCAAUAGUUAACAACGGAAAACCCAAGAUAUACAAAAAAACAACGGAACAAUACACAAAGUGAAAAUGUGUUGAUAUAGACAUGCAAAAGCAUUUCAAGCUUUUUCAUUUUCUAAACACUAAUAGCAGAACACAUGCACUAGGCUGGCUUUACUCAUCUAUUAUUAGAAAUAGCACUGAACUGUACAAUUCAGCAUCUCAAUAUUCAUCUCAUUCAGCAUCACCCUUCAAAAUAAAAAUUGUGGAAUGUCUAUCAUGCAAAAGAUAAUUGAUAACCCAUCAUAAGAACAGAAAUCACACCUAUAACCUAGUAACAUUUUUCUGGUUUCGUGGAAUCAGUCGAAGAGUUUAAAACAUUUAAUCCCUCUGUCCCAUAUAUAUUUGGCCUUCUUGUAAUUUAGUCUAAAUGUAUGAAAGGCUCAAAACAUUUGAUAAGUGCAUGAUCUUUGUUGGUAAACAGCGGAAAAUAGUUUUGGAAUAAUUGUAGAAGGAUAUAUAGCCAAUAGAAACAGGAAAAUAGUAGAAAUCAGUAAAAUAAGAUCACCAAAAGUCGUUUUUGGAAACAGUUUCAUAUUACCAUGGCAUGCAAAAACAGGAAAGUAACUUCAACAAUACAAAAAUUAAGCAGCAGUAGAGCACAUACAGUAACCACAGCAAGAAGUUAAAGAUGCAAUAUCUGCUCAACAUGCUUUUUCUUUGUUAUUACUUCAAAACUAUUAAGAGUGUAACACUCCUUAAAAUGCUUUUGUAAUUUGUUGAGUGCAUUAACUUAUUCACUCCAUGUCACAUAUUUAGGCACAAGAUACGCCUGAGAAAAGAACAGAUAAAAACUUAUAUAUAGACAUUUUAGUGGAAGUAUACAACAUUCUCGGACUAUAUGCUUACUACUCUUAGAAAGUAUCUACUACUUACAUAUGGACCAGUCACGAAAGGUUUUAAGUCCAAUGAAGGGCCAAACUCAACUUUUCUGUCAAUCUUCUGGCCAGGCAUAUGAGAACCAAAACGCUUCAAGUGGAUUGCAAGGACAUUGGGUGCCUUGUAAACAGUCAGCUGCUUAAGAGCCUUGACUUUUUGCUCGCAUUGUUGGCACUGAUAUUGCCUCUCCCCUCCAUCUAACUGCUCUUUGGCAGUAAAAUAAGCUAGUGCCUUGUAUAAUGAGUCUGCCUUCACUAUCUCAAGACUUAAAUCCAAGAAUGGAUCAAACUUGUUUGAGCAAAACGAACACUGCAUGCAUUUCACCUGUAAAAAUAUAAGAAGACUAAUAAACCUUCUGGUACUCAUAUGCUAAAAAACACAAUCAAAUCUUGAUCUUUCAGCAUCAAAAAAUUUUUUAAAAAAAUUAUCAUGUUUCCCAAAGUGAGACUGACUCUCUGAUUCUCUCUGUAGCCAAUUAUCUAAUACCCUAAGCAAAAAAGGAGCUAAGCAAGACAUAUUUACCUGACUACGAAGGCGACCACCAAAUAUCUUAUGGACCAAACUUUUCUCGUAAGCACUGGGUGACUCGCUCGGCACUCCUGAAGGCAAGCAGCAUUUGUGCAUCGAUUCUAAUAAAUUGACCAUGUACUCAUGAGCAUCCUCUUGUCUAGCAUUUCUAAAGUUCCGAGAUAUGCCUAAAUAACUGUCAAGGAUCCAAACUCAACUCAAAAAUCUAGAGCCUAAGAAAUUCCACUACAGUGAGGAGAAUGCCAAAUUAAAGGCAUAUAGUAAUUUCAAGUUGGAUAACAGACAAGUUUUAAUGUAAAAGAAGGAACAAAGAGCCAAAAAAAAAGUAGAAACUAAGAUCACCAACGAUGCUAAAAAGUCAAGACAAACAGUAUCAAACUGCUAUAACAGGAAACUUAUUGAACUAAAUUGAGAUAAGAUGAUAUUACAAGCCGAUGAAGAAAAACCUACAACAUCACAAGAAGUCUAGCGAACACAUUAUAAGCAAAAAAUUCAGGAUACACCGCAAGUUUGAUACAAGAUCUUUCGGAGCCAAUACCGUUCCUGUCGAUUCCAGAGCUCGGUUCACAUGUUUCUGAAUGGCACAUAAAGCACAAAACCCAGCAAUAUGACCUUCAUAGCAUCAUGUCAAAGAUGCAAAAAAUCAGAAUCCAAUGAUUGACCUUUUUGAAAGUGAACGCCAGAUGUAAAACAGGGCUCAAGAAAAAUAUAAGCCACCAAAAUGAGCCAUGAGAAGGAAAAAAAAUGAUGAACCAGAAAGAACUAAUGCAGACAAGCUCUACAAGUCAGCAAGCAUGUUUGUUGUAGGACCGCCAAACAUUCAGUUAACAUGAUUUAUUAUAUUUGGCCAUAAGAUCUAAGAGAUGCUACGGUUCAAAAGAAUUGAUAGCGCAAAUGACAAGAAAAGUGCAAGUAGAGAAAUUAGGAUGAAUUUUUACAAAAGUAGAAAGACGAAAGACUCAGUCUAGCCCUGCCAGAAGUUAUACGCAUCACAUAGAAAAUCACACAAGAAGACUCAAGAAGCUGCAGAACAACAAUUAUCACAAAGUGCAAGAAGACUCAAGAUGGUAAUUUGCACUGUCUACGUCUCAUCCUUAGGCAUUCCUUGAACAUCAAACAAUUCUAACAUAUUCUUGGUAUUAAUUCACUACAUCCCUCAUUGUCAGACCUUCCAUUUUUACCUGGAACCAUAUUCAAUCAUUUAAUUGUUCAUAACUCUUGUGUCUCUUUCACUUUAGGUUUUACAAGCACAUCUGAGGUGUCCGUCGAAGUUAUCUCACCUUCAGAUAUCUUUUUCCGCAGAUGAUAAAACAGCACAUAUCAAAAUACAUCAUUCAGAAUAAAAUAACAAACAUAAUCAGGAAUUCCUCAUACACACAUUCUAUAUGCUUCAUGUUGGUAAUCGUAUGAUAAAGAAAAUGUAAGAAAAAGAGAGAGUGUCUCACAGGAUAUUUUAUGCCGACCACUUUGUAAAUAAGCUGCCAAGGGCUCAGUGUAUGUCAGACACUGUAAUACAGAAUUGAGAAAACAAGUAUUUCCAAGAUUUUGCAAGCCAGCACCCUGUCAUUAAUCAUAGUUACGCUCCAUUAUAGCGUCAAAAGAAAACCAUGAUUCCAAAUGCUAAACAAAAUAGAAAAAUAAUACCAAUAAAUAUACUCACGAUAUCCCGAUUUCAGGUGAGUGUAAUUCAUGAUUUGUGUAUAACAUCAACAAUACUUUCACGCUAACAAGAACCACCUACUCAGAAGAAUCAAUGAUGAAAAUAGGUUUAACACGUACCACUGAUAUGAUUGACGAAAUUUAAAAAGUUACACUAUAGUGCAUGAAUAUUGCAGAGUGAAAAGGCCAAAUGUACACACUUUAUAAUUCACACUUGUAUGAAUUUCCCUUUUCCAACCUCGGCAAAGACAUGCACAAACAAGAAUUCAAAUUUGCUAUUCGAGGUUUACUAGAGGCUUGCCAUAUAAGAACUUCAUUGUUUCACCAAUCCAGCUUAUGCUAAGUUUCCACUCAUUAGAAAGUCUAAAUGCUUAGCAUCAGUUACAAUAAAUUUCCGAUACAUAAACAGAACCCAGAACUUCAAAUUUUUUCAAACAAAAAAAAAAAAAACCAACACAAAGUUAUUUAAAACCCGUAAGUUAUUCUACUAUAACUAGCUAACUAAUGCUUUCUAGAGACACAAAAGUUUCCAGAAAAAAAAUCAUAAUAGCUCAAUCAAACAGCAAAAAAACACAUUACUGGAUAAAAAUGAAAAUAGAAAUGGAAAAAUGUAAACUUUAUUUAGAAAACAAAUAAAAAAUCUUACAAUUCUCCUGAAAGUGAUUGUAAAGCUAAGCUCCGGAUCCAACCCACUAUGAUUCUCCAAGGAAGACUCGGAGGAGGCCUUCCCGUACCCGGACCAAGUUUUGUGGGACUCCGAUUUUAAACUGGCAUUCGAAUUACGCGGGUUUAAGGUCACCAGCUUAAACCCAUUUCCACUGUUUCCUCCAUCAUUGAACCCAUUGAACGACUUUCUCGCCAAACGAAAUUCAAUUCUCCGAUGAAACAACGCCGCAUUCGAAUUCGAAGCAUCUGACGUUGUAACCGACUCCUUUUCCGGAUCCUCAACUGACCUGACCGACAAAGAAUUUAUCAUCGUCUCCGCCGCCAUCAUCAAAUCAAUAAAACCUCAAACAAAAAAGCUCUAUAUACAUAGAAAAAAAUCCAAUAUAUAUAGACUGAUUUCUUUUCUCUCUCUACAGAAUCAAAGAAUUAUAUGUUAUACGUUUCUGGGGGUGUGAUAGUGUGUGAGAAAGAAAAAUAGAGCGGUUCUGGGUUUCGACUGGAGCUCGCUCAAAACAGCUUUAAACCCUACACAUGGGAGUAUGUCGGGCGAGUGUAAAACUGGCUGUGGGCGGCGAGUCGCAGGGGAUUACUUUUAGUCUCGAUGAUACUUGUUCGACGCGGUGGGAUCUGGUGUGGUAAGGUGUAAAUUUAGAAACCCGUUUGAUUGGACGGGAGGUUGACUGAAGGGCGUAAUGGUCAUUUUACAUUGGAAAUACUGACAGCUGCAGGAGAUGGAUUUGCGCUUGCGGUGGUUAAUUGAUUGGUCGAUGGCUUGAUUCUAUGGAAUCUAAUCAAGCGGGUCGAGUUGCCGCGGUGCUUUUGAUUUUGGCAAGUUUGUCCUCGUGGUGGGAAAUUGAGAUGGCAGCUCUAGUGAGACCCUGCAGGAGAUUCAUGCUAUUUUUUUUUUUUUUUUUGUCAAACGCAUUCAUGCUAAAUUUGGAUUACAGGAAAUUUUACCAAUACAGAUAUUUUCCCUUAAAAAUUAAAGAAAACGAGUAGUCAAGUUGUACGUUUUAAAAUAUUUGUCAUUCUUGAAAGAUCAAAAUUCAAAAGCAACAAUUACACUGUUCUUUGCUGAGGGUUAAUUUCACUUAAUGGCCAUUUACCCAUCAUGUAGAAAAUUGAAUGAUAAUUUGCAUAUCCCAAUUAAAGGGAGGAGAAUAAGUGUCCUAGAGGAAAAAAAAAAAGAGAGAAACAAAUUUGCCAUAUCUUUAAAUAGUUACUAAAAGAAGAGCAUACAUAGUUACUCUGAAUACAUUAAAAUUGAUUUCGAUAGUUGCUUGUUGUUUAUUUUCUCGUGUGAAAUGUCAACUUUUAAUUGGUUUUAAAUUUGAUACUCUUUUAUGGUUUAUUGAGUAUACCUAUGUAGUGAAAAUCGGGAAACAGAGAAGCCAUUAUGCUCCAUAAAUUUAUAGAAAAAAAAAUUUGAGUAAAGAUUCUUCAUAAAACUUUUAAAGAAUAAAUCUUAUAUAUACCGAUAUAUUAUUACCAUUGACUCUAUGACAUAUAUACAAAAAAUGAAUUUCAAAUUCAAUUUAAUUUUUACAUAAUUAUCAUUCAUCAAAUGCUGACAGUGUAUAUAUCAUCAAUGCAUGAAAAAUUAAUCCAUUUUUAAAAAGCAUUGUAAUCUUUUGUUGGGCCUCAUUUGUAAUCUGAAUAUUGCGAUGUUAUUUGAGUUCAUUCUAAUACAAAGUAUAAACAGUAGUGUUAACCGCAGGAAGCAAAGUGCCGACUUGUUUCCCGCAAAGGGAAAUCAACCGGGAAAAUAGUUGAAGCUUCUUCGUUGAUGGUAUCUUGAAAGGACAAAAACUGUCCUUCCAAAAGAAAUCGGUCCAUGGCCAACUAGAGCUGUUAAGUCAAUCAAAUAGCUCGAAAGUUCGUUAGAACUCGACUCGUUAAGGCUCGAGCUCGGCUCGUUAAUUUUGGUUAACGAGUCGAGCUCGAGCUCGAAACAUGCUUGUUUAGUUAACGAGCCGAGCUACUCGGCUCGUUUGAUACUCGAGUAGCUCGUUAGAGCUCGUUAAUGAAGGGCAUAUUUGUCAUUUUAGAAAUCAAAAUUAUAAAAAUUAAAAUUUAUAGGUUUUUAUUAAGGUUAAUUUGCACGAACUCGAACUCGAGCUCGUGAAGCUCGACUCAUUUGUGAUAAACGAGUCGAGCUCGAGCUCGAGCUCGAGCCACAUGUACAUUUAACGAGCCGAGUUCGAACACAUUUUAAAGUUCGUUUUCCUAACGAGCUCGAGUCGAGCUCGGCAGCCAAAUACUCGGCUCGACUCGGCUCGAUUAACAGCUCUAUGUUAACCGCAGGAAGCAAAGUGCCGACUUGUUUCCCGCAAAGGGAAAUCAACCGGGAAAAUAGUUGAAGCUUCUUCGUUGAUGGUAUCUUGAAAGGACAAAAACUGUCCUUCCAAAAGAAAUCGGUCCAUGGCCAACCAUAUAUUUGCCACAAAAUACAGGCCGAUAAAAUGACUGCUUCCUUAGGAGCUACAUGAAUCAAACCACACCCUAAAAGAGCACAAAGAACAAUGGAAUAAUAGCACAGAAACGUGAAAAGCACGUUCCAAGCCCAUGGCAGGCAAAAUUUAAGAUUUGACAAGUAAUCACACCAAACCAAAAGCUAUCUUUUUCAAUAAAGAAACAAAUUGGUUUCACAGAAAUGAGACCGUAAUUGCAUUAGCCAGCAGAUCAAACCAUGAAUAAAGGAUGGGAUCAACCAUUUACUUGAAUUUCUCAAUCAGGGAAAAGGGGUUAGAAGGGCCAAAAAUCCAAAAAUGCUGAGCUAAGAUAUAACUGCAUAAAAGUUAACCCACACCAUCCCAUUUCGUUUCAUCUAACCCCUUGGUGAAAACCCCCUUUUGGUUGGGGAGGGGUUGAAAUUCUGAUACAUGAAGUGAGAAAAAAUAUGCCUCUACUUCAUCAUUUUGUAAGAAAUAGCAAGUCAAGAUUGGAUGGUACUUGUGGUUAUUGAAUGCAUCAGUACUCUGUACUCUGUCAUAUAACAAGUUACAAUAAUCUGCACUUACACUACAGGUAAAAAUGUUACCAUACCUAGCAUUGAAAUGCAUUUGGCUGGACAUUUCAACAGAAGGGACUGUGAUUUAUGCAUAACCAUGAUAUGCUACUGGAAGAAUAUCCUUCAGACAUAUAACCAAUUAAACGUGGUUAAAGAGGUCUCUCAACAAGGGCCGAGCUUUGUGGUUCCCAAACUUGUAUUGCCAGUCACAAUUAAUACAUUUACCAUCUCAGGAAACCUUCACGGAGCAGCCUUAAGUACCACCUCCAAACAUUAAUCUUUCAAACCCUGGUGUAUUUACAAGAAAAGAAUGCUGUAAUGGUCUUCAAACCCUAGUAUAUUUACAAGAAAUCAUGCUGCAAUGGCCUUAUCACCAGUGCCAAUAAGGAGGAAAUUCAAUUAAGUCAGUACGUUAAUAUCUUAACACACUAUUCUGAUAUAGCUUAAGCCCGCUCUAGAAUGAACCUGGCAUGUAUCCAGCUUAACAUCAUUAGAGGGUGAAUGGUUGCAACGAUAUUCAUUCUAUCUACUGAGACACAUUGAUUCUUCCAUCACCUGUGCCUGAGUAUGAUAGCUUGCUGUAGGCUUUUGGUUGUCAUUUGAUUUUACCCCACAAAUAACAUUGUCCUAGCAAGAUAGGAAUCUUCAUUGUCCAAAUUAUGUAACUUCUACCAUGAAGUCUUCAUGGUUUGGACUUAAUAAUAAUUCUCUGAUUUCCUUGCUCAAAUUGUUUGUAACCAACACUACAUCAUCAUAAUGGGGAUGAUAAACGUGGCCUCUGAAAAAUGUCAUGAUUGUUCCAUGCAAUUCAAUGAAACUCCAACCUGGAACCUUUUUCAAACCAAGAGAUUUCAUCUGGCCCCAAGCUUCACCUACACCAUCCCAAUCGGCCAUUGAAGCAUAGCUGUGUGCCAAUUGCACAUACUUUCCGGGAUCUACAGGCUUCAGAAGUGAAAUUUCUUUUGCAACAGUAUCAGCAAGCUCCGUCUUUCUUUUUGUUCGACAUGCAUCAAGUAUAAUGCCCAAAACAUCAGCCAUUGGUUCAGGAAACAUUUUCUUAUAAAAGUCAUAUGCAUCUUCUACCCUACCUGCUCGGCAAAGGAGAUCAACAAUGCACCCAUUGUGCUCAAAUUCAGGUUCAAUCCGGAAAUCAUUUAUCAUAGACUCAAACAACCUUAUUCCCUGGUCAAUAAGCCCAUUAUGGCUGCAGGCAUAGAGAAUGGAUAAGAAAAUAGUAUGGUUUGGCUUGAACCCAUCUCGCAGACACCUUGAGUACAUCUCCAAAGCAGUUUCUCCUUGGCCAUGACUACCAUAACCCGCAAUAAUUGUACUCCACGAAACUAUGUCAUGCCGUGGCAUGUUAUCAAAACACUUCCUAGCAAUAGCCAAGUUACCGCAUUUACAAUACAUAUCAACCAAAGCUGUGUCAAUCCUAAUGCAUGGUCCAAGACAGCUUCUAAUGACAAAGGUGUGAAUCCACUUCCCUUGCUGGUAUGCCCCUAUAGAAGCACAAGCUUGAAGAAGACAGACAACACUGACUGAAUCAGGCUUUAUAAGAGCUGUUCUCAUUUCAUUAAACAAACAGAAAGCUUCUCUUAAUUUCCCAUUUUGAGCAUUAGCAGCAACAAUUGCAUUCCAGGAUACAACAUCUCUUUCCUGCAUCAUCUGAAAAACCACAAAACUUUGAUCUAGGUAGCCACACUUCGCAUACAUAGUAACAAGUGCAUUUUGGAAAGGAACAUCAACAGCUAUAUUUUGCCUCAUGAUAUAGCCAUGAAGUGAAGUCCCUAGUUUAUAUGACACCAACUGAGCACAAGCUGCAAUAGCACUCGCCAAUGUAGCACUGGAUGGCAUCGCUCCAGAAAUUAACAUCAGCCUAAAGACUUCCAAUGCUGUAUCAGCACGCUCAUUCUGUACAAGCCCUGAUAUCAUUGUUGUCCACAUAACCACAUCCUUUUCUUUUGCUGUUUCAAAAAUUCUGUGUGCAUCGUUCACGUUGCCCUGUUUCAGAUACAUUCCCAUCAAUGCGGUUUCAACAUGGGCACUUGAUCCAAGACCAGCAGAGAGUAUCUGUCCAUGUACUGCUUUUCCCAAUCUGAUAUUAUCCUCUUUAGCAAUUGUAGGAAUCAAUGAUGUAAAAGUCUGUUGAUCAGGUUCCAUACCAGAAAUUCUCAUCCUAUCUAAAAGCUCUAAAAUCUCUCUCAUAUACCCAACUGAAGCAUAAACUGAAAUCAAAGAAUUCCAUGAAACAAGAUCUUUGUCAUUUAUUAAUUCAAACAAGUUUCUAGCAUCUUCUACUCUUCCACAUUUCCCAUACACGUUCAACAUGCCAUUGAUCAAAGCUACGUUAAACUCAAGUCCACACUUCACCACUGAAGGAUGUAAACAUUUCAGCUGAUCACUCUCUGAAAUCCCAGAAAGCAUAUUUAGAACAGUAACAGCGCUGGGUUUUAUUCCUUCAUAUUGCAUUUUAUUAUACAUAAAGAACGCAGAAUCAAUAUCACCAGCUCGUGAAUAACUCCCGAUGAUAGCAGUCCACGGAACAAUAUCUCUCACAGGCAUUGCAUCAAACACUUUUCGAGCACUGCUAAUAUGUCCUAAUUUUGAAUAUAAAGUUAUCAAAGAAGUUGCAAUAUAAGGAUCUGAAGAGAACCCAUUAACGAUAACAUGUUGGUGGAAACAGAGUCCUUGAGAUUGAAGGUUAAGCGCAGUGCAGGCUUUAAGGAGACUGGAAUAAGUAAAGGGGUCUGGAGCAACAUUGGAUUUCAGCAUUGAAAUAUAAGUCCGGAGAACUUGGUGGGAUUCUCCUAGUGAGGAAAGCCGGUUUAGUUUCGAGUUAAAUGACUUGGUAGCUGCAGUAGCCGUGGCGGAGGGUGGAAGUUGUAGGGGUGGCGGUGGCAUUAAAGUAUGAAAAAUAUGGGGUCUAACUUUGUUGUUCAUCUUUUCUGGCAUAAACUUGGAUCAGCAGACAGCUUCAUAGUUACCCUCUAUUGGAAUUUAUACCUUCAAAAGAAAAGCAUGAUACUCGAGACAGACACAAUAAUAACUUUAUAAUUGCAAUAUCCCAAAUUUUUUGAGGCUAAGGUGAUUGAUCGUGUAGAACUCAACCUCAUUUCUUUCAGUUCCCCCAAGGUUGAGUUGUUAUUCAUUAAAAGUACAACGCCCAGAACAAUUUUCAAGCUAAAUAAAGUGAAUCACUCAUCUGGGAGAAACCUCGGAAACAAAAGUGACAACUAGAAAAUGGUAGACUCAGUGAGUAAAAGAACAGAUUUUUAUUGUAUAAGCCCUCAAACAAAACAUCUUUCAACCUAUGAGCGAGCAGACAAUUUCCUUGCAGUCAAAACAAAGUGCAGCAAUGGAGCUGGACGAGCAUGUUUCAACUGAAUUGAUAUUGGACCAACGAUUGAAAUAUUGACAUCUUGACUAGGUGAGCUUUGCUAUCCCAAUUUGUUCAUUUCCAGGUCUUUAUAAAAUCCAUCAUACAUGAUUAUUAGUACCUUUUUUAAGCGAAACUGUAUGAAUAUUUGCAUCUUCAUUUAAAGAAGCAAGAAAUCAUACAGGACAUGUAAAUUAUCUAUUUUUGAUGCAAAUGAAGGUCGUAAUCGUAAUAAAAUAAGGUGUGAUUUAUCCUCAGAAAAAGCAAGCCCAAGGAACUAUGAUUUAUUUUUUUCUGGUUUGCGUUACGUUUGUCGCACUACUUUUUUAUAUAGUCAUAACCUUCUGAGUCUAAAAUCAGGGAGUGAGUGACCAACUUGUCAAAGAUAAAUAUGCUAUAGGAAAGAAUUGCACUUUCCCCCCAAACCAUUAGGCCAAGAGCUCAAAUCCCCCACGUACAAUUAGAAAAAUUGGGAGCUCGGACAUUUGCAGGCAAAAAAAAUUCAGAAGAAGUUGUACACUAAUACACCCUUUGUGGUUUAUGGUUAAUUGUUUAUACUGCUGGUCAGAGAAAAUUCCUAGGUAGAUUUAGUUCCACUAACUUAUUUGUCGUAGACUAUGUAAUAUAUUUUAUAGCCAUAUGUAUAAUAAUGUUAGAAAAGUGAUAGUGGAUUUUUUUAUUUUUUAGAAAAGUGAUAGCUAAGGAAACGCCUCAUCCCAAGAUUCUAUCGGGCUCGCAUUUUAUAAUGAGGGGUGAAUAGGUAUAAUAAAUUUAGAAAAGUGAUAGUGAUUUAUUUUUUAGAAAAAGAUUAGGUAGGAAACGUCUAAUCCCAAGAUUCGGUCGAACUUGCUAUUUAUAAUGAGGGGUGUUUUUCAUUUGGAUUCAAACUUUGUUCGUUAUGCAGAGGGUCGCAAAUCCCUUUUCACUUGCUCCAAUUAUUAUUGAUAAAUGUUAGGCAAGGAAACGUGUAAUCCUCAAGAAUUUUAUUGAACUCACUUUUUUGUUUUUAUAACAAAGGGAUCCUUUCCAAUAUGAUGUCCCCAAAUAGAUUCGAACUUUGUUCAUCAUACUAAGGUUCCGUUUGAUAAAACUGAAUCUGAAUUCUGAAGUCUGAAUUCUGAAAUCUGAAUAUUGAAACAAUUAAUUUGUUUAAUUUUAAGCACUGAAAAGAAAUAUAUGAAUGUCUGAAUUUUAAUGCUAAACCUAUUUAUACUGUUUGAUAAACAAUUAUAACUGAAUGCUUAAUAAGUUAAAUUUGAUAAUUUUGCCCUUAUAUCUUUUCAUCCAAAAAAGAAAUAGAACCUAUAAUUUAAUUAGCUAAAAAUAUUAGGUAUGAAAAUGAUAAUAUUUAUUUUUAAAUCAAAUUAAUAUAAAAGAUGAAUUUUAUUAUAUGAGGAGUAUGGAGAAGAAGUGAAAGUCAUUCAAAAGGGAGAAAAAAAAUAGAAAAUCAUUAGAUAGAGAAUAUUAGAUUGUUUAAUUAUACAAGAAUUUUAAACAUAAUUAAUAAAUAAGGGUAGAUUUGGUAGAUAAGAUAAGGUAGUUGAAGUGAUUCUAUUGAAUUUUAUCAGAAUUAAGCAUUCAGUUAGGAUUCUUGUGCUGAAAAAAAUACACACAGGUUCAGCACUGCUUAACAAGUUCAGCAAAUGAAUUUUCAUUUAUCAAACACUGAAAACAUCUGAAUGUUUAAAAAAAUUCAGAUUCAGCACUUUUUUAUGUUAUCAAACAGACCCUAAGUAAGAAAAUGCCUAAUCCCCCGAGAUUAUAUCGGGCUCGCUUUUAAUUUCAGGAGGAUCCCUCGCAACGUGGUUUCUCCGGAUGGAUUCGAACUUUAUUUGUCCUGUCCUUCCAAAAAAAAAAAAAAACUUUAUUUGUCGUGCUGGGGUCACAAGUGCCUUGUGCUAGGCUGUUUUUCUGGCUAACCUUUCCACAGUAAGUGCUGAAUGAUGACCUUAAAAACUGCCUUAACAUUGGGCCAUGCAUUUGAGUGCUUGAGGCCUACAGAAAGAGCAACCCAGUCCAUACUACAUGGGUCCAAAGUAGUAACAAAAUGAAGAAAAAAAAGAGAAAAAUGCAAAUCCAUGUGGAAUCCCAUUAGCUGCCGAAAUAACUGACGUCCAAUUAGAUCUUCUUCAGGGCAUGUCGGCCCGGUUGGGUACAUUUGUUCCCUGGGAGUGGAGGUCUCUUCAACUUCUUCGCCGGAAGUUUUAUAUAAGCAUGAAUUUCAUCGGCUUCAUUUUCUUCUUUGGUCCUAUGAAUUUCGCAGCGCAACGGAUCUUCUGUCUCAUAUCCUGUGCCACUCUCUGUCUCACUUUUUAUUAUAUUACUAUUUCUCCUACAUAAACAUUAUGUUUUAAUUCUUUAUUGUUUCUUUAAGAUUCAAUAACUAUCAAUUAAGUAAAAAAUAAAUACAACAGUUUCAAAAAAGUAAUACAUAAUAGAAAAUUUAAAAAAUCAGAAAAUUCAUAAAAAUAUCAUUUUUUAUGCAUUUUGAUUUUUUGAGUUUGUUAAAUUUUGUGUAUUAUUCAAUUAAUAGUUAUUGGAUUUUAAGGAAACAAAAAAGAAUUAAAACAUGAUGUUUAUGAAGGAGAAAUAGCAAUAUAAUAAAAAGUGGGACAGAGAGUGACACAGGGUGUGAGACAGAAGAUCCGUUGCGAUUUCGCAAUUGGAUGUGCAAUUCGUGUGAUUUUGAACCUGGAACCCUUAUAAUAAUUUUUUUUUAUUUCAGAAACUCUUUGAAAAAAAAUAUCAAUUGAAGAAAGAAGAUGCAUAAUUGCAUAUAUAUAUAUAUAUGUGCUUUUUUUUUGGAUUUCUUUUUUGAGAAUGAAGUUGCAUAUAUUGAGUAAUUCAUUUAGAGCAAGCUAUUAGAGGCUGUGAAUUUGCAAGAAUUCUUUCCUUUCUUUAGAGCUUUUUUUUUUUGACAAGAAAACUCGUAGCCGCUACUUGAGAGUGCAUACUGGAUAAACCCUGUUUCGUGCAAUAGCCCGCCAAUCACAUGAAAAGAUAAGAUAUACUAGGCAAAUUCUGUGUGACGUAUAGAUGUUCCAAAAGAGGUUCAAACUCGAGUUGGGAGGAAGGCAUCAACCCGGAUUGUUUUGAAUUCCAUUUACUACUAAAUUCACAUCCCAAGCUUAAAGCGCUUUUCUUGUGGGGGUGGUUAACUUCGUUGGAUUGGGAUGUGAUGGUUGUCCAAGACAAGAAUUUAGGUGUUGUAGUAGACAUUUGCAGGUCUUCUACGCAAGAAAACCAUCGGUUGUCUUUUUCUUUAAUACCUGACCAAGAGCACCAGUCUCUACGAUUAAGGCUUCGAAAUAUAUGGAAAGUCGUAUGGAUCAAUUUAUAUGUAUUUGGUUUUCCUAACAUGCCUUCAAAGCUCAAAUGUGAUAAAUUUUGUAUAACAUUUUGUGUGCAAAAUAGUCACUGGUGAUUUUGUUAUGUGCAGAGGCCCCGUCCUGGGCCUAUACACGUGGCAGCCCAGGGAGGCCUGAGCUGGGUUUAGACUCCGGGCCCAUGGGAACCGUCUCGCGGCCCUCCUCCGCUAGGGCUCUAAGGGGCUCCAGAGAACAAUCCCGCAUAGGUCGGGAUUGCUCCCCCUCAGUGCGGGAUUGAGGCUAUUCUGGGCAGGUCCCGAAACGUACGGAGGUCAGACUCCUAAACAGGUAUAAAUAAUAACGCACACCGACUGCGCAAGGGACGCUCACUAUUGGACAAUUACUCCCGACCGUUUUACUUCCCGUGAAUCUCACUCACCGGAAAACUAACUUGACCGUCGAAGUGCCCUCGGGGACGACCUCGGGGCUCCCCCAUUGGAUCACUUUCUUGUCCGUUUUUCAGGCUUAGGACGUGCUCUUCUCAUCAGCACGCCGAGCUCAUCAGGUCAGCUCGGUCCGGGGAAGUUCAGUGCUUCUUCAUUACGUGUUGUAGACUAAUAGAUAUUGAUGUUAAGUAUACUUUUAAGAUUAUAGUUAUGCUUAAAUUUAGCAAUGAAGAUACAAUUUUUUCUUUGAGUUUAGAAAUAUCAGAUCAAAAGAGUUUUUCUUCUUAUGAUCAUGACCUCAAGAUUAUCUAGAGUUUUAAUUUUCAAUCGAUAAGUGUGGAUAUGAUAUAACAAGAGAGUUAAGACUAAUAGACAUUCAUGUUAAAAAUACUUUUAUGCUUACAUUUGUGCUUAAAUUUGGCAAUGAAGAACAUUAUAUAUAUCUCUUUGAGUUUAGGAACAUCAAAACAAUAAUAAUGUCUUCUUAUUUUGAGGUCAAUAAUAUAAUCUCGAAUAGGUCCAACACUUUUGUAAAAGGUAACGAGCAUGUCAUUCUAAUAGUUUAGCUAAUUCAAUGGAUAACAAAAGGGAAUUUCAUAAUUUUUUUUUAGGUGUGUAUAAAAUGACCAACUCUUUUUAAAAAUCUUCAAAUUAUAUAAGCUCAAUAAUGAAUUUCCUUAAAGUGAGGGGGCAAUUACCCAUUCUCACCUACUUGUUGCUCUUAAUUAUGUGUCAUUAACUUGAAAAAAAAAAAAGAAGAGAAGUGGAUAGUUAUAAAAUUACCUUGAAUUAAACUAUAUGGAGGUUAUUGCUUUAGCAAAUAUUUUGCAUGGGAAUAUUUGGACGAUUUUGUCCUUUACAACGGGGAUGUAAUAUUGGUGUUUAAAAAAUUAAUAAUAAUGGACAAAUACCAAAGUCAUUGUUGUGACAUUAUAAUAGUUAAAAGUUAUGUUAGAUAAAUUAGUUUAUGUAAUUCAAUUAAAUGCAUUUAAUUACUCGAAAAAAAUCUACAAAUUCGUUACUUGUGGUCUAAUAGAAGUGUACAAAUUUUUGUAGGAAGCUAAAAGAAAUUUUUUUUUUUUUUGUGACAAGCUGAAAGGCUCUUUCCAUCUAUUACUAACACGAAGUCGUACCAAAGUAUCGACAAGACUGUGUCAUCUAAGCAAUAAAUUAAGUAGGAUAAGUAAGUUUACAUGACAUGGUGAUAUUGAUUUACAGGCAUACCAACCAAGAUUCUUCUAUAAUGACACAAUACUUAAUCCUUCAGAAAUACUAGUACGAGUCUAAACUUUUUAUUGCAAAAACAUGAACCACAUCUAUUAAUUUUACUAAACAAAAACGUAAGAAGUUGCCAACAAGCAAAGUGAGAAAACACAUAUAUAUCCUGUGUUUUUCUGACUUUUAAGAUAUAUAUAUAUAUUUUUCAUUUCUUGAUCCUUCUAUCAUUGUCAUCUGUUGUCCGUCCAACUCAAAAAUCACUUUUGGUCCCGUAGACUGUAAGGCCAUCCUGUUUGAGAUCCCCAUUCUUGACGUCCCAAUACUCAAAAGCAACGGAAUUUCCUUUUUCUACAUGACUUGGAACUUUAAGAAAAGCAUAAUCUCCAUGGUUAAGACGGGAUUAAAAAAAAAAAGAGAGAGGAAACUAUCAUUAGAACGAUGUGUAGGCAAAAUUGAAUUCAUGGGAUUCUUAAAAUUUCCGUAUUCUUUUUAAUGUUUGAUCGAAUUUUCAGUAUCCUCGAGUUUCAAAAUCUCUUAGGACUCUAAAAUCCCUUAAAACAAAAUGGGACACUUUAGAACCCUUACAUUUUUCAUUCUUGCGAUUAUCCAUGACACUUGCAUCAUUUCAUGCGUGUUCUUGAGGACCGCGCGCCAAAUCUUGUAAGUAGCAAAGAACAAUAAAGCAGAAUCCCAGAAUUCAUCUUCCUGAAAUUUCAAUCUCCUGCCAAACAUGGGGUAGAAGUUCUUUGAUUUUCAGUCCCCGGGGAAAGAAAGAUCCCUUGCACUAAUGAGAGAAAUCUUGUACUAGUAUUUAAAAGUAAGCUAAAUCAGGAUGUGACACCACACGAUUAAGCUAAGAAUGAUGAAAAUGAAGCAAUUCAGUGCAGUUGGGCUGUGUGAUAUGGUUGUUUUCGUGCUUGGAGUUCACGGCAACAUUCAAUGAUGAUAUCAAGAAGUUGAAGCAAAUUAGAUUGCAUUUUCCCUAAACUGUAUAAUCCUCAAUCAUAAUUCUUAACAACUCCUUGUUGGGUCUCGCUGCACUAAUGAACUCUAGUGCUCCACUGCUAAUAGCCUGACAGGGAAUGUUGCCAUAAGUGAUGGUUUACAAAUGAAUUAGGUUCUUAAAAAGUUGUUUCGUUUAUACAAAGUCAUUUUAUUAAAAAUUGUUUUUUCUAAAAAGGUCUUCAAAUCAAAGUUUUGUUUCUCCACGCACCUUUUAAUCUCACGCAUAUCACAUCCCAGAAAUUAAUAUAUUACAAUAAUAUUCUAAAAAAUGCAUUAAAAAAAACACGCAAUUGAAAUGAAAAAGAAGAUUUGAACAAUGCCUUAUCAAUAUUGAGUAGAAUACAAGAAAUUUGGCUGGUUUUACUACUGGGUUUCUUUCUUAACGAAAAAACCAACCAUAUUAGUUCACUUCUCCUCUUUAUUUCCGAAGAGAAAUUUACUUCGUCCUUUUUCUCAAAAUAACCAUACGAGAUACUAAAUUAGCAUCAUUUUACUUCUUAGUUUUUCUUUCCCUUUCCCUUCUAACCAUUUAUUCCCAUCUCAGCUUCAAAUCAGAUAUGCUCUUAUCUUAUCCACUGUAAAUACUAACUUGUGAAGGUAUACAAAUUCCCACCCAAACUUUUUACCCACCCUUCAUGAUGGCUGAAAGAAAGCAAGUUGUUUUUUUUAAAAAAAAAAAAAAAAAAAUUCCUAUUCGACAUUGGUAUAAGUUGCCAUUCUUUUUCGGGUUAAUUCCACUUUGUCCCCCCAAACUUUGGACGAUUAUCCACUUAAGUCCCUAAACUUCAAAAUGGGACACUUAAGUCCCUAAACUUAUAAAUACCUCCCACUUAAGGAAAAUUGUUAACAAAUCUUGAAUGCCGUUGGUGGUCGAAGUGUCCCAUUUUAUAAGGGUUUAGGGAUUUAAGUGUCCCAUUUUAUAAGUUCAGGGACUUAAGUGGGAGGUAUUUAUAAGUUUAGGAACUUAAAUGUCCCAUUUUGAAAUUUAGGGACUUAAGUGGAUAAUCGUCCAAAGUUUGGGGGGACAAAGUGGAAUUAACCCUUCUUUUUCUUUACUUUGAUACUUUCUGCUUGACCUUCCAGAAGAAGCAAGGAAUCCGGUCAUUCACCAAAAUAAUCCAGCAUAUCAGCAUGCAAUAUGAAUAAUUCCAUUGAUGUUUGCAUGUGGGCUAUUAACCUGUAAGUUUUUAUUUGAAGACAGCCUAGAACAUACAAAACAGGAAGAGAAAUAAAAGAUGAGAAACUGUAAUUUACAAAAAAAAAAAAAAAAAAGAAACCUAACCUCUGUAGCAUCUGUCCCAAAUAUUUUGUGGUUUAGUUUUCAAAUACUCCACUACCUAAAUGACUGAUAAUUUUCAUGACAUAUCUCCACCAAAAAAAAAAAAAAAAAAACUUUCAUAAUUCCCUCAACUAUAAAUCCAUGUCAAUUUAUUCCUACAGGGAAAUGAUUGAAAAUUGUUUGCAAGUUGCCUAACCCCAAGACACGGUAUUUGUGUAGGUGUAGGCCAACACCAGACAAAACGCUGCUGACUUAACUAACACAACCAACCAAUGACCUUAAAAUGAACUGCCUACAAAGAUAAACCAAACUAAGCAUCCUCUAAAUUAACCAUCCGAUGAAAAUCUUGAUUUAUCGAUGGUCCAGAAUAAAGGAGAAAAAUGGACCCCACUCCAAGAUCAUUAGAUUAUGCAGACUUUGGUGGUACUAAAUUAGUAGUACUGUAUUUCUGAAGUCUUUAGACCCCAGGAACGUGUAAAGAGUAAAGACUGGCAAAGGCAGAAAAUAGAGAGAGAGAGAGAAGAAAGAAAACAUUUUUAAAACACGGAAAAAGCUAAGAAAGAGAUACACAGGAAAGAAGAGAUCAAAACAGAGUCAAAUUUUUGAACGCCAACCGCUCCAAUUUUCCAAUUCCACUUCAUCAAUGCCCACCAUCGCAAAAUCCCACCUUUAAAUACCUCCAUUUUUUCAAAACCCAUGUUUUAGUUUCUCAAGUUGUGAUCAUAUAUUUCCUCUAUCAAUCACCGCAUAUAUCCCCAAGUUUUUCCCUGUUCUUUUGGCUUUUGUACUAGCAGCAUGACGGCUUUGAACAAGAAUCAGUCAAGACUCUGCCUUUUUCUCCUCAAAAUCUGAUCCCAUGUGUUGUGACAGCUUCAGUUGAAUCCGUGUCUCUUACUUUAUCUUUGCCUGCUAAUAUAUUUCCCCUUCUGUUAUUGAUAGAAAUUUAGGGUCAUUUGAAUUCAAAAUUUUACACUAUUCUGCCUGUUUCUUUCUAGAAUCAACAAAAUUCUGUUGAUUUUGAGGAAUCACAAUCCCUUUCUAUUCAGUUCCCGUAUGUUCCUCUGAGAGUUCCUUAAUUCGUGUUAAGAAGAUUCAAUUUUGAUUCCAAGUUUCUGUCUUUUUUGUUUGUUCCCUUCAAGUUCCCAAUUCUUGCGGAAAUUGAACCAUGGGAAUUCAGAAGGAUAGGGUGAGAUUUAAUGUUGGUGGAAAAAUCUUUGACACUUCAGCCACAACCCUGGCGAAUGCUGGCCGAAAUUCUCUCUUUGGAGCUAUGUUUGAUGAGAAUUGGGACCUCCAAUCUGGUCAUUCCACCACGGAGCACUUCAUUGAUCGAAAUCCAGACUAUUUUGCAGUUCUUCUUGACCUUCUCAGGACAGGGGAAUUGUAUCUUCCGUCAAACAUGUCUGAGAAACAGUUAUACAGAGAGGCUCUGUUUUAUGGCAUUUUGGACCACGUCAGGUCUGCUAAGUGGGGUCCGUUCGAUGGAAACAGGCUCCGAUUAGCCCGGUCAGUAACUGGCCGGGCACCGGGCGAUGGGACUGCUAUCAGGGCUGGUCCAGAUGGUGGCUGUUGUGUGGCUCAUGGUAGCAUGGUUCAUGUGUAUGAUUGGAUGCUUGAAGUGCAUCCUCCUAUUAAUCUUGAUUAUCAAAGAGUCAAUGAUGCUGGUUGGAUCGAUCCUGAGAGCAUUGUAAUCAGUGCUUGUGAGAGGUUUGGUACGGGAGAUGGAGGCAUGGGAUUGUUCAGUGCAUCCACGGGGGAACGAAGGUAUAAAUUUCAUGUUAGUCAUGAAAAUCAAGUUAAGAGUUACACUGCUGGUGCAUUGAGUUUUAGUCCAGAUUAUAAGUUGUUUUCUAGUUGUAAAGGUAGGAGCAAUGAGUAUGGGAUUGGUGUUUGGGACCAAGUGACGGGGAAGCAGAUUGACUUUUUUUAUGAGCCACCUGGAUGGUCACUCGGUGAAGCAGACAAACUACAAUGGUUACAUGGUAACAACUGCUUGUUGGUAGCAACUUUGUUUCCAAGGAAGGACAACUGUUACAUUGGUUUGCUGGAUUUCAGGGACAAAAGCAUGCCUUGGUCCUGGUCUGAUGUAGGGGCUCCAAUUACGGAUGAAAAGCGAGUUAGGGAUGCAAUAGCAAUGGAGGAGAGUAGCUCCGUAUGCGUGGUGAAUGAAUACGAGGACUUGGGGUUCAUGGAUUUGAGGAGGGCUGCCGGAAGUGUGAGAUGGAGUUCAAGGAGCCGGUUGAUGAAGGGGAAAAUGCCUGAUGAACCAUGCUAUCCAAAACUGGCGUUGCACGAAGGACAGCUAUUUUCAUCGAUGAACGAUAGCAUCUCAGUGUUCCGUGGUCCAGAUUGGGUGUUAACAUCAAGGCUUCGACGAACUUAUGGCGGUUCAAUUUGUGAUUUUUCCAUAGGUGGUGAUCGGCUUUUUGCCCUGCACAGCGAGGAAAAUGUAUUUGAUAUAUGGGAGACUCCAUCUCCACCUAUCAUAUGAUCAUAUACUUAGUUUUGUUGUUCAACUUCUUAGUCACCUUCUUCUGAAUGUUACUGUUUGUUCUCUCUUAUACACUAUUGACAACCGGGUUGGCGCCUUUGAUAGCAGAGAGGCCUAAAGCUUCUGUUUGGUGCUUGAAAGUUAGAGAAGAUAAGGUUGAGCCUUAUCUAAUUGUGAGAUUGUACAGAAUUUUCUCAUAAUGACAUAGACAUCAUAUGAUGAGACAGAUUGCUUAACAACCAUAUGUUUUCAAAAUCGGCUUGCUUCUGGAAGUCUAAACUCGAGCAAAUUGUAUAAAAUUGGUUAAUUUCUUGACCUUCUUGGGAGUUUGGGACCACCACAGUCCUUAUCUCUCUCAAGAGCCCUUUAUCAGCAAUCUUUUUUUGACCAUUGCUUUUGCAAAGAUGGUUCUUUAGUUGUUAGGCCUGCCAUCCCACUUUUUCAUCUCAGUUAGAUUCCACGUUCUUUACAGAGACAAAAGGAGAUGAAAGUUGCUAUAUUUGCAUGUUGUGAGCAGUUGAACUAACUCCUAAACCUGAGUGGCUAGUUAUUUAUGAAGCUGGUGAUCUCGAGAAGUCGAGCCAGUGCGAGAUAUUGCCAUGGUUUUUUGUGAAGUAUCAAGAAAAGCCCAGUCUUGCCACCUAGUCUUCUCCAUUUACGCACUCUAAACCAAGUCCAUUGUUCCAGCAUCUCUUUCCAGAUGCUGCAAAUUAAUAAUACUGAUUCAACUGCAGUUAGUUCAUUUCAAUGCAAUGUACUUCAUUAAUUUAGUUUCAAAACUGCUAAGAAAGGAGCAAAUCCCAAUUUGAUGGGACCACAGAAGGAUAAACAAAACAUGUAUUCUGCUGACCAUUGCCGGCACUCCUCAGGAUUUCACGGCAGAUUAGAUAAACAAGAGCUUAAAGCAAAGGGUGUUUGAAAAUUUUAUAUGAAUCCAUCGACUAUUGACAAUGAUAAACAGUUUUUAUUUUACGACAUACAGGUAAAUGUGAGAAACCUAGUGUGUACCUAGGGCAGAUACAAGAACAUUAAACUUGUCUAUUAGGUAUCAAAAUCCCCUUCCCCAACAAAAAGAAGAAAGCAAAAAAGGUGAAGAGGAACAAAAGAAAGAAUGGAAAUCAGACUGGAACUUUCCCUGAACUGCCAUAUGGAAAGAAAUCCAGACUUCAGCGACAACACUUAGUAAGCUCGCAAAAGAGAAACCAUCACAAAGAAGGUCCAAUUAGUAGGGAGACCAAGUCUUGUGUUCAUUACAUAUAAAAAUGGAACUAUUUCUUGAGAAUCUAAAAUCUUUAAAACCAAUGUAUGCACCAUUAGGAAGGUUCCUUCGUUCUAAACUUGAUUGAAAAAAAUUAUUUGAAGAGAUGCAAGUACAGUAGGAAUAAGACAGAACCUUACUGCUUGGAAGCAAAUAACAAUAUUUUGUGAUAAAAAGGCAGUGGACCCAAUUAAUUAAGCAUAAUCUGGCAUUACUUUCUUAAGGAACUUGAUUGGCUGGGACUCUUCAGCGGCGAUUUCAUCGAAGGCGAUGUAGUUUUGCUCCUUAUUAUAAACGUGACACAUUGUCAAUAUGGUCUUCAUUAAUCUCCAGUUCCAUGUAGCUUCAUUCAGAUACUGUUGCAUCAUGGAGAACAUGGAGAAUACACGUAAGGAAGCUGAAGAAUAUCUUAUAGGCAUGUACUUAUAAUAAGGAGGAGGAGGGCUUGUGGAAAUCAGAUGCUGCCCUUAAGGACCCUCCAGACCCCCCUCCAGUUAUGUUCGACUAAAAAUUUGAGAAUUCCCUUGUGAGGUAAAAUGGAAAGUAUUGUUUUCGUCGUGGCUGCUGUAUCAUGGAAAGCACUUAUAGAAUCCAUACCUUGCCCCAGUUCUCCUGCAAAGACUGAUGGGCUGCCUGCAAGUUGUAGCUUGGUAUCCGUGAAGAAAUGUGAUGGGGAAUAUGAACAUUGAUAUUAUGACAAAGGAUUUCUAUCCUGUCAAAGAAACAAAAGGACAUAUAAAUUCCUCUGCAAUGACAAGAAAUGAAAUCAAAACAUUCCUCCAGGUGAUACAAUAUAGUUAAUUCAGGAUCAAAUUCCUAAUUAUGUGUUUCGACUAAACUCCCACCAUAAUUUAUGUUUAAAAAGCAUCAGCUAAACAUGUGGUUGUCAUUAACAAAAUAGUUUCAGCAUAGCAUUUCGGCACUCCUGGUUUAUGCUUAUAUCUUCAACAAAUUAGUCAAGUGAGGUGGGAAUACAAGCCAUAAAUACUUUUCAAGGCAUGAGGAUAUGGAUCAAAAGCUCUUCAUCAAUCAGUAGACAAUUUCAUAAAUAACAAUUCUCUUGAAUAACAUGCAUAAUCAACACAAAUAUCUAAGCAGGAGCAGCAAUGUAAUCACCAUGUUGCCAAUUCAAAGAAUCACAAAGGAUAUAUUUCUUUUACCAUUUAGGAUAAUCACAGUGCACUGUCCCAUUAAGCUGGGCCUGAGCUGCAUUCCACUCAUCUGAGUCUUUGAAAGGUAUAUGAGGAGCUGUGUGAUGCACCAUUGUGAAAGUGCUCAUCUGCAAGUUUUGAUGACACAAAUUCAAAGUGCUAUAAAUCAUCAAACAUAAGGGUGGAAAGCACCAGGUUCUCUGUUAGAGAGAAGACAAAUGAAAUGUAGGAUUUUAUUUUUGUCUAGCCAAAAUCCAGAACUUUGAUGCAAAGUUAAGGAUACUGAAGUCUCAUCUCCUCUGGUUGACGUGAACCAUGAAGGAUUCUGUCAAGUUAAAAUAAUAUUUCAUGGUGAAUUUUAAGCAACAUAUAAAAAUAUUAGAUGAUAUUCACAGUACUUGGAAGGUCAGGGAUUCCUUGAACAACAUCCAGUAUAAAUAACUUCAAAAGGGUAAGAAGAAAGUCAAUAAGAUUGUCUAUGGACACAACAGGCCAGUAUUACAGCGUCUCUACCAUGACUACCUGAUGCAAAUUUGUUUUCUAAAGAAAGAAAUGUUCAUAAUACUGGCUUUCCAUAUCUUCAAGUUAUAGAUUCCAAUUAAAUUUUCACCUGUAAACCAUAUACCGGGUUAAUCUAGUAACCACUGUUCAAAAUGGUGCCUAAAACCAAAAAAGAGGUGAGAAAGUAAGUUACCCAAAAGUGAUAACCCAACCAUGGCAUUAACCAAAAAUUAAUCCAUCCAAUGAUCCCUGUCUUGUAUAUUAUCAGCGGCCAUCCAACAGCCAUAAAAGCAAAUACACAAGCCAAGCUUAUCUUCACCCUGUGCACUUCACUUGGUCUGAACUUCUUCAAGUCAAAGUGCCAGAUUAACCUAAAUAAUAGUAUUUGACACAUAUGCACAAACAUCAAAUUUGCUUCUAAAAAGAAAGAAUGGAAAAAAUGGAUAAGGUCCUAAGUUUCAAAACAUAUUAAAUCUCUAGCCGUCAAGUACCAGUGAGCUAUAGACAUCCAAGGUCGAAAUGGUCCAUAUCCGUAUAUGAUUGCUUUCCUUAAGACUGGGCUUGAGUCAAAUUCUUCUUUUACAACAGGAUGCCAAGCUGUAUCUUCUUGCAGCCUGGGAUGAAAGCAGAAGAGGCAAUAGAGGUAAAGAAGACUAGCAGAAAAUCUAUAAAAUGAGAACUCAAAUGCCCAUAAACAAGCUCAACUUCCCCAGAAAAAAGAAGAAACAAAGAAACAAUAACCAAGAAACAAGAGGAAUAGGCAAUAGCAUAGAUAUACUUUAUCUAUAUGCAUAUCUUACUGAAAUAUGUAAUUUACUCUGUGCAUGUGGAUUGCAGAAAGAAUUAAGAAAAUUUUACUUUCUGUGGUAGAUAUAGAACCAGGGUAGUUACUUUAAUGUCUGAGCAUAUGACCAGAUACCGAGGUUUCAAUUAAGGUUGUAGAAGAAAACAAAUAUCUCUAAAGGACAUAUAGAUUCUUCCCAGGCAUCUAGUUCAAAUGGAAAAAACAGCCCGUGAGCGAACUGAAGUAUGGAUUCAUUACCCAAAUACUGAAUGAUUUUUCCUUCAAGUUGCAUGUCCAUUUACAGAUUUCUCAAAAAACUAAUGGUAGAGCCACAGAGUCUUCCUAAAAUCUAAUGUUGAAAAAGUCCACUAACCACCUUACAAUGACAAAAUUGCUGAAGUUUAGCUUUGUCCUACUCUCUGCAAUGACCUAAAACAAUCUAUCCAUACACUUGACCAGCACUCCCUUAUACUCCUACAGCUCAGAGGCAAGAAAUACUGGACUAAAAGACUACCUUAAAACAGAACGAAAUUCAUGUUGACAACGGACACUCAAAAGUUAAAAGAAAAUGAAAUUUCAGUCUUAAGUUGCAAAGCUUAUGCAGGUGCACAUGGGUAGCAUUUCUGUUAAGUCUGUGUGUGCGCGCAUUAAUUGUUGACCUCAGUAAAAAUAGCAUAUCUAAAAGAAGAUAUGUGAGAACAAAGAAAUUGAUUAGUUCAGUCCAAAGUGCAUAGCUUCAGCAUAUGACAUAUAUAUGGGCAGCAAAGGGGGGGAAAACAUGCAAUGUGCACCACAAUCAGUACUCAGAAAACACUCUUGUAUCAAAGUAGUCUUUGUCCCAGCCAUCAAGAUAUAUUUAGCUUCUUCAAAAUAUAAAGAAACAAAUUCCGAAAUACGCUAAGUGGCUAGACAAAGACGCUGAAAUUCUUACAAGGAUGUCGGUUAAUUGAUCCUUUCAGAGUUAUAAGUAUGAGCAAAAUAAAAUUGAACUUAGAGGCAAAAUAAACAAUUCACAGGAAUCUCAUACAGACAUGUUUGUUUUUGCAUGAUGCCUAUCAUGCUUAAAACGCCAUGGCUCGUAUGGGUAAAUCAGUGGCAAGAAGGCCAGAGUUCCAAUGAUAUCUUCCACUAGCUUGUUCUUCGAGAAUGAUUUGUGCGCACAAUCAUGUCCUAUAACAAAGAACUUCACAAUACAAGAUAAGAAAGAAAAUAAUGCAAAAAAGUUGGUUUUGUGUACCAUGAAUGAAAAUAAAUAAAAAAAGCUUCUGCUAUUCUGAAAUAACUUGACAGGAAGGAAAACUUGACAUGAAAUCAAUUUGAUAAUGCUCUUGGAUUUGAGGUCCCCCGGGGGCCCGGGGGGAGGGGGGAUGGUAAGAAAAUUUUCAUCAAAUUGUUAUUUUCCUUCCUUUCAAACUGUUAAAAUAUGGAAAUAAUAAUGAUAAAUAUACAUGCAGAACUAACCCCAGUAACUGCAGUUCCUGUCCAAGCCCAAGCCAGGGGAAGUAGAUACCAUGGUGUUUUAGCAAUCAUGAAGAGUCCCAAGGCAUAGGAUGUUGCAGAUAUCAAGACAGACUUCCAUGCUUUUACAUCAUCUAUCUCAAAUACCUAAAAGUAAAAUUUAAUGGGAAGAUUAUCACUGUUUUUUCUUGGUAGUGUUACUGGAGCCCAAAACUGUAAAAUUUUCACAGAACACAUACUACCAAUUUAGAGCUCAACUCAAUUUUCACAAAUGCUUGGAUCCUUGCAUUCAUCCAGAGUGGUGGAGCCACAUAAAAUAAGUUCAAACCUAGGUCAUUAAGUAAGUUGGAGUAACAUCCUUAAGCCUUAACAACAUCUAUGCCCAAGGCAAAUAGUGCUAUGCUGCCAUAUUGGCAGGCAUAGUUGUUUAAACAAGAUGCAUUGUGCUAUUUCUGUCAUUUACAGCCAACUUCCAGCAUCUUCUUCUGCAUUUUUUUUCACCUGCAGAGAGAGGGGGGGCAGUGGCUAGAGGAGGAGCCAAUUAGUCAAGUUUUUGUUCAUUAACUAUUUGAUAUUGUAUUGCGUUCUCACUCAUGUCUUGGUUGGAAUUGAUAUAGAUCCUAAAGUGAAGCUAAAAUACUGUAAAAGACAAAAGUACAGACUGAAGUUGCAUAAAAGUGCUCUCAGAAUAUGCUCCUUCACUGUUUCAAAUAUUCAAAGUUGAAUAACUCCAACAUAUUACAUAUUUCCUAAUCAGAUCAAAGAUCAUAUUCACAUCCUAAAAAACAUUCAGCAAUGAGAGAAACAACAUCCAGUGCAACUAUCCUGAAGGAGAAUAAUUUCAUUCCUUAUUAGGAAUCAACGAAGCCAAGUUAAGACCAAAAAGUUGAGCUUAAAAAUUUGGUUCUACGAAUAGCAAAUCAAUGGAAAUCUCACUGAACAUAUAGAACUCUUCUGAACAUCAGAAAAACUAUCACCUUUUUUGGGAGGGUUUCAAUAAUAUCUUUCAGAGUGACAUUAUCUGGAAGUGGCUCUCCAAUCUGUCGAAAACCAUAUCUUUCAGAUAAUUGUUUCCUAUGCUCUCUUCUGUCUGCCGGAGAUGGAGCUAUUGGGACUGCCACAGCUUGUACAACCCUACUGUGUCUCAAAGAAAUUAAACAUCUUUUCUGGUUGUUUCUUCCACGAAAUAUAUCUUCCCACUUCAAAUUAAAUGUGCCUGCUCAGCAUGAUAAAAACUGUUAUACAAUUGACUAGAAAAGUGGAUGAAGCAUACCACACCUAAAAUAUCAUUAUUAUCAAUAGCCACUUACAGCAAAUAAACAGAAGUUUCAGCUAUUACUGAAGGUCACGUAAUAGGAAAGCACAGCAACUUAUAGAGUUUUCAUAUCAUUGAACACAACUUACAUCAAGUACCAUGGCCUAUAUCUACAUGCCACAUUGCUCUGUAACAAUUAAGAACGUGUAUGUUUAUCAGACGAGAUAUCUAGUAGUGAGAUUGCAUCCAUGUAGAGUAAUAAGAUGGAUUCCUUCAAUUACUAAAGAAAGUAAAUUAGCGAUCGAGGAGUCACGACAUAAUUUGGCCCCCUAUUCUCUCAUUCAUUCACACAGGCUUCGCUAUAACUAUUACUUCAUUAUCAGUAAAGAGAAAAGCAUUCCAAACCAAAUAGAAUAGGAUCACCAACUUAUAGUCUUCAACACCAUUAUCCAAACCACCCCCAUGCAGGCAUCACUGAACAUUUGUAAACAGAAAAGCAUUGAGAAUCUCAAACCAGCUAUGAGACCCCGUGAUCCGACCUACGCCUCAAAGGCCACAGCCAGAAUUGCUUUCCCUUUCAUUUUUUCCUUUUGUCAUUCUCAAUACCUCAAUAUUCAUCAUCCAACAAUUUCAUCCUGUUAGGCCAUUGAAUCAUUUCUAAAAAUAGCUGUGUGGACUAAUAAAUCUCACUCUGACAGUUCCCAAUUUUAAAUAAUAUUUCAAUCGCAACAUUGAACUCCCAUCUAAAAAAUGUAAUACACUGUGGCUUAAUGAAUUAACAAUUAAAUAAGCACUUCUCUCAAGCCACAUCCUUCCCUCCUUGAGUGCUGCUAAAAAAAAACCUCAUCUUGAUUCACAAGAACUCAAUUGACAAGAAUCACAAAGUUUAUAUUUACCAGGACAAGUAAGUGGGGACAAUUUAUGGUUCUGAAUUGGCCUCCUUUGUUGACCCUAAUUAUAGAAAAAGCAAAAUAAAACCCAUACAUUAGUGUAUCAACAACUAAAAAAACUAUUGAACACGCAACAGGAAAAGAGAAUAUUGACCACAAGAAGGAAGCUGGAGCCUGCAAGUCUGCAAGCCAUGAAGACUAGUGGAAACUGCUGGGUUUCUCUAGUUCAAGAAACCCAGUAGCCCUCCUAAUCCAACUGCUUGUUUGCAACCCUUUACCCCUUUAUCAAUGUCCAAGUGGUCUGAAGAAGAUAAAGGGGUAACAGGGAGAGGGAAGACGACUGCAAUUGGAGCUUGACACAGACCAAAAAAGGGUCCCAAAAAAAGGGAGUGGCAGUUUAUAUCAAAAGUUCAAAACUAGGAUGAGGUUUGUGCUGUCGGUAGCUCGUUCUUGUGGUACAUGUGCAAGAAGACGCAAAAUCUCAAGUUUGCCCGUUGUGGACAGAAUUGCCCGCCACAGCAACAGGUUAGGGUCAACGACUCAAUUGGCUUGCAUGUCUUUCUCAUUUUUGUUUAGGAAUUGAAAUUCAAGAUAGAAGGCAUGACUUUUUUGUUUGGUUAAAAUAAUUGUUUUCCCUAUUAAACACGUUUUUGUUUAUAGUACUGAAAAAAGUUUUGAUGCUUUGGGAUGUUGUGGAAUUUUUUGUCAAACAUGGCGAUUUGCAGCGAUGGGUACUCUAGAAUUUCGACUAUCACCCUCGAAAUCAAAUUAAUACAAAAUCUUGGUCAUUAAUGUCAGACCACAUCAUAUAUUUAUACUCAUGGAUUGUGAGUGUCAAUAGAAAAUUUUCAGUUAAAACUGAGAUGAUUAUUUCGUCUUUAUAGCAUUUUUUGGCACAGUUAAAAUCUCAUUAUUCAUAAUUAUGACAAUUGAUAUACUCGGACAGUUUCAAAAUGGCGGCAUUGUAUCAUACAUUAGUCAUAACUCAUACGCCAUUGGAAGAAAUGAAUAUGGGCAUCCGCAUUUACCUAUAAUGCUCUGCUUAUUGGCAAUCAUAUGUAACUAAUGUAAACGUUUAGUUCAGUGUAAUUGUAAAGCAAGAAAGACUUUUUACCUUUUUAAGAGGAAAAAAGAAGUUACGCAUAUAUUUUCUCACACCUUUUCUUUAUACAUAUGUAUAUAUAUGUUGUACUCUUUAUGUUGUGUUCGAGAACUGUUUGUUCCAUGCGAAAAUAAUUUUAAAAGAAGAUGCACUCUGUUUUCUCUACCCUAAUAAAUUAUUACUUACCAUCUUGAGGAAAAUAAGUAGAUUUGAGGCUCUGGAUUAAGGUAAUUUUUUUUACACUAAUUAAUGUGCCUAACUUUCACUCAAGCUAUCAUAUAUACAUACAUACAUAUUAAUAAUUAUUAUCCUCUCUUACAGUUAUAUAUGUUUCUUAAUUAAUAAGGAGGCUUUUUCUAAGGCAUUCGUUAGUCAAACCCAGACCCCUCUUUUAAGUAUUUAAGAAUCAAUUUUGUUUCGUGUAAAAUAUUUACAGAAUAUGUAAGGGACUAUGCCAAUAACACCUUUGUAAAAUUUUAGUGGUCUUAUGCUAAUUAGUCAAAAGAAACAAUUAAGUAUUAAUCUCUCUAAAACUCUUGAAAAUUUGGCUUCCUGCCUAAUAAACUAAUAAGUUGCAGUUAAAUUCCUAACCGUUAGAUUAAACAGUCAAAUUUUUCCCACUUACUGUUAGAAUCUAAACGCAGCACAAACAACUAUUAACAUAUUAAGUACACAACAAUUUAAUAAAAAACAAAUCACAAGUAUGAAACAUAAAGGAUACACAAUAUUUAACGUGAUUCGUCUCCGCCAUCAAACCUACGUUCACGGAGAGAAAUCCAUUCUUUAUUAAGAGAGAAAAAUCCUAUACAAGAAUAUAAGUUAAACUCAAAUCCAACCCCUAUAUACUAUUUCUCAUCUCCCAAGAACCCUCUCUCACGAUCUAUAUAUAAAGUUACAUAUCGUCGCUUGUGUGUCCUUUUGUGUGUCUUUUGUAUAAUAUGUCAAUCCACAUAUGUAUAGUAUUAUCUGGUCAAAUUUAAAUAACAACAAGAAAUUAGUGCUAAUUUCUAAACUUAUACUUAUAGAAAAUAACUUCUAAAUCCUAAACAAAAUAAGAAAUUUCUUGGCUACUAUUUCAAGUAACUAAUACCAAUUAAAAAACUAGUUACUUCCACAUAAAACAUGAAAUCUAACUAAAAGAAAUUAAAUCAAUUUCCUAACACUUACUUCUCACCACUAGAUUGGAUUCAUUUUAAGAAAGAUUACUGAAGAGGCUCGCCGAACUUCUUCUACCUUUUCUCUGUGUUAGAUUAUUUUAGGCUAAAUUAGUGACAACUUGACUUUCGGUACACCUGAAGAGCUUUCAGCCUGCUGCUGUACAUGCUAUUCCUCCAGCUCUAUCUACUGGAGUAAGCAAUGAUGGUGAUGCAAAAUAAUGGUAAGAUUAAAGCACAAAAAAAUAUUGAUAUUUUUGAAAUUUGUAUUAUGGUUUUUUAACUUAAAAAAUGCUUUAACAAUAGUGAACUAAUGAAAAAAGGGACAUUUAAAACUUUUGGCUAUUUAAAAAGUUGGAUUGUGAUCUGAAUCCAUUGCCAUUUUUUUUUAAAAAAAAAUGCAUUGCUACUUCAAAGAAAAUAUGGAGUGGUAUUGAUUAAUGGGAGACUAUAUAAUAUAUAGAGUUAAUUAUAGUUUGCACCUUUGAACUUGACCCUUUAUAAUAUUUUGUCCUCCUGAACUUUAAAUAUGUACACUUUACUCUCUUCAUUGACUAGUCAAAUAUUAAUGAUGAAUUCAAGAAGGGGGAUCAUGUGUUGGUUAAACUUUACCAACACGGGCAUGUUCGUGGUGUGUACAAGAGUCUAAUGCGAUUAUAUGAAGGACCGUUCACUAUAUUCAAAAAGAUGGAAAACAUGACGUACAAGGUACCCGAAAUACUAUCCCAACUCCAUCCGAUCUUUCAUGUCAAUUUGGUCAAACCAUUUUAUCAAGAUCCGCAUGAUCCACCAAGAAACAUGUCGACGAAAGCACUCGCGGGCAUGAGGGACAAGUACGAUAAAGUUGCUGAGUAAAUCGUGGCCAACUGUAUUAUUCGGUACAAGAGUUGAGCACUAUCAAAGAAGUACUUGACGCGAUGGCAUGGGCUAUUGAAAUUGGAAAUACGCUAGGAAUCAGCUGAAAAGUUGUGGCAAUUCAAGAGCCUAUACAGGCAUAUGAAAUUAGUUAAGGCAUCGAGGUGAUAUCUUGUUCGAGUGAGGGAGGAUGACAAGGAUUUCAUUCUAUCCAUGCAUGAUCGUGCCUGUCCGGUCAGCCAUGCAUUAUUGUAUAUAGUGUCCCAAUAGAAAAAUCAGGACCAUUAGUAGAUCCAUACCUCAAUCCUCCAAAUAAGUGGCAAGCCAUGGAGCCUUACCUAAGACAUGGACGCUACAUCAAACAUUGUUAGAAGUAUGUAACAAGGCCUAGAGACUUCCGAAACGUUCUAAGUUGUUUAAGAGUCUUGUAGAAUGAUUUAAAAUUUUGUACAUACGAGUUGCCUUGUAUAAAAAGUGCUAGAGAGGGUUUAGUGUAGAAUUCUUUAAAAACUUGUAUAACUUUCUUGACUUGCCUAUAAAUAGGCAAAACCCCUUCAUUUGUAACCAUCUUGUGCAAAUGUUUAUAAUUAUAAUAUAAGUAUUCCUUAACCUCCAAUGUUUUUCUUCUUUGCUCUCUACCUUAGUUUCCGUAUAUUUCCGCACACUUAGAUGUAAGGGUGAACCAACAAACCGUUUAUAGUUUAGGUUUUGAACGAUCACUAAUGCCGCACGGCGUGUUGAUUUAUAGGAAUUUAAAUAACCUGUGACAAUUGGUACUAUACUUUUAAUCGGAAUAUGAAACAUCUUAUUAGAAAAAACACAAAAUCACAUGAUUUAAAAAAUUUAAAAAUAAAAGAUGGUAUAAUACCAAAGAAUUGAAAAAUUAUAUUGCGAAAAAAAGAAUUUAAAAAUUCCUAAAACAUCUACAAAAGUUUUUCAUCGCUUAUUUUUUUCCUUUAAAUUGUAAACGGAUUGGUUUUGAUAAUUUUCAUUUACCUUGCAGCUUUCACAAGACUUUCACAAGUUAAUAAGAUGCUAUUUGAUAAUUUCAGGCCACAUUCGUACCUUGUUUUGUAUUUUGUUUGAAUUCUAUGUUUUAAAAAAUCUAAAAAUUCUCUAAAUAUGUUUUUCAAUAUAUUUUUAUCUCAUAUAAAACACAUUAAAAAGUAUUGUAAUAAAAAAUAUAAGCAAAUGAUUUUCAUUCCAAAUGCACUAAUUAAUUUUAUUUUAUUAAAAAUAUGUAUUGCUAUUAGCAUUGAGAUAAUUACAUUGAAUUGCUUAGACUUUUUGUUUUUGUGAAUUAUCUCAUUUAUUUAAGUGCUAAAAAAUCGAAAUACGUAGUGUAAUUUUGUUUAGAUACAUUUAACAACUAAUAAAGAAAUAAAUAUUUAUUAUGUGCAUUUUAGAAUUAGUUAGGGAUAUUUUGAUCUUGAAAAAUAUAACUUUAUUUUAGCCCGGUAUAAAAGUUGAUCACGAGGGAUAAAAUGGUGGAACCUCAAGUUUGAAUUAAGUUGUGUCUGCUGAUUUGUCGUUUUCGUUCGUUUUUCUACGUGGGUGGUAAUACGGCAAUACACGUCGUCGUUUGAGUGCUGACGUGUCCCCUCCUUCCCACCCUGGAGUCGGUUCGUUUCGUGAAUAACUAAAUCCGGUAUGAUCCCUCACGCAGCUUUCUUUCUUCAGCUUCCAUUUUCAGAAGAAACACUGAAAAUACUCAAAAACAAUAACGAAAUCCGUAAAAGCUAACCAAAAAAAUCGCUUUUUCAAAAUUUUCACUCUUGCCGGAGGAGAAAAGUAAUCGAGAAUCCCUGUCAUUUUCCUCCAAUUUCGAUUACGUAUACGCAUACGCGUACGUAAAUGUACGUGCAUAUCUGUACAGAGACGAUCAUUCGGUAAUUGGAAGGUGUAUUUAUAGUAUAAAUAAUUUUGGAGAAGUGAAAAAUGGCACUGUUGCGGAAAUUGUUUUAUCGGAAGCCGCCGGAUGGACUCCUGGAGAUCUCCGAGCGUGUUUACGGUUUGUUCUGCGAUAUCUAUCCUCGUAUAUUUUGUAAUUCUGGUGUUUUGAGCUGAAUAUUUGUUGCUUGGUUGUAUUGUAUGGAUUGUGUCAAAUUAACUGUACGAGUGUACGUUAAUUUUGAAAUUUUGGUGAUUUGAAGUUCAGUAACGUCGUUGAAAUGUGAACUAAUUUUGAUUGUAUUAAUAAAUACAUAUGUUAGGAUUUUUUUUUCAAAGAUUAAUGUCGAAUUGGAAGGUAAUGCAUUGGUUGGAGUUGUUUUGAUUAGCAUUACAGCAAUGAUAGUUCAACUGAGAUAGUGGAAUGCAAUUUGAUUUCAUGUUUCUUGAGUAAAUGCAGUUUGCAUUUGUAAGGUUUUUUCUGUUAAAUUUCCAUAAAUGAGUUGUUGAUGACGUCGUUGUGGUCUCGAAGCACUGUGUAAGGAGUUAGUUUGCUGGUUAUAUGGGGAAAGAAGGACUAAUUCCUCUAGGUGUUAGUCAAAAUCAUAGUGGUCGAUGUUAGUCUUUAGGUGGUCUAGAGCCUGUUUCUGAUUAAUGAAAAUCUCUUGGAAACCUUGACAGUGUGUUGCUUUUUGCAAGGUUUUAAAAUGCUAAAGAUGUUGACAGUAGCGCCUCCCUUGCAGCUUCUCCAAAUCAGCUUUCUUAAGCUUCAAAUAACUUAUUCAUUGUCUGCAACUAAGUCAGGCCCUUAGAAUUGGUCCGACUGAGCAAGCGUUAUGCACGUGCAGCAAUGGCAACAGGUGUACAGAAUAAGAUUAGGUGCAUACCUGAAGGACGUUGAUGUCCAUUUCCAUAACUCUCUUGAAAUGUUUUCAAGAUGGUUUUGACAAUGGAAUUCCGAGAACAUGUGCAAAUAGAGACAUUUUAAUUACACGGAACAAAUUUUAACACUCCGAGGAGAGCUGCGUGUACUCAUUUAGUUUUUCUACACAAAGAAGGAAUCUAUAAGGUCUUCUCUUGUUUUGAAAUAAAUAAAUGUUUUUGCAGAAAGUUUCUAUAUGAAGGAAUCGAUGAAGAUGGAAAUUAAAAUAGUCACACGUUGUACUGAUCAUUAUCUGCUUUAUUUCUGUUUUGGUGGAUAUUUUCUUGAAAUAAAUUGUAAGUAGAAAAAACUUGAAUCACCUUCAAUCACUUUUUCCUUGUUUGCUUUUUCUCCUUUUCUCCAUUAGCAUCAAAUUCAUCUACCUGGAGUGUUAAAAUUGUCACAGCUUUUUUAAAUAUAAUUUUUAAGCAUUUCUUCAAAAGAUGCUUUUCAGGAAUUUUUAGGAAUAUUAUUUGGCAAGCCAUGUCUGAAAUUAGAGAAUGCUGCUGGAAAUGUGAUCCAUUUUUCUUUUGCAAAGCUGUAGUACUGAUAGAACAUGUAUGUCAUGUCCUUUCAAGACAAGAUGGUAGCAGAAAAUAUUGAGGUGAUCUGUCCUGUUUGGGAGUGUUUUCAAUUGCUUCAUGGGUUACAUUUACCACAACCUUUUAGUGACCAAUCAGUAGCUUAGAAACAUUGAGGCUUUUUUAAGUGAUUCAGGUUGAAUGUCUUAUGGAAGAGUUGUUCCAGUCCUGAUACUUGGGACAAAAAUAUUUUCAGUUUGAGGGAGGUGUGGAAUUGUCAUUUUGCGUAUUUGUGACUUUAUUUUGAUUUUAGUUGGCCAUGAGCUUCGCCAAUUGAAUUCAUGGUGGAUUCUGUGUUGCAUCUUGCAAUGAAAAAUGCUAACAACUGAUUGUUAGGGACCUGUAGCCUUGAUGUCAAGAUGUUUAUCUGCAAGCUGUGAGGCUUUGAAGAAAAUGUUCUUUUGAAAUGGUAUCUAUCAGGAAUAAACUUUGUUCAGAAAAUUUGAGGUGCAUCUGUGCCAGUGGCAGAGGCAGGUCAGGAGGGACUGUCACCCCUCUAACUUCCGAGAGAUUUUAUCAUAAUUUAUACAAUUGUAUAGAAUUUUUUAUUUAGAUACUUAUUUUGCACAAGAAUUUUCUUAAAUUUUCUCUCUCCCUCUUCUGCAAUUAGAUUAGAUUUCUUUCUUCUCUUUAGAUGUAGUUUGAUCAAUGUUUAUAAUUCUUUGUGUUGGUGCAUUGCCCGUAGAGGAUCUUUUCUUGUUUUUAUGAUACGCAGCAUUGUACCUGGUGCAAUUCUUGUACUUUUUUUCUCCUUUGGGCCUGUGGAAAAAAUGCUUCAUUUGAUUCCAUCAGUUUUCCUUUGCAACUGCUGUAUUGUAAGAUAACAUGUGUACAGCAUUUCUUUCUCCAAAUCACCCCUCCCUUUGGUGAGAUCCUGGUUCCGAGAACCGAUGUUUACUGCUUCUUCUAACAAAGAACUUACAUGUAAAUCUGUAAAAUGUUAAAGAAAAAGAUGAUUACUUGGUUGUUUACAAGUGAUGAACUAUUUCCCUGGUACAAUUAGCUUUGUAAGAGUAUUCAUUGUGAUUGGUCUUCUCUUUGCUGUAAAACAAGAAAGUCCUAAUUUUAUUAUUGAUUAGGGACCAACUAUUUCUAAUGUUGUCUCUGUAGUAUUUGAUUGCUGUUUUACAACUGAUGUUUGGGAUGAAGAAAACUACAAAGGCUAUGUAGGAGGCGUCAUUAGUCAACUCCGGGAUCAGUUUCCUGAUGCCUCAAUCUUGGUUUUCAAUUUUCGUGACGCUGAGUGGCAGAGCCGGAUUGCAAAUGCUUUGUCUGAAUAUGAUAUGACCAUAAUGGAUUAUCCUCGUCAGUAUGAGGGUUGCCCAUUACUCCCCAUGGAGGUGAUCCAUCAUUUUUUGAGAUCUAGUGAAAGCUGGCUUUCACUUGGGCAGCAAAAUCUGCUUGUAAUGCACUGUGAACGUGGUGGUUGGCCAGUUUUAGCUUUCAUGUUGGCAGCGUUGUUGAUAUAUAGGAAACAAUACAGUGGGGAGCAGAAAACACUGGACAUGGUUUAUAAGCAGGCUCCACGGGAACUGCUUCACUUGCUUGCACCGUUGAAUCCAAUUCCUUCUCAGUUAAGGUACUUGCAGUAUGUUUCAAGGAGGAAUCUAGUAUCACAGUGGCCGCCACUGGAUAGGGCACUUGCUUUGGAUUGUGUCAUUAUCAGAAUGAUACCUAAUUUUGAUGGAGAGGGUGGUUUUCGACCAAUAUUUCGUAUUUACGGUCAGGACCCCUCUCUUGUUGCUGAUCGUACUCCAAAGAUUUUAUUCUCAACUCCAAAGAGGAGUAAAGCUGUUAGGCAUUACAAACAGGUAAAUUAUUAUGACUUAUGCCUUGGUUAUACAUUUUUCGAUGUGCAAAUCAUCGCUAUUCUUAGGGAAAUUGUAUGUUGUUCACUUUAUUGGCUCAGAUGUUCAUCAGUUUGGACAGAGUCCAGAGUGUGUCACCUUCGUUUGCAUAUUUUAUGGUGAUUCUGGCAUUCAUUCAUCAGUUUGAACUCAAGAGUCUAGUAGUGAAGGAUCAGUAUUACUGUUGCUCUUGCUGUCCUAAACAAAGAAGUGAGAUGUUUUAAGACUGAGAGUUGGCCGUUUUACUUCAAACACAUCCUUGUGCAAGACAGUGGUUCUUGGAUCACACAGUAUGUCUUCCAGUUUCAGGAGUGAUAACCAACAUUCUCUUUUAGCAUCAUGGUAGUAUUGGGGGAUUUUUUUUUCCUUCCGUUUUUUUUGGGGGGUUGGGGAGGGGAUCACUAGACUGGUUUUAGUUUUUUGCUACUUGGACAAGACUUGCUGAAGGCCAUCAGGCCCAUCACCUUCUCCAGUUUGGGUUGCAUUCCAAACUCUGCCUGUUGAAAAGUAUUUAAGUCCAGUUGAAACCAAGGAACCUAAGCACAAAUGUUUGACUUGGUGAAACCUAAUUUGUCGAAUUGUUGUAUUUGUUGGGCAGCCACUGGGCUCUCCAUCAACCAAAAUGGUACAAGUUAACAGAAGUUGAAUAAUAUAAGGAUGAGGCAGCUUCUUUGGUCUGUUAGAAUAGACUCUUAGAUGGGCAGAAUGCAACUUCUCAGCUAUUAGAACCUAGAGAAGAUAUAAUCUUAAAUGACUUUUGAGACUACAUUUCUCAAUUGCUAUCCUGGACGGUGGCUAGGGUCUUGACAACCAAGUACUUUUUUUUUUUUUUCUUAUCCAUUUUAUUCAGAACUGGCAAUAUACAUGUAUUAUUGCUGAAGCCGUAACCUUUAUUGUACCACUAGAACUUGUCAGUUAAUUUUUCUCAGAUUUUCCUUUUUUAAAAAUCCAAAGAAGCAUCAAUAUGAAAUAUUGCUAUAGCAAAUAAUUUUGAAAGUAUCAUUGCCUGAAAUACAAGAACAACUUCCUGGAAUAAACAUAUAUCUUCUUAUAUUAUGAGGAGCUGUUUUGUCUUGGGUAAUUUCAAUCUCGAUUUUUGAUAGUUUAAACCUAUAAGUUGGAGGAAUGCCUUUUCUGACUCUUACUUCUGGGAAUUGGAUCUAGAUCCUGGGAAUGUGAGGAUGAAUAGCCAUUAAUAAUAACAUGAAAUGACCAAGCUUUGAGGACGCUAAGGACUUCCUAUGAACUAAGGGGUUAACUCUUGAUGUUUUCUUAUUUCAUCUAUAAUGAGUUUAUGUUCACUAAAUUAGUUUACAAAAGCUCUGUAUUGAUUUUGGAUAGUAGAGACCUGAGAUUUACGCUACAACAUAUUUUCUACUUGAACAGGUUAUGUUGUUCCAAUUUUCUAUUUAUACUUUAUAUGUUGUAUUUUGUUGGACUAGGCUUUUGAUCAUAACAUAUGAACAUUAUUGCAUGUUUGUAGGCAGAAUGUGAGUUGGUUAAGAUUGAUAUAAACUGCUGUAUCCAAGGUGAUGUUGUCCUGGAGUGUAUUAGCUUGUACGAUGACAUGCAACGUGAAAAGAUGAUUUUCCGAGCUAUGUUUAACACUGCCUUUAUCAGAUCAAAUAUUUUAAUGCUUAAUCGCGAUGAAAUUGACAUAUUGUGGGAUGCCAAGGAUCUGUUUCCAAAAAAUUUCAGGGCAGAGGUAUGUUACUUUGCUUGUGAUUAAAUGUGGUUUUCUUCAGUAGGAGGCAUCAUCACAUUAAUGACCUUGUAAUGAAGGUCCUUUUCUCGGAGAUGGAUGCAGCAACUUCCGUAGUUCCGGGGAAUAUGUCCUGUUUUGAAGAGAAAGACGGCCUUCCAGUGGAGGCAUUUGCAAAAGUUAAUGAGAUCUUUAGCAGUGUGGAUUGGCUGAUUCCAAAGGCAGAGGCUGCACUCAGUGUGAUUCACCAAGUGGCUGCAUCAAAUGUUGUCCAAGAAAAGUUGGCUGCUGAUGCUUUCCAUACUAUGGGAAGCGGCACAUCCCCAAAAGAAAUGGCAGCUGAAAAGCUUCAGGAGAAAGAAAACUCUGCAGCUUUAGAGGAAAUUGUUAAGAUUUCCACGUACUUGAUGUCCAAGGAGCAGUCUGGCUCCUCUACCGGUUCUCUCUUGGAUGUAGAUGUGAAUAAACAGACAGUAGGAUCGCAAUCUGUACAGAGUGGUAUAGUGACUGCAAAAUUGCCACAUCCGGUUGCUCCGUCUGAAUCUUGUAUGAUCACUGCUGAAAAGUCUAGUCUUACAUAUUCACAUUCAGACGUUAUGCCUACAGCUUCACCUCUCUUGCCAGCUUAUCAGGAAAAGCAUACUUCAGAAACCACACCUGCAGAAGUAUCAUCCCAAAAUGAACCUUGCAUAUCUCCACAGGAAAUUGGUGAGAAAAAAAUAGUCCCAAUUUUCUCUGCAACUGAGCCUGAACCUCAUACAAUUACUCCUUCAACUAAACCUAUUCCUUCACCUCAACCUCUAAAGGAUGCAAUUAUUGAUUCUCCAUCCCCUCCUCCAUUGCCCCCACACCCUACCACACCUCCUCUGAUGGAUAAAAUAACCAGACCUCCUCCACCUCCACCUCCACCCCUUCCCACUGUUUCAUCUAUAGCAGCAGAAGUAGCUAGUAGUAGGGCUCCCCCAUCACCACCCCCACCGCCAACUACUUCUUUGAUUGAAAAUGCAACUAGCAGUACUGGAACAUGCCAAGUAGCUUCUCUAUCCCCUCAGGUUUCAACUGAAUCUUCUUUUGUUACUUCACCCAGAAGAACUGGACCACCACCUCCCCCACCAACCCCUCUACUCCCACUGCCUUUUACUGCAUCAACCAUAGCAGAAAAAGCAACUAAUAGCAGGGCUUCUUCACCACCACCUCCCCCACCAUCACCACCUAUAAAUGCUACAUUGAUUGUACAUGCAACUAGUGCUACCAAAGCAGCACCACUACUUCCUCCACUGCCUCAGCUUUCGACUGCUUCUUUUCCAGAGACUUUGCCUAGAAGAACUGGGCCACCCUCACCACCUUCUCCACCUGAUACUGCUGCUUCUUUAACAGAAAGUGACGUUGGUAGAACUGGGCCACCUCCCCCUCCUCCUCCACCAACUCUGACCCCUUUAGCUCCACCUAUGAAGAAAGUUUCAGCUGUUGAAGCUAGGCCACUCCCCCCUCCUCCUCCUCCUCCUCCAGCAACGCCCUCAUCUUCUAGAGAUGGAAUGCCUCAAGUUCCAUCCCCUCCAACUCCACCUCCUCCUCCUCCAGUCCCUCCCUUGAAGGAGAUUUCAACUCCUAUAGGUGGCCCACCUCCACCACCACCUCCUCCAGCAACGCCCUCAUCUUCUAGAGAUGGAAUGCCUCAAGUUCCAUCCCCUCCAACCCCACCUCCUCCUCCUCCAGUCCCUCCGUUGAAGGAGAUUUCAACUCCUAUAGGUGGCCCACCUCCACCACCACCUCCUCCUUUAGUCUCUGGACCUUCUGCAGGACAUAAAAAUUUAUCAGUGAGGCCCCCACCACCCCCUCCUCCGACGAUGGCUGCCUCAGCCAAGGAUAGCUCCUCUUUGAUUCCAUCAGCGCCUCCUCCUCCGCUCCCUUCUAAUGGGAAUCUUAAAGGAGGUUUUGGGCCAACUCAUUCUGUUUCAACGGCUACUGGUAGCAGUGGUAGUUUGUCACCAUCUCCCCCUCCUCCUUCUGCUCCUCUGCCUGGUAAAGGAAGAAACUUAUUAUCACGUACCAUACCAUCAAAAAGCAAUCAGACCAAAAAAUUGAAGCCUCUGCAUUGGCUGAAAUUAACAAGAGCUGUGCAAGGAAGCUUGUGGGCUGAGUCACAGAAAUCUGGUGACACUGCCAAGUAUGUUGCAGUUUGCACAAAUGACAAAUUUGGGAAGUGAUUCGUUGAUUUUGUAUUUCUGGGCCUUCAAUUUUGUAAUCUUUUGUGUGUGUUGAUUAGGGCUCCAGAGAUUGAUAUUUCCGAACUUGAAUCACUCUUCUCAGCUGCAGUUCCAAGCUCAGACAGGAAAGCAAAUUCGCGGGCAUCACUGGGGCAAAAACCUGAGAAAGUGCAACUGGUAUUUAUUUUCUCUUUGAGGUUAAGUGUGUUUUCUCAUAGUUUUUUAAUGCUUGUCUCAGGCUAGUGCCAUACAUUACUGUGUUGUGGUCAUGUCUAGGAAUUCAGAUAAGCUCUGGUGUAAUGUGCACUUUUAAAAAUGGUAUAAAUUUAAUGUGUUUUGAUUACCCAUGACAUACUGGAUACAUUCCUAAAUUUUCAAAGGUAACUCAUUUACAGAACAGCUCCAACAUACACUCAAGGGCAAUCAGGCUGUGGACAUGUUUCCAUCAAUUUGUUAAAUCGUAAAGCUUGAGUAAUUGGAACUUUUGGCUGUUUAAUCUUAAAGAUACUUCCAUUGCUGGCAGUGCAUUGUGUCCAUAUACCUAUUCAAUUGUGGCAUUUAAUAUUGUAGUCGUCAAGGAGAUGGCAGAAAGUAAUACCUUUCUGCGGUCCUUAAGGUAGGCUGGAAAAAUCAGUAAAAAGUACUGCUCACAUAACACACUUCUGUGGAGAAAAGAUACUAAGUUAUUGAAUUCUUGGCACUUGGUAAUAUAAAAAGAGUUUAUGAAUUUCUAAUUUUGCAGAUUGAUCAUAGGCGUGCAUAUAAUUGUGAGAUCAUGCUGUCAAAGAUAAAGAUACCAUUGCCCGACUUAUUGGUAAGUUUCCUGUGGUAUUGUUACUUCUCAGAAUGGUUCUGUCUAAGAUUUUCACUUACUCUGGAACUUUAUGAUAUUUUUAUCCUUAAGAGGAUUUACUUUUACACCAAUAUUUAUGGAUUUUAUAUAGCUUUAGGUCCAUGAUAGUUCUGUUUUUUUUUUUUUUGGUGUUCAGUGAUAAAUAAUAAAAAAUUGAUUGAUGCGAAGAUAUCUGAUAGCCUAGCUAUUGUAGUUUUCUGCAUUGUUAUCUUAUAUAGCUUCCCUUGUGAAAACAUUCAUUACCAAUAGUCUUGCUGUCUAGUUUGCUAUAUCUUGCAUUUUUGCAGGAAAGCAUGGCCAAUGGGUUUGAACUAUAUGCUGGCCUUUAUUUUUGCAUUACUAAGAAAGUAAAUUUUUUUUAUACAUAAAUGGCAUCUUUUAUUGAUAGGCAAAGAAUGUACACAAGCAUUCUAACAAAGUCAAAUUUAUUAGACCAAUUUUAGCGAAUGAAGUUUAUGAUAUUGUUAGGACUUAUUCUCAAGAAUUUGUGACUUGGUAAAAUGGUGUUGAUACAAAUAUUUGGUUUUACUCAAGUGAUGAUAUUACAUUUUUAAGUCUUCAUUCCUGAGGGAUUCUCAAGAUUUAGUGUGUUGUCUUACUUAUUUGUAUCUGUACCUUGCUUACAACCGCUUCUCUACCUAAGUGCUAGCAAGACACUUCAAGCAUGCUGUGUCCAUCUUGGGUAGUCUUACAUCUGCCUUUCCUGUUUAAACAUAUUCACAUAAGAACUAGUUUAGGCCUUAAAAGUCUUAUAACAAAUUAUCGUCCUCCCUCUCUGUUUUAUUUUCUUCCUUUGCCUUUACUACCAGACCUCUCCUCUCUCAGAUUCAGUUGCACUCUUUUCCAAAAUUGUUGUGUUAAUUAUGUUUCUGAAAAUUAUAUCAUAAAAUAUUGAAUUACCUACAGAGUUCAGUGCUUGCCUUGGAAGAUUCAGCACUGGAUGACGAUCAGGUUGAAAACCUGAUAAAAUUUUGCCCAACAAAAGAGGAAAUGGAACUGCUAAAGGUAAUACUCAUGUUAGCUUAUUAUGAUAUCUGUUUUCUCUGGGAGUUUACAGAGUGUGGGAGCUGUACCCAGGUGAAAAUGACUAGUACAGAUUAAGUAAUCUUUCUACUCUUCCUUGUCUAACAUGUAAGUAUUUUUCCAUUUUAUUUUUUUCAGGGUUAUAAAGGAGAGAAAGAUAAGUUAGGAAAAUGUGAACAGGUUUCUUUAAUUUUGGUUAUCCACUUUAAAUUAUUUUCUUUCUAUCAAGAAGGAAUAAAUUUGCCGUUCUGUUUGGCCAGCUCAACUGAGUUAAAAAUGGUAUUAUUUUUGUGUUCUUUUCAGUUCUUCUUGGAGUUGAUGCAAGUACCACGAAUAGAAUCUAAGCUCAGAGUUUUCUCUUUUAAGAUUCAGUUCCACUCCCAGGUUUGCAAACAAUACAUAUGUUGAUUUGGCCUUUACAAUUAAUGGGCUUGCGUCCUAUAACUUUAUGCUUUGUCUUGUCAUUUACAGGUUUCUGAGCUACAGAAGAAUCUAAAUAUUGUAAAUUCUGCAGCUGAUCAGGCAAUAUUUUCCACAUGCUGAUUAUGUCUCUUUAUUCAAUUGUUCAGUUGCAAUCAAUAUCUUAUUCAUAUAUCUUAAACUAUAUUCAUCAGAUCAGGAGUUCAGUCAAAUUGAAGAGAAUCAUGCAAACAAUUCUUUCAUUGGGAAAUGCAUUGAACCAGGGAACUGCAAGGGGUAUGUACUUCAUAGUUGGUCAGAGAAGGAUUUCAUUUAUCUUUUCCAGCGGUGGAUUCACACUAGGGGCACAUGCCCCCACUGCCUCCUUGAAAAUUGUAUAACUAUAGUAUUCAUGAUAUUUGAUUUUUGCCACCACUAGGUUAUUGUUAAGUGAAAAUUAACAUAUACUAGUUUGGUAACUUAAUGGAAAUGGUAGGUAGAAAUCCAAGAACCUCUUGCUUCAAUUAUCUAGUUUCCUUGUAACUUCUUGUACUUUGUUAAUUAUAAGAUAAAAAAGUUGUAUGGACUUUCAAUAAAACAAAAAUCUUAAUUUGCCUAGAAGUAGUUGAGUUAUUUGUUUUGCCUCCUGAUCUCCUUUUAACCCAUAAAAAGCAAGUAAUAUUUAUUCUCUCUCCAACUCUUCUCCUUUGAUCACCUCCUUUGUCCCGCCUUCAUCCCAAGCAAACACAAAACGUUGAAAACUUAUCUCAAGCAAUUGUAAUAGGUUAUAUGUAAUUUAUGAAGGAAAACAAUUAUUCUAUUAGUGAAUUCCAAUGUGUCAUUUUAUGUUAUACUACUCAUACAAUUUUUGUAACUUUUCUUUUGGAGAUAGUUGUAUUAUUUUUACUUAUUAUGUGAAUAUUUUUGUCAUUCUUAUUUUUAGGGGAAAAAGAACAAUAAACAUCUUCUAUGUUGUCUUUGUCCCACUGAAACUUAUGCUUGGCUCCACCACUGAUCUUCUUUAUCAUGAAAUCUAAGUACAUAUAAAUAGAGGAUCGAGGAUUUCUGCCAGUGCAAGAUAUUGAUCUCCAAUCAAUUGUUGUAUAUUUGUAUUUUCUGCACAAGUGAUUAUGUCUUAGGUUACAGCCUCUACCCUUUACUUGUAUGUUGUUUUCAUGUUUUCUUUUGGUAGCUUUUCCUUUUUUUUGACGUUGUUAGUGCCUCUUAAGGAAAAGUAUUUUGUGCAAAGAUCAACCAAAAUUAUCAUAAUUUCUGCUGUUGGCUAUGCUUUCAAGAAAUUCGUGAUGUAAUUGAUUGAAUGCCUCUCAAGUCCAGCCACACAGGUCUUCUCAGGGCAUUCUUUAAAUUUUUGGCUCAUGUUCAUUAGAUCCCAUGAUCUUUUUUUGCCUCUAAGACCUGUAAUCACCUGAAAUGUGGAUUUGAAUUUUAAUUCAAUUGUACAUUUUACUAAGCACUUGUUGUAUGAGUUUGUUCUUGUACAGUUAUUUUUAUAAACAGCAGGUGCAGCUCAAUUUCACAGCUGAAAGUGCUUCGAAGGCCAAGGAAAAUAUUUGUAGUUUAAAAUAUUGCUUAUGGUAACUAAUUGAAUUUUAAUCGUAAGAAAGCUGUACAUGGAUUCUUGAAUAUUUCAAUAUUUAAUUUCCACUGCCUUCUUUUAUUGGCUCCUUAUAUUCUCAUUUUUCAUCUCAUGAAACAUUGCUUAUGAGUUUUGGAUGUUAAUGCUUUUUUCUUUCUGGCAUCAUGAGUUUGCUGUCUGAUUACCUUGAUGCUUUUGUGAUAGGCUCUGCAGUCGGGUUCAGAUUAGACAGCCUUCUUAAACUUACCGAUACACGCGCUCGAAAUAACAAGAUGACACUAAUGCAUUACCUUUGCAAGGUGCAGAUCACGAUUUCAUGACUAGUCUCUAAUGCUUAUGGUAUUGGUAUAUGUAUAUGCAUGUUGUGCUUUUUGAGCACUUCUGCUGUGCAUUUUUGUUGCCAAUACGUGAAUGUAUUGUAUUAAUUUGAAUGGUGCCUAUGGUGAAGAUCUCGUGUAUCCAUUUAAAAUGUUUAUUUCGAGAAAUUUGAGAUUUCAUCAUUGUUUCGUUGCUGGAGAUAAUGACUGAUGCUUUAUUGCUGUUUAUGCAAAUGCCUUACCUCUUUGAUGGAGAAACUCAAAAAGUUACAUUCUUUGCCCUCUUGUUGCUGUGGUUUUUCCUCAUCACUGCCUUGCAGUCCAACCUUUUGCAAUUUCCACAAAGGACAGUCUGUUGCCAUUGGAGUUUGUGCAAUCCCUGUUGAUUAGUUGUAUUCUUUAUGUUUCUGUGACCACCUGCUUGUCUCUAACGUUGUGCUAUUAGACCAAUGUUGUCUAGAGUAUCUGAGACAGCCCUUGCUUGAGCCAGUGGUUGUCCAUAUGAUAACACAUAUUUUCUAAAUAUUUGACUGCUAUUCUCCACUGUAAUUAUUUUUUAAUUAAAUUUUCACAUGUUAAGCAUCACGAGUUUAUCCUGUUUACUGUGAUGUAUUGAUAUCAAUUAACCUUCAAACUGCUUUCUGUAAUACCUGCAUACAAACACUGCAGCCAUUGUGCAAUGUAGUAGCUAAUCUUAGGCAAUCACAGGUCCAUGCUGCAGCAAUGUUAUGACUGUAAAGCCAAGCCUAACCUUUGGUUUGUCAAGUAAACACAAUUGUUAUUUUAUUUGUCAAACUUAUUCAUCAUUUGACGAUGACUUUUUGUUUUUCCUUCUGAACUUCGUCUGUGUCUGUUACUACAAAUUACUAGUUGUUUGCUUUAAAGUUACUGAUGCUGUUGACUUUUGAGCUCUGACCAAUAAAAUUUUCAUUGACAUUUUUCUUGUUCAUUGUUUGAUUACAAUUUUUUGUUAAAUAUUUCAUUAGGUGCUUGCUGAUAAACUGCCAGAACUUCUGGAUUUUUCCAAAGAUCUAUCUAGCUUGGAACCUGCUUCAAAGGUAUACAUUUAUUGUAGUAAUAAUAAUUACCCAAUCCAGCAUAGGUGGUGUCUGCUGAUUGGACUUUUCAGUUUCAUUUAGAAUCUGUUAUUGAGUUAUAUAUGGUAUCCAGGUCCAAUUGAAAAUUUUGGCAGAGGAGAUGCAAGCUAUUAGCAAAGGACUUGAAAAGGUCAUACAGGAGUUGUCCAUGUCUGAAAAUGAUGGGACUGUGUCUGAAAAUUUUUGCAAGGUAUCAUUUGAGCUCCUAUUUACAUACAAAUUCUCAACAUUCUUUUUCGGAUCACAAAAAUUUGCUUCAACUGCCCACUGCUUUAUCACACGUCUUUGAAGUCCUGGAAAUAGCUUAAUGUUGUGCUACACUGUUGAGCAUAUCCAACUACAACUGGCAAACUUGUUAGGCCAGUUCUUCUCUCCUGUGCUACUGUUGAGUCACAGUAAGCAUCAAAAGCUUUGCUGUUAUUGGUGACUGCAAAAUAAUUUAAGUUGAUUUUGCAUAUGCAAGGAAUAGACAAAUCUUAGAUAAGAAAUAGGAAUGUUUGUAUCUGAUAAUUAAGCAUCUCUAAGGUGGAAGGCUGGACUCAAUUUAGCAUUUAAACGGAAGAGGUCUAUUGACAUCUCCUCUUUUAUUGGUGCCAUGGAAAAGAAUAAAACAUGUCAAUUUAAAUUAAUUGUGCACUCCAUUACGUCACCUCUGCUGAGUUUUGAUGUUGUGAGAGUUGAUCCCAAUAUUCCUUGAAAAUGUUUUGUCUUCAGUCAGUGUUGCGCAGACAAUCAGCUGUCUUCUAGGAUGGAAAUUGUGGUUUAUCACGAUUUCACCUGUUGAGACAUUCACUAGAUAACAUAUGCUAGCACAUAUACAACUGGUAUACGUUAGCCUUCUAAGUCUUGAAGUUUACCUCCAUGAGUCUAGUAUUGUGACUUUCCAGUUGGUAUUUGUUCAAGUGGAUCAUUUGAGUUGUACUCAUCCAUUUAUUGCAUGUUUAAACUGAUCUGAGAGCUUGUGCCAUCCCUUCCUUUUGUUUUGACUUGGCAUUGACAUUAAUCUUUUUCAUUCCUUUUCCUGGCUAUGGAAUAAUUAAUGAUACUCUGGCAAAAUGAAAUAGUUUAUUCAACAAGAGGUUUCUAAUUUGUAACUUAGUUUCUUUAAUUUGGAAAUCUUUAAGGAUAUUCUCAAUGAUUAUGUAGGCCUUCACAAAUAAGAUUGGAGACUGUUUGUUUUGGAGUUAUGGAUUAGUAUUUAUCUAAUUCAAUGUCUAAGAAGGAGAGAGUGCAUGGACUUCAUUUAGCUUAACAGCAGAAGAAAACAGCCCAAUGUUUGAGGACCAAAAGAAGCAUAGAACUAAAGUUUCUUGAAUGUACUGUGGAUUAUAAAGAAAGAAUAGGAAAAGGUGCUGAUGAGGAGUGGGGGAACUUUCCAUAAUAAUAAGAAUUUAUCCUGGAAAGUGGGUAGGCUAAUGACCUGGAUGAAGAGAGGAUUAUUUUCCAUAAUAAAGAUAAGAAUAGUAUCCUGGAGUACGGGAAGGCAAAUGACCUGGAUGGAUUUUUUAAACCUUGGCUUCAUCCUGGAAACCUUGUCUUAUCUGGUUACAGAAAACAAAAAAUCAAACAUGUAUUAAAUGUGAUUUGAGCCUUUGGAUUGCUGGCAGAUUCAGGUUGUAUAUUCCCCACUUAGUAGUUUUCUUGGGCUGAGUGUGGAGGUUGUGGGUAGGGGUUUAGUGUCGCAGUUAAUAACUCCUAUUUUGUCUAACAAUAUAGCUGGGUGUUGUCAGGGGUUUCCUACAUAAUUGCAUGAAAAAAUUUCAAAUAAUGAUGGAAUUAAGCUUUGGGAAUGGAUGAAGGAGGUGAAAAGUGAUUGUGUUUCUUUCCUUGGGUUAUAUAGGCUAACUGGGGCAAUUACUGGAGACGAGAUGCUGCCUCAGCUUUUGGGAUAUGGGGGACUUCGAUAGUUUAUAAACGAGAAGCAGUUAGGACUUACCUUAAUUGAUGAACUCUUUUCCUUGGCGGGUUGGGCUGUUGAUUUACCUGAAUGUGAAAUACUGUCCAUCGUCAAGUUUGGUACUUCAUAAAUACCUUGGACUAGCCUUGCUUGUAAACUACAGGGAUCCACAAUUGAGAGGUCAGAGAAAAACCUAGCAUGUCCGAAAAGGAUUGUUUAGUGAAAGGUGGCAAAGCUACUAGGGUAAGAAUUCCAUAAAGCAAAGUGAAGCAUUUCCUAUGCAUCCCACAGUGUUGCAAAGUAUUUUGAAUCCCAAUAAAAGCACCUAUUGGAGUGGGAGUGCGAGGUACUAGAGAUCCUCUGACUUUUCAUUGUCAAGUGGUGGAUGCUGAGACUCCGUAUGAAGAAAUGCCUCUUUGAAGGAUUGUAAUGGAGGUAACUACUAGAACAACUACUAAUGUGGAGGUUUGCAUUUAUUUCAAAUAGCGUUAGCAAUUGCCUAUUUGAGACAGGUUGCGAGAUGAGGGGGAAAAUGUAAUUUGUUUGAGAGAAGGCACUGGGGUGAAACUCUGUAUUGAUGAGUUGUGUGGCAGGAGAAAUUCGUGACGAGGUUUUCCAACCUCUUUCUAAUUGCUCUUACAGAAGCUAGUAUUGCUAUAAUAAUCAUCAGGAAGGAGGGUGGGGGUGGGGGGAGGGGGAAUAUUUGAGAUCCACAUUUUAGGCAUGUUUAUACUAUUGGGAAGUAGAAUCUGACCAGGAUCAUUAUUGUAGACCUGUAUGUUUAUCUGGUUGGAAGAGGAUGUGAUAAAUGCAGACCAACCAAAAGCCCAGGAUUUUAACACUAAAAUCUUUGCAUGAGAGGUUAGCAGCAAUAGGGCUGAAAGCUUUCCUUUAAAAACUGACUUUGGGGUAGCAAGGGCCUUCUUUUCUCUUAUCAUGGAAUGGUGGUUUGUAUAUCAAUCCUUCAGUUUCCCUUGCUUCCUCAUUCCAUCCCUUCCCUUUGACAGAGAUACUCAAAAAGAAAUUGUGAAACAAAAAAGGACCAAGGCACCAAAGAAAGUUCCUUUUAUCACUUGGUCUGCAACAUAAAAUGCUAUCCAAAGUGCACAAAAUAUGAAAAAAAAAAAAAGAACUAGUUCCAUUUAUUGGUGUCUCGUGUGGUAGAAAAAUGGGGAAGACUCUAAUCUGCUUUUGCAUUGCUUAAUAGUCAAUCAUUGGAAAAAUAUAUGGACAACCUGGAGGUUAGAAGGAAGAGCUUAGGAGACAUUCAGGGGUGGCAAGUGGCAGAUUAGCACUUUGGAACCAUAUUUAUUGAGCAUAUGGAACUUUUGGAGACGAGAAAAAUCUCUUUAGGCAAAUCAAGAUUACCGUGGUACUUCACUUAUUUUUUUGGUAGGUGGCCAUUACAGCUUGUAUUGAUACCUUGGAAGGAUUGUUGGACGGCACUUUAUCUGUUGCACAUUAUUUUUAGGUUAUGUUUGCCCCUUUGUCUUCCAUUCUGAUAUCUGUUUUCAUUUUGUUUUUCUUUUCAUAUCUUUGUCUGCUCAUUUCAUUACUUGUAUGGGCUUCCACUAUCAGGCCUUGAAAGAGUUCCUCUCUUUUGCUGAAGGAGAAGUGAGAUCCUUGGCUUCACUCUAUUCUGGGGUGGUAUGUCUCGUCUAGCAUCCUAAAUUUUGCUGCAGUAAUCUUUUCUCAGGUGGGCAUGAUGUUAACUUGUUCUUGUGCCUCUUUCUAUUACUUGAAUCUUUGCAGGGCAGAAAUGUUGAUGCGUUGAUUCUGUACUUUGGAGAAGAUCCAUCUCGUUGCCCAUUUGAACAAGGUGUUUGAGAUUACUUUACUAUAUAUUACUAGUUUGGUUUUAGGUCUGGAAGAUGUGGUGACUUCAGCACUCAUAAUUUCUACAGUGUGGUUGCAUCUUUAGGAUGGCUUCCGUGGAUUUCAAGCAAAGUGUUUGGGAAUGCUUUUUAUCUUUAAGUUUGGUAAUCGGACUUGGGGGUUUUAUUACCAUACAGAUUAGAGAAACUUUCAAAGAAAAGAAACCACUGGAACCAAGAGAAAGUGGAUUUAAGUUGAUGAAGUUUUGAAAUUUGAAGGUAGAAUGAAUAGAAACAUCAGUCAAUCCCCACUAAUUAGUCUUAAAAACAUCUCUGGCAGUUCUUAUUCUGCUGCUUUCCUUCUUUUCACAAUGUUACAUGGUACAUGGGCUUAAUAAUAUUCUGAAUUUUGCAGUUAUUUCAACCAUUCUCAACUUUAUGAGAAUGUUCAAUCGAGCCCAUGAGGAAAAUUGCAAGCAGCUUGAGUUUGAGCGAAAGAAAGCAGAAAAGGAAGCUGCAGCUGAAAAACUUCAGUUAGAUGGUCGAGGAAAAGGGGCUGAGCACAUGGUACAUUCUCCAAUUAAGAGUUAGGUAAUCAUACAUUGGACCCUUCCACUUCCACUUCCAUUCCACGUUAAGACUAUACAAUCUAGCCUAUGAUGCUUUAACGCUACAAGCUGUACCAGUCCAUUAGGCUGCUUGAGUCUCAACAUCGAAUCGUGGUGGUUAGUAGGGAAGCAAUGUGCAUUAUACCAGUCCUAGGUUUGUAAGAUAGCAUGUUCUGACAGCGUUUAGAAUUUGAUAAGAGCAGGCGUGAAUCCUUAUCUUCCUAAUGGCGACUUCAGUUUCUCUGACUCCAGUGUAUUAUAUAUGAAUCCUUUUCAGCAGAAUCUGGAAAUUUACGACCUGUUUGUAGUAGGUGGGUCGUGAAUAAGUCUUUCUAGCAAAAUAAACAGAAGGCAAGAAAGAUUUCGGUUAAAAAAAAAAAAAGUGGUCUGCAUUUCCUUUGUAUUAAUUAGUUAUCUUCUGGUAAAUCUUUAGAUUGUUUCAGCUAAAUUAUUUGCCAAUCAUGUAUAUAUGUAGCAACUUUUAGCUGCCGUCAAGAAGAGCAACAUGUUUCCAGGUGAUUUUUUAUUCAACUGCGUGUGUUUGUUUCAGGUUCAUUUCUCUUUCGAAGUAAGGAACAUUACGUCUUCUCAUCUCUUCUUCCCUCCAUGAAUCACAAAUUAUACCAAAAACUGUCCCACAUCUCCACGAUAAGAUAAGCUCUUCCAAAAAGUGAACGCAAAAUUAGCUGUGAAUUAAAGAAAGAACAAAUAAUUUAGCUCUGAAUCUAUUAAAGUCAAUGACCCAAGAACAACCAUUACAACCAACAGAGCAACAGCCAAACUACCCAACAAACAUCAACCCCCAAUGAGCCAAAUCAAGGGAAGAUUUUCCUUUGUUAUACCAAUGCAAACUUGAGGGAAGGGCCAGAGGGAGGUUCAAAUCGCUUCCCACUACUCUACUGCAGAAGGCUUCAGAAGUACUGGUGUACUACUAGUGGUGGAUUCAAAAUUUACCUCGCUUUUGGGCUUCACCAUAAGGACAAGUCUAUGUCUAUCUCAAUUCCUAGGCUGGAAAAUUCUGAUAAACCUUGGCACCCGUUCCACAGUAGCAUAUUUUUGAGUCCUUGAUCUUUGUUACCGUAAUCACAAUUAUUAUUGAUGUUUUAGCUAGAGCAACGACAUCCCCACACACCCCUUAUUUGAUAUCCACUCACCCUCAUCACUUUAAUUUUAAUCACAUUCUCAGCCAAGCUAAUCAGCUUAAUUUUUGUUGUAUCCGGAGCUAAUUUAAGGUUCGUAAAAAUGUAAAUGAAUAUAAAGUAGAACCGUAUAAUAAUAUUAUUAUUUCUCUUUAGCUAAAUAGUUCAAUUUGAUUGUGAUCCAGUACUUGGAUCUUCUGUGAAGAGCUUGCUUGCUUUCUAGGUUGGUUAAUUCAUUUUCUUCCCCUAAAGCUAAAAAGAUUGCAGAUUUCUUUUUCUUUGUUGAUUUUUUUAUAGGAUUAGGUCAGGGUAAUGUGGUAUUAGCACAGAAAACACAGCACUGACUCAAGAUCCAAAAACCAUCCUAUGCUGUGCCGCAGUCCACGAACGGCGUAAUGUACUUGUCGCAAAUCACGUGCCGUUAACGGUAUGCUUGUGGGGUCUUUUGGUUCACAGAAAUUGAGAAAAUGAUUCUUCUUCAGUCCUUUGUCUAGCAACAAAAGCUACCCCCUGAGUUAAUGGGCACAAACCUUGCCUCCACCAAAAAUGCCACAUUUAAGUGAUUUGUUUCAAAAAAUCCAGGCGGGUGUGUUGUGCAACCGCUUAAUCCGGUGGUGGUUUAGUUCCCUCCGGAUUUUCCCUGGGCCUCCUUAGGUCCGCCCCCUCCCCCUUAGUGUAGAAUAGAUUAGGUUAUAUAACAGUUAUCGUGUCCGAGAAAAAAAAAAAAAAGAGUUAAUGGGCACCAACUGCGAUCUCAAUAGGUUUAAAAUUUCCAAGAGAGCAAAUCCAAGAAUUUCUCCUAUUCUAAUUUGUAUAUUCAUCAAAAUUCAAGGGGGUCAUUAUUGCUAGUACCAUGCUUUGAAUAUAGGGAUAAUUUCACAAACCUCUCCUAAGGUUUAUAACAAUUUCAGGUAGUACUCUCCAAGUUUAAAAAAUUACACAUAUCCCCUCAUUGUCUAAAAUGACAAAAAUAACCUUCAUCCAAUGUUGAAUUUAAAGUCUCCAUGAAGAGAACUAAUGUAUUGUAAAUUAAAUUUAGUAAAUCGUUUGAAAAAAGUAAAAAAUGAAAAAAGAAGAACAAGAGUGAUAAAUUUCUAUCUCGUCAUAGACACCCACAAAAUCUAAACCCAAUCUUACUCCAUAUAGUAGUGAUUUUAGAGUAAAUAAAAACGUUAGUUUCCUCCACAUAUAGAUUCUUAUUGAAUUAGUUUUGUUGGGCAAGUAAGUAUUAACAUUUUUUUAGUGGACAGGAACAAAUUUACUAAAGAACUUUAUAAAAAUAUGUGAGUAAUGUUUUGAAUUUAACGUUACUGAGGAGUUUUGUUUUUUUGAAGGAUAAUCAUCUAAGGGCAUUUUAGGAUUUUUAAUGGGGAUUUUUUGCUUACAUCAGCAAAGUGAGCUUCAAAGUAUUUUCUAAGGGAGUUUUUUGUAAUUAUUUAAACCUAAGGGGUGCUAUUUGCAAUUACCAUAAAUCUCAAGGGAGGUUUGUGAAAUUAUCCCUUGAAUACAAUGGUCAAAAUGCCUUUUAUGUGUGUGUAUAUAUAUAUAUAUAUAUAUAUAUAUAUAUAUAUAUAUAUAUAUAUAUCUCUUUGGCUGUUAAGAGUAACUCAAUUCUUCAUUGACCCCAAAUUGAAACCGAAGGUCUUGGAUGGGUUAUCCCUAGCUGCCGAAUCUCUUAACAAAUUUUUCUACAUUAUUCCCCCAUCGAGUUCUCUUGUAUUGUACAAAUAUUUUUGUCUUUCUAGUGCUGACGUUUUCCAUUUUGCAUGCAGGCAAUUGCAGUGGAGAAAACUCGUGUCGGUCGCAGCAGUGUUGACAGACGACAUAAAAGAAUUGAGUAAAGGCUUCAAAGGAGGCAAUUUUUUGUCGGAAUCUAAUGUCUUAGCCAUGAUUUGACAUCACAUAUUCACCGACAGGAGAAAGUUCCAGUGAAUUACCACAUUUGUCAUCAAUCUGAUGCAUUAAAAGAAUUAAAAUAUGACAUACAUACAGAUUAUUAGUAUGUACAGUACACCUGUAUAGAAAAAAAUUAAUUCGUAUAAAUAACUUUUUGCAUGCAUUAUUUGUCAAUACUAGUUGUAUUUAUUCUACUCAUAUAAAUUAUAAUACUAAAUCAUCCCAGGUGUUCAAUUAAGUUUUGUCAUAAUUUACAUCUAUCAUAGGGGAAAAAAAAAAGAUUUAUAAUAUGCGCUGAUUGAAAUAGGACCAGCCCUAGUUGGGCCGCACUAUAAAUGAAUGUGACUUGGGAAAAUAAAUAUUUUAGUGAACAGUUUACUUGUCAGAAUUGGAUUCAUUUGUCUUCAUCAGAUAUCUACACUUACGUAAAGGUCUUGAUGAUGCCCAAGUUAAACGGAUGAAAACACACAAAAUAUACUUCCUCUGCCCUGCCCAUAAAGAUUAGUUCAUCACUCACCUCAAGUGAAAUACCAUUUUGCUUGUGAUAUAUUUCUCCAUCUUCAAUUGCAUUAAGAGUAGUUUAUGGGGUGAUCUUAAAUUUUUUUUUUUCCUAAAAUAAUGAUGCUGAUUCUCAUGCUUCAUGAAGAUUCUCAAGAAUACUCCAAUAUGGGUUCUUUUUUAUGAAUGUUUUUAGCAAAUUAGGUGUGACACUCACGUUUUCUCUUCACUAAAUUAGUAUAUUCUCUUGCUAGUUUCCAGGGGGUGGGUGUAGGGGAGAAGAAUCUUUUGCAGCUGAUAGCAAGGAAAAAAAAAGGUUUAAACAAAAUAAUUGUGAACUUAAGAAAAAUGUUUAGCCUAAUUAGACCCCGGAUUAACCAGAAAAAAAUAUAGAAAGGGAUGGUUUCCUCUUGUAUCUCGAGUAAAGAUUAUCUGUUUUAAGUUUCAUUGAAUGCAUCUUUUUGGCCAUCUUCAACGGUAUUGCACGCGUAAAGAUUUUCUGUUAGCACGUUAUAAAGUUUACCCAAACCUUGAAAUGUCACACAAGCUUAUUAGCAAUAAUUGAUACUUUAGUUAAACAACCUCAAUAAUUAUUAGGCAUGGUAAAACAAUACCAUUUUUACCUGAAGUAGGACCCCAUCCAUCCCAUGAUUAAACUACCUUUUUCCCCUGUAAGGAACAUGAUUAAACAGCUACCACAGCUGUAAUUGAUUUUUCACCAAUCAAAUAAAUAUGUACAUAGCCCAUUAUUACCACCCACAACAUUAAUUCAAGGAUUUAGCCCAAGAGAGAGAGAGAGAAAUCAAUACAAGUACAACGGGCCAAUUAUUCAUGAUCUCAUAGGACCACUUACGGUUGAUGGCGAGCAGCUCAAUCAAACACUCGGACUCAGGUUGACCGAGUUCGAGUUACUCGACAAAGAAAACAAGUUGAGUUCGAGUAUUGUUUUAUGCUAUUCGAGUGUUCGUCGAGUAGCUCGAGUAUUUAUUCUUAUUUAUGUAAUAUAUUAAUUAUAAUUAUGAAAUGACCAAUAAGGGUAUAUAAUUUAGAUAAAUUACAUGAUAUCUUGUAUGUUUUAUAAAAUUCUUAAACGGUAAAAAGGUAAUAUUGUAAUUAUAUAAGAAUUACUUUCAAGCUCGGACGAGUUUUGAUGAAGCAUUCGAACUCGUUAAAACUCAUUACUUUUAUCGAGGUUUAAAAUUGUUUUGGUAGCUAUCUACUUUAGAAGUAGUUGAUUGAUAACAAUGUAUUUUGUUGCUCAAGUUUGCUUGGAACCAUUUGUAAAAGUGUAUAUUAGACUAAUUUGGUACCUGAUUCUAUGAAGAAUGAUCCAUGUGCCUAAAGGUAAAACAUCAAUAACGGUCAUUGUCUUCAUAUGUUAGAGUAGCUUGGGGGUUGGUGCUUGACUAAAUGUAACUAACGAAUUAAAGCAAAGUCCUUAAAGAAAAUAAGGGCCUUUACUAUUAUGACCUAAUUCUCGGAGAAACUGUUGGGAAAACUUUAGCGGCUGUAGCUUGGACCUCUUCAAAGAAGGUGCCAAAUUCUCUUCAUCUACUCGUACUGUCAUACGCUGUACUUCAAUAUGGAACUACCACCUCCCUUACUCUUAUGUAAGUUGCAGAUAAAAAGCUAAAACAACACUACCACCACCCAAAUUAGCCAAAAGAUGACAAACAAUUGAUUCUGACGCUAAAAUUCUUCUCUCUCUCUCUUCUCAAAUCUUUUGCUAUUGACCAUGGAGCAUAAUAAUGCAUGUAGGACUUGUUCACUACUAGUAAACAACUGCAUUUUGAAUUAAUCAAAAAAAAAAAAAAACAAAGAAAGAAGCCCGGAAAAAAGACCAAAUUAGUAAACUCGAAAAACCAAAAAUCUUAUUCAUCUGUUCCAAUCCGAAGCUUUGUACUUUUGAGAUGCAUAUGUAUGCAUGUGAGAUGAGUAACUUUGAGGGAGUGUCCUUUGUCGGUGCCUCUCCUGCAUCGGUUGCAGGAGUCACACAGAUCCUUUGACACAAAAGUAAGAGAAUAAAUACCUUCAAGAUCUGCUACUAAUCCUAAAUAACCUAAUCAUUCAUCCCCCAACAUUAUCUCACUACAUUUACUUUUUCACUUUUUCAGUAACACUUGCACUUGAUUUACUCACAUUCUUACAUCAAACAUGUGGCAGUACAGUAUAAACAUGUACCUAAUCUAAGCAAAAUGCCUAAAGAACAGAGGAAAAAAGGUGAAGAGGGAUGUUACUAUUGUGGUCCACUUUUUUCUUUUUCCUUUUUUGUUUACUCUCCUGAGUUCUCUGACUCCUCUCCUUCGCCCCUUCUUUUAUGUUAGUGAGUGGAAUCCCAAUGUCUUCAUGAUUUUCAUCAUACCAAUUGCCAUUUCUUGAAAUCAAAGCCUCAAUCAAUCCAUUACUUAACCAAAGGGUCCCCAGUGUACUCAUUACUGCUGUCUACCUGAGAGAGGAAAGUGAUAAGAGUUGUACAAAAGAAGCAAGAAUAUGGAUGUGGGGAGAAGAAAAGGGGGUGGUGGAGCUACAUCAUCAAGAAUUGGUGUUGUGGCAGGGUCUGUUUGGGAGAGCAGAAUGAAGCUUGAUGAAGUCAAAGGUGGCAUCAAAGUUUUUAAUGGUGAGAAAAAUGGUAGUAAUGAUUCAGAAGAAAAUGAUGAAAAGGAUGGUGGGACUAGUAAUAGAUUAGCUAUUGUUCCAGCUCAAGUGGAUAAAAAAAUGAACUUGAGGCCAAAAACGAGUCCAGUGGGGGCUAGUGGGAAGAGGAAAACUUGGAAAUCUGACAGUUUGGAGAAGAGCCCAAUUCAGAUUGCUAGGCAAAGAUCUGAAACAAACAAGAAUCUUGAUGAACAGUUUAGAGAAUUGAGUAUGUCUGCUGAUGGAAUUAAAAGGAGCCCAGCUCAGAGCAAGAAGUCAAAAUCUGAGGCAAUUAAGGAUUUGGGUGCUUCGGUUGAUGGAAUUGAGAAAAGCCCAAUUCAGAGUAUGAAGAUAAGAUCUGCUUCUCAAAAGUUUUCUAGUGAAUCCUCUGAUGGAAAUGACAAGAAUCCAACUCAAUUGAGGAAAUUGAAAUCAGAGACCAUUAAGGCCUUGAACACUGAAAAUGCAAGUGAGAAGACUUCUGAAUUGAGGAAAGUAAAAUCAGAUUCAAUUAAGGCUGUUGAGGACUCUUCUAAUGGGAAUGUUAAUAAUUCCCUCCAGCUGGUGAAAGCAAAAACUGUAUCAAGCAAGGAUUUUGAUGAUGAUAAUGGCAAGAGUUCUAAAGUGCAGUCUGAGAAAGAAAAGGCAGUUGUUGAUGAGUCAAAUAAGAGUCCUAAAGAAGACAACAUAGUUAGAAUGGAGAAAACAAGGUUUGAUGAAGAUUGUAAGGAAGUUGAUGUUUGUGAAGAGAAGGUGAUUACAAGCAAUAUUAGCAGCAAUGCGGGACAGCAGCAGGUCAAAUCUCCACCAAUAGUAGAAGACACUGACGAUUUUGACGAUGCUGAUGGUGAUGAAGAAGAUUGGGAUGCGGAGUUGGAGGAAGAGGGUGAUCAGGAAAUUGAAGUUGAGAUUGAAAAGACGAGUCUUGUUGUGAAGGAGAUCAGUGUUGCUGAGCAGAAGCCAAAGAAGGUUGUGGUAGAAGAGAAGAAAUUUCGUCAGAGCAAUGAAAGGCCGAUGUCAAUUCCAUCACUGGUGAAGAAACAGUCUCCUCCUGUUGUCAGCCAUGCCAGAGUUCAUCCAAGUCCAACAAAGAAAAGACCAAGUAAGUGCAUAUUGUUCAAUUGCACACCAUUGAUCAUGAUCAGAAAUGUGACAUUCUUACCACAAAAAAUGCACUGAAAUUUCUGCUGCUGCUGUUGUUGUUCAAGUUCCAGAUGAAUUUCAGGGAAGUCCUAGAACUCAUAGCAAAUUACAGAGCUUUGGUAAGAUUUAUUUUCUGUGCUGAAUUCAAUUAUAUUUAUUAGAGACUACUAGAUGGCAAUUUGCAUUUCUUGCUGGAGUAUGUUUUGCAGUUGACUUGGUGAUGUGGAGAGAUGCAUCAAAAUCAGCAUUUGUCUUUGGCAUUGGAACAUUUAUCAUUAUUUCAUCUUCAUACGCUAAGGAUCUCAACAUCAGGUAAUUAAUUACUUAUCUUGCUCUUGAAGAGUGAAAAGACAUUUUAACUCUGUUUUGUUAAUAAUCUGUUUUAAAUAAAGAGCACUUGACUGAAUUUUCUUGAAUCAUGGCAACGACAGUGCAAUAUCUGUGUUAUCCUAUCUGGGAUUGAUCUAUCUUGCAGCAAUUUUCCUCUUCAGAUCACUCAUUUCCAGGUAAUUUUUUUCUUUAUUUCAAUAGAUAAAAGUGAUUACAACUGAUGGCUCUUCUCAAAAGGCUUUAUACCAUUUAAUAGGGGAGCUGUUGAUUUAGAUGAUUCAAGCAUGGACUAUGUUGUUGGGGAAGAGGAAGCAGUUUGGUUGGUGAAAUUGAUUCUUCCCUGUGUAAAUGAGUUUCUGUUGAAAAUCAAAGCUCUCUUCUCUGGAGAUCCUGCUACUACAAUGAAGGUAAAAUUAAUGGGGUUGGGGGAUAAAAAAACUCCUCCAGCUCAUAUGAUCUCUCCAUUUUUUUUUUCUUGAAUUUUGAUGAUAUCAAUUUUUUGGGACAAUUUCAGUUUGAUGUUUGAUGGGAAUUUAUGAGUAGUAGUUGACAAUUUGUAAAUCUAUUCUGACAGAUGGCAGUGCUACUGUUUGUUUUGGCACGGUGUGGCAGCUCCAUAACCAUAUGGAAAAUGGUCAAAUUGGGUGAGUUUUUCCAUAACGCCAAUGCUUAUCUUUCUAGCAUGGCAUGGCUGAAGCAAUUGCACCGAUUUCUUUUGUUUUUUUUUUUGAAUUGUUUGAAAGCAUAUAAGAUGCAUCCUCUUUCCUCCUCAUUUCAUAUUAAUUACCAUUUGCUAUAGUAUUCGUCAAAAGAUUCUCAUGUCUAAAGACAAAAUUCACACACAUUCUUUUAUUUUAUACCAAAGAAAAACUCUGAAAAAAAAAAACACCAGUACGAAAGAAAGAUUUGAUACACGCGAAAUAAAAAAAUAAUUAAAAAUUUGUGUAUAAAAUUAAUAAAAAAUUACAAUCCAAACACCUCAACAAGUAUAAGUUGAAGUAAUUUUCUGUACUUUGACAGACUUUAUAGAUUUCCUUUUCUGAUCAUUCCUUGUGGGGAAAUGGGUUUUACUUUCUUCUGGUGGCUGACGCUUGUUUUCUGUCACAGGCUUUUUCGGAGUUUUCACAGUGCCAAAAGUCUGCUCAUCCUAUUCCACUCAAUUAACUGCUUACGGUAAAAAGCCAAAAAAAAAAAACCCCAUAAUAAAUCUUUUGCUCUCUCAAAUCUGAAUUUGUUUUCUUCAUCUGCACAUCACAAUUGCAUAAAAGUUAGUAGUUCAAUUCAUUCAUGUUACAUACGUCUCUGGAGUCUUGAUUGUUUGUACCGUUAUAGCAGUGCCUACCCACAAGAACCUGUCUACAUCUCAUCUGCAAAGACCAGACAGGGUCACCCCACCAAACUACCAGCCUCCUUCUAUUUAUUAUGCAGUAUUUUUCUGGGGGGAGCUUUAUAAGUAUAGCAUGUUGAAUUGUUGAUCCAACUUUCUUUAGGAUUAGGUGAUUAGUUGCUGAAACUGAAAGAAACUAAUGUUUGGAAGAUGGAUCCCACAAAAUAAAAGUAGUACUCCAUUAGGAUAUAAGCAUAUGGUUGCAUGAGGUCCGAUUUCAGUUCCCAUCAAGUUAUCAUUUUAUUACACAUACAUAAAAGAAAGAAAAUCCUACCAUAGCUAUGUAUUGUACCCCAAAUUCAAGAAUUUGCUGACACGAAUUGCAUAUAUGUUCAUGAAGGUGUAUUUUGGAUUCGACGAUUUCGGGACGCUUGGGAAUCAUGUUCUCAUAAGAAAGCCGUGGCAUUUGCUAUCUUCACACUGGUGUGGAAUUUGUCUUCAAUUGUUGCCCGAAUUUGGGCAGGUAAAAUAGUUCCUGACUUUACUAGUUCCCCUUUUGAUCCUAAAUUUGGUGAAAAAGAAAGCCUAAAAGAAACCAGGAACAAGUAGUUUCUUUCAGCCUAACAUAUUUUUGAAAAAAAAAAUAUAUAUAUAUUGUUAAAAUUGUGAAAAGGAUAGAUUAAUUACUAGAAAAGAUGAUGUCUAAACAUUCAAUUUUACAAAAAAAAAUUUACAAAAAAAAAAAGGGAAGUGACAUUUAGACUCGCAAAUUAGUCUCUUUUUUUUUUUUUUUGUCAAAAGUCAUAUUUGUAUUCAUAACUUGACAUUGCAAGGUUUGAUACAUCACAUGGGAAAGCUCUCUUCCCAUUCAACAUUCCUAAUUAGCUUGACAGCAAACUUUGCUAAUCUAUGUGCACAUUUGUUCCCUAUUCUAUGGACAAAAGAGAAAGUACAUUUGUCAAACAAGCAUCUCAUGUUUGCAAUGUCCUCUAGAAUGAUAUCAACUCUAGCUUCUUUCCCGUUUUCCUUGUUAAUCAUGUCCACCACCUCCUUGCAAUCAGACUGGAGCUCCACUUCUCUCCAUUGAGCCUCUCGAGCCAUCAGCAUUCCCAUUCGGAUUGCUGCCGCUUCCUCCACUAGGGGCUCGCAAAUUAGUCUCUUGACUCUUUGGAAGCAUACUAUUAUUUAGUGAGUGGAUUGAAGUGCAAGAAGCUAAAAUGGAAGAACGUUUCUAUUUUUACAUAUACAAUUUAAUCAUUAAAUUUAGGCUUCUAAAUAUGGCUAAAUAUUUCAAGCACGUAGCCUAUUGUGAAUUAUAUGCGAAAAAAAAAUAAAAAGAAAAAUGACAACCGAUACAAUUAUUGACUUUUUUUUUUUUUUUUGCCAGUGUUCAUGUUAUUUGUGGCGUAUAGAUAUUACCAGCCAUCCUUCAUUGGAGAGGGAUGGGCUACAGCUGAGGUGCAAACAAGAGCUGAAGAUUCUUCUUCCACUUCAGGACAAAGUGGAGGCCACGUCCAGCGACAACGGCCGAGGCCCAUUGUAACGGAAACAGGGAAACAAAAGAGGACCUUUUAAGCAUAUGCAGGCCCAAUUGCCCAUUACACUUUGUUUAUUAUAGUUUGAUACCACAAGAAAUAAAAAAAGUAUAGAUGAAAACGAAAAAAAAAAGUUUUAGUCUUGUGUGUCCUUAAUUUUCUGAUGUUUUAGGAAAUAAGUUUAGAUAUGUAAAAAUAAAGUAUAUAUUAAAGAAGAAAUGAAAAAAAGAAGCUUUUUUCUAGACUCGUGUGUGCCUUACUUUAUUUAUUUAGAAAAUAAGUUUACCAAUACAUAGGUGAUCAAUUUUUAUUUGGAAUAAGAGAUGAAUUGGGUGUUUUAGGAUGAGGGAGUGUAUGCAGGAGGGUUCGAACGUUUGAACCCUCCCACUUACAUUAAAAAAAAAAAAAAGAGAUCAAAUUUUUAUUAAUAAUUACCGUGCAAAUGAAAAUAGUUGUUCAAUGUCGAAUAGAGCCAAAAUAAUAAUAGAAAAAAAAAGAAUAUAGCCAAAAGAAUAUAUCCGUUUCGUGACGUACAUACUUAAGAAAGUAAAACUUUUCCUAUCAAUGCCAAUCCAUGUGAGCCCAAAGAAUCACCAUUUUACUAAAUAUGGAGAUUAAUUUAUGUUCAUAAGAGAUUUAAAAUGACAAAAGCAAUUCAUAAAUAAAGUAUAUGUCAAAAAAGUUUAAUAAUGAAAAGGCAAGUUUUCAUGAGAAAAAAAUGUUGUCUCGCUAUUUAAAUAGCGUCAAUGUGAGUAAAAGAAACUUAGAAACACCUUGAUAAAAAAUGACAUCUUACACGAUCAACUGUUUUUCACUUUAUUGUAUCUCUAAUAAUUGUCGCACAAUUGAUGCUUGUGCAAAUUAAAAGAAAGUCUAUUUUAGUUGGAAAAUAAAUUGGUAUACAAAUAUGAAAUAUAAAAAGGGGAAACACAGUAGUUAUUGGUGUUGAAAUUAAACAGUAAUUAGUGUAAGAUUGAGGGAUAAUGUAUGAGAUAAUUCGUGAUUCUAAAUUUAUAUGUCCAUUACUCUUUCUAACUUCAAAGUUUAGAAUCUAUAAAAUUUGGAUAAAGGAGAUUUUUUUAUAAAUACAAACAAUGACAUUUUUUUAGCGCCAAAUUUUGGUCCAUACUCCUCACGUAUAUAUAGUGGAAGAUAUCAAACAAUAUAAUAGAAAGAAAAUAAAAGAUUGGAAUAGUCUCUCCAUUUAUCCCCUUUCCCUUCUAAGCCAAGAACCUAGAACCGUGAAACAACGUCGUUUAUGGGGCUUGAAAAUUGUGAAAAUGAAUUUCCUUGCCACCUGUCAAAAUCGGUUCAUGGACUUGUCGAACCCGGUUUCAUUCCCCCAAAAACCGUUCGGUCUGCCACAAAACAAUAAAUAGGAGAUGAUCAGGUUUCUAGAACUACAAUAAUAGUGCCCGAGAGUGAAGAGCCCUAAUCCCCAAAACUAUAACCCCACUCCCAAUUUUCUGUUUUACGACAACAAUCGAUCAAUCAACGAUAUGAGAUUUUGAUCAAGUUCCAGGCAAGGGUUUUAUUACCUACUUCUAAGUUAUUAAUCAAAGUUUUAAUGUGAUAUUAUCAGCUAAAAUUUGACCUCCAUUUGCUCUCCCGGUUUGUUGCAGUUGUAAUUGCUGAUUGUAUUGUUGUUAGUAGCAUUUUGUUUGGCUGAAUAGUUUUCUUCGUUAUUCGUAAUUAUGCUGUUCUAGAUGAUAAAAUUGUGGUCUAGUUGUGAAUUGUGAUUGCCAUCUUUCGCUUUUAACUGUCUGAAGUAUCUCAAGGCUUCUUCUGCUUUUUCUGACCAUAACGUGUGGAGUAUCUGUUGCUUGUAAUUUCGACGUAAAAUCCACUGCUGCACUCAUUCUUUUCACUGCUUAUGGUCUCUAAUGAGAGAUGGGUUCUGGGUGAAACACCUGAAAAGUUUGUGGGUUUUGAUUUUUUGAUUUGGCUGUUUUCCAUUUAUGUGUAUGAUGAUCGUUCAAUGUGUUGUUUACCGGUUCUUGGUUUUUGGCUAUCGUGAUGCUGGUUGACUAAUUGGUCUCUUGAGUUCUUUUUUUUUUGAUAAUAUAGACUGGCGUUGCAGUUUGAAACUGUAGGUUGUUGAAAAUUUUGAUUUUUUAAAUUGACUUGAGGUAUAUGGAUGCUUCCUUAAUUUUGUGGAAAGAAAGGGAAAAUGGUUAAGUGGGCAGCAGAGGUGGUGUUUUGGUAGCUCAAUAUCUAUGACAUUUAGGAUUUUCUUUUUUAAGUUCUUCCAGCUUUGUUAUCUGAACAUGCAAAUGAGGUAGCCGUAGAACCAGGAAAUGCAUGACCUUAAAUUAGAAAAGCUAACUCUGUGCUGUCUCACCAAUCAGUUAGUGACAUGUCUUCUGCCGUUCACAGCUCCCCAGAACAAGAAUGUCUACUAUUUAUGCACUACUUUGUCUAUUCCGUUCACUUAAAACAGAAUUUCCAUAUUUGAAUGACUAUACUUUGAUGAAAUUGGUUGUGGAAGAAAUGGGCAUUAGGUCUUGAGUUGAAAUUUAUGCUCAAGAACUUAGGCUGCAAAAUUUAGAAACAGUGGCAAAUGACGGAAGGAAUGAAUAUUUAGAAAACUUAACUAAUCAGAGAGGGAAAAAGAUUGUGCAAAAGUUCAUUGCAUGAAUGCACAGGGGCUGCAAAAUUAUUAAUUAAUUAAGAUAGCAAAGGCAAUUUUCUUUUAUUGAAUUUACGGUGGGUUGUUUUUAAAUGGGUAGUCCCUUAAUCAGCGAACAAAUUUUCAAAUAUAUGUUUCCUUUACAAGUUUCAGAAAUUUGCCAAAGCAUUGUUUGGCCUUGGAAGAUUGGCAGCCAUUUUCUGAGUUAGACUAGGCUACACUAACACUUUCUAAUCUCAUAUAAUGUCGGAUGAACUUCGUUUUGUUUAUUUUGAGAAACUGAUUCUAGACUUUCUUUAUUCUUUUUGUCAUCUUUUUCCGAUUUUAUUGUCUUUUUGACUGCAAACUCUGUCCUCAAUUGCAUGAUAAGCUUUAAAAACAUUAAAAAGUGCAUUGGCAUACCAAUGGCGAGGUGCUGGAUCAUGCUGUGGGUAUGAACAUUGUUCUCUAUUUCCAUUAUCGUGUAAUUUCGCCUUAAUUUAUUGUUGCUGGUUGAUUGGUAGUGUUAAUUCUUCUGUUUUGUUUUCUUUUUUCAUCAUAAAAGUGUUGGAAAAAAUUUCUGGUCUAGUAAGAGAUCUAAGAUAUAUGUUGGCUUUUGUUUGCUCAGAUGAGCUUAACAGCAGACUCACCUGUGCACUCUCCAAGCACAAGCGGCGAGGAUUUUGCUGCAUUUCUUGAUGCAGAGUUGGAUUCUGCCUCUGAUGCAUCACCUCAUCCAGAAGAAGCAGAGGAGGAAGUAGUAGAAGAAGAAGAAGCAGAAAAAGAAAACAAAGGUGGUGACACCGACGACUAUGACUUAGACUCUGAGAAGUGAGUAUUCAGAAGAUGUUUCUUUGUACUGCUUGCCGUGGUUUCUGUGCCUAUUGUCUGGUUCAACUUUUGCUUGCUUUUUUUUUUUUAAGGAUUAAAAGGCGCAAGGUUGAGAUUCUUGAGAGCUCAUUAGAUGUAGAAGCUAUGACGUCCCAGGAAGUUGAGAUACAAACUUCAGGUAAUGCCUAUGAUUGUACUCUUUCUGUUCAUUUGCCGCUUAUGAUAGAUACGCAACAAUUAAUACAGUUAAUAUUUGCAUGCUAACCUCAAUACGUAACAAGAUGAUCAGACAAGAGCUUAGUCUAAAAAUCUUUCUAGGUUGAUUGUUAGUUACAGUUUUUGUGAUCGAUGGAUACCAAUAACAUCCUGAAAGAGACCUGAACUGAAGUCUAGAAAAUAAGGAUUUACUUCAAGGGUUUGAAAAUGGGGUAAAGUACUUUUUUACACAAGGGAAGCCAGGUAUAGGAUAUUUUAUGAUUUUGGAAGAUGCAGCUGGAUUUCUUAAAUUUUCUUAGUUUGACAAAAAGGUACUUUGUUGAUUUCCAACUGGAAUUUAAGUAGCAAUGCAAGAUUGGUGGAAAGUUCACUAUGAAAUUCUGGUAACAUGACGCUUUGUUUUCUAAAAGUCUGCUUUCUGCAGGAGCAUCUUCAGAUAAGGAUGUUUGUUCACAUCCUGGUGUGAUUGGUGGGUUAUGUAUACGGUGUGGGCUGAAGAUGGAUGAUGAGUCUGGUGUUGCAUUCAGCUACAUACACAAGGUUGCAAUCGCUUGGAAAUCUUGUUAGGAUGUAUUUUGUUGUUUUUAUAAUUUGGCUGCUCAGGAUUACUUGCCUGUUUUCUAGAUUUGGCUGUUUUUGAAUCACUUAUUGUUGUUUAUAUGCUUCUCCUGUUAAGUUCUUUGUAGCACAUUCUAAUCGUAAGCUCUUUCUUUCCAAUUUGAAAUCUGAAGUUUCCUUGGGGGUUUAAGGUUUAAUAUUAGUUUUCACUUAUGCACAGAAUGUUGGUGCAUUUAAGGAGCAAUUCCAUCUUUUUCAUCUCUUCCCGUAAGACUUUUAUGAAUGAUGUUAACUGAUUCUUGCCUUUGAACUCUUUUUUUGUCACAGAAAAAUGUUGUUCUAACCUUAAAUUUUCUGGGCUGCAUUUUUUACAGCUAUUUGUUGUAUUGGUUUUUUCAUAUUACACAUUGAGAAGUUUAUUGGUUUAUGUGGAGGUAUUUAGGCAGGUAAUUAUGUAAUUUAUUUAACAGAAUCUAAGGCUGGCUAAUGACGAGAUUGCUCGAUUACGUGAUAAAGACUUGAAGAACCUGCUUCGCAAGAAAAAACUUUACUUGGUUCUUGAUUUAGAUCACACACUGCUGAACUCAAGUCGGUUUUUAGACCUUACAGUAGAUGAGGGAUACUUGAAGGGCUCCAGAGAUGAUCUACCAGGUACAAUGCUCUCUUUUUAUAUAGUUGCUGUUUAAUUUUUAUCAUUCUUCUGCUGAUUUCUGUUACAGUUGUUUUAUGCGGAUAGUUUUCUAUUUUACAUGACAACUCUGUUGUCUGGUCUUAUAUAUUUGAUUCAUGCUAUGAUAUGAAAUUCUAUGAGCAAAGGCUACAAAUCCUUCCCCCCAGACCUUGUUUCCAUUAUCACAAAGAAAUAAAAGUAAAUUGUGACAAAAGCUUGUCACCAUCUCAGAGAGAGAGAGAGAGAGAGAGAGUUGCUAAUGGAAGACAUUUGGUCAGACUGACCAGUGCCGACAAGCUCUUCUCCUUUCCCCGUGGUUUUGAUUAGGGUUUGUAUUAUUGAAGUUUCAUGAUGGUCUACUUUGGACAACUUAGUUCAUUGUUUUCAAAAGGAUGACUCUCAAACUGGAGGUAGCUCUAAUGACCUCGGAGGUACUUCCACUACUUGGGGAUGAUUAUUUCAGGACAUGGUUUAGUACACAUGUUCCUUGGAACGGAUAUGGGCAGUAUUUAGGUUACAAAGAACUCUAGAUUCUUCUUGGACCAAAAGAAACCAAUGCCAUCCUCUGGGACAAAUAAUCUGGUAUCUACAUUGAUUCCAUUUGGCUAAUAUGCUAUGCAGAUCUGUAUUUUUACUAUGAAUAUUGAAUUUACAGUGCAUGAGUUCUCUAUUUCUGUUUCGUGUAUCUUAAUCCAUUUAAUCUUGGUGUUCCUUAACUUCUGCACUCCUGGAGACUGGAAGCAGCUUUUAGUUGUAUAUAUUUGGUUAAUUAUUUACUGUGCUGCUACUGGUAGUGGAAUUGUAACAAUUAAAUUAACAUUUUUCAUUAAGUUUUUGCCAAUAUUUCUUCAAUUCUUCUUAUUUAUUAGAGAUAGAGGGUUUCAUUGUUUGCUUUAGUAUCCUUUUGGUUAACUUCUUGAUUUUCAUAAUUGUAACUAAUAUUUUGUAGCUUAACUGGUUACUUUAUUGUUCCAGAUGCUUUGAAGAACAGCUUAUACAGACUAGACUAUAUGCAUAUGAUGACCAAGUUAAGGCCCUUCGUCCAUAGUUUCUUGAAAGAAGCAAGCAACUUGUUUGAGAUGUACAUAUACACAAUGGGUGAACGUGCAUAUGCAUUGCAAAUGGCAAAAUUGCUUGACCCUGGAGAUGUCUAUUUCCACUCCAGAGUGAUUGCACAAGGAGAUUGCACACAGAGACACCAGAAAGGUCUUGAUAUUGUUUUGGGGCAAGAAAGUGCUGUCUUAAUACUUGAUGACACGGAAGCGGUAAUUCCAAUAAGUAGUCCUUUACAGUAUUUCAUAUUUAGUUUGUCAGAUUUUCUCCUGCGUUUUCUGGUUCUCAUUAUUUUGUGUCAAUUGUUUGCUUUUCCUCUAUUAUCAGUUUGUGAGCACUGACGUUUUCCUUUACACACAGAUGUUUUCAAUUGGAAAUAGUCACUUUAUAAUGGGGGGAUUGUCUCUGUGUGCGCAUUUUUGUGUAUGUAUGUGUGUGAGUGCAUGUAUAUAUUUGGGGAAAUUUUGGCAUCUUUUGGGUCCCCGUGUCCACAUAAUGCAGCUUGCUUUCCUUCUUAAUGUUGUCUGGGAAGCAGAUGACAUACAUAGACAUCUAUCAUGACUAAUUGAUUUUUAAGCAAGUACUUUCAGAAGUUUGUAUAUGUCUGCAUUUGCUGCCAAGUUGACAAGAGCAUUAUUGAAUGAUCUAGGUCUGGGGAAAACACAAGGAGAAUUUGAUAUUGAUGGAAAGAUAUCAUUUUUUUGCUUCAAGUUGUCGUCAAUUUGGCUUCGGUUCAAAAUCACUCUCUGAGCGUAAAACUGAUGAAAGUGAAAGUGACGGAGCCCUUGCUACAGUUCUUAGAGUUCUUCAGCAGAUACAUUCUACCUUUUUUGACACGGUAUGUGUUCAUCACUAUUAUUGUUUGAAUUGCUUUAACAUUUUGUUGCUCAAUUAUUCUCAUUGAAAUCUUCUUUUACAGGAACAUAGUGCAAGUCUUGCUGAUCGAGAUGUGAGGCAGGUAAUUGUGGAGGACUAGUACUGAUGGCUUUCCUCCAUAUGUUUCUGUGUUUGGAUAGGAGUUGAAGUCAUAAUCUUUUUUCGUUAGCCUAUGCACUGGUUCCCUAAUGGGUAUUAUUAUGGUACCUUAUCUGUAUUGUAGUUGAACUUGCUUUUAUGGAAUUUCAUGUUUUCACUAGAGCUUUCUUUCCAAGCAUGCAAUUUAUUUUGCCAAACUGUUACUGGGUUUUGAACAAAUAAACCUGCAUUCCAAGCCGUCAGAAAAUUUUCAAACAUUAGAUUAGUGAAAUUAUGUUUGUAUGGGUCCAUCUUCUGCAAAAAUUUUGCUUAGCUACGUGGAAUUUGUACCACAACGCAUGAUAAAGGAUUCUGGUGACUUUGGAGUUUUAAGUUUUUCAUUCUCCAGUUUAGAUUGGUUUCAUCUUCUUAGUCAUGAAUUCUACGAUGUUGACUUGUGAUGUUUAAUGUUAUUUAGAAAGAUGUGUGAUAUAUUUUCUCUUUUAUAUCUAUGGCAGGUGCUAAUAACAGUUAGGAAGGAAGUUUUGAAGGGUUGCAAGGUUGUAUUUACUCGCGUUUUCCCCACACAGUUUCAGGGUGAAAAUCAUCACCUAUGGAAAAUGGCAGAGCAGUUGGGAGCUACAUGUUCAUCUGAAGUUGACCCGUCAGUAACACAUGUCGUCUCUUUGGAUCCCGGAACCGAGAAAUCCAUUUGGGCAGUGCAGGAGGGAAAAUAUUUGGUCCAUCCAAGGUGGAUUGAAGCUGCGAACUAUUUGUGGAAAAGACAAACUGAAGAGAGCUAUCCUGUUAGUAAUUCAAAGAACCAGUGAUCCAAAUUCUCCUUGAGCUAACCCAUAGUUGAGUUUUCGUGAAUCUUAGUACAUAAGAGUUGGAAGUCAAUAGAUUUUGGGGCUAAUACCUUAAUUCUUGCCUGACUCUGUUGUUCUCAAAUUAGUAUAGGGUACUAGGUUUGUUUUAGUUCAACGAAUUUAGAGGGCGUCAAUUUGCAUUCCUAGAUAUGACUACAUGAUGAGGUUGUUGUAUUUUAAUAGGUUGAAAGUGAGGGGCAGCAAAUUUUAUCCUUAGAUCGGAAAUGUAAAUAGCAGUUAAAACUGGACUGAAGGUGAUACAAUCGACUGUGAUGUGAGCAAAGAACACGAACAAAACUGAUUACCCAUUGAGGGUUCAUGAUGCAAUUGUAGGGUUCGAAUAUUACUUGGUAAAUUUGAAGCAGCCAGGAACCAGUAUGAAGAAUGGCAAGGUUUAGAGGAGUUUAGAUCACACGGUGUCCUUUACGCCUUUUUAUUUCAAUGCAUAUUGACUGCCACGGUGUCUGGUUUUGCGGGGUUCAUGGUUACUUCCAGGUUUUAUAUAUACCUCUGUGGUGAUGGAGGACCGUAUAUAGACAUAUGAACAAUCAGCUCUGUUAAUGCAGAAAGCAGCAUCGUUCCCUUUGCAUGAUCUUUUCAUUUGUAGAUACCAAAAUUGUUGAUCUUCUUUUGUUAUUUUUUGGGGACGAUUGUAAGAUCAAGGGUGUUGAUGAGUUAACUACUUGUGCUGCUCCCAAAGCAAAUUCCUUUGCAAGUCUUUCCGUUUCUUUGAUGUUCUAGUGCCGUUUUAUGUCUAUGAUAUUCUAUUGUCAGUUUAGCCAUUUGUAAUAAAAAAGAAAAAUGUCUUCUAAGCUCACAACCAGUUAAUUACAGGUUCCGAAAUCUGUACUGCAAUUAGGUCAACAUAUUCUCCUUUAAGAUUCGGAGAUUCGGAAACCGCUACUGCAAUUAGGGCGGCCCCUUCUCCUUUGUAGCCAGUUUCCGUGUCCAAUAGUAUGGUCACAGGUAAUGGAAAUAUCCGGAAGGAAGGCUUGCUUUCUUCUAUUAUGGUCACAGGUAUAGGUGGCAAAUUAAUCUAUUUAACUAAAUUUAUUCAUGCCCGUCCAUAAAUAUAUGGGUAUGGGUAUUUUAAAUUUUUAUAUAUGAGUAUAAAUGAGUUACCUAAUAAUAUCCAUUUAAUAAAUAUGUAUUAUUGGGUAACCUAUUAAAUCCAAUUAACCCAUUUAAAAUUUUCUUCCCCCAACCUCUUUUUUUUCAAAUUUUUUAUUUUGCCAUGAUGUUAACUACUUUUGUUUCAUUAUUAUUAUUAUUUGUUGGUUUUAUAUUAUCAUUUUGUUUUCUCUUAGUUUGUUAACUUGCUUAUUUUUCAACAUUACCAAUUUAUGAUAAGUUUUAGCCUCUUUUCUUAUCUUUCCAAAAUGAAAUUUUAAAUUUAUAUAUGAAAAAAAUGUUAGGGGUUCAAAAUUUUUGGAUUAAGUUUUUAUAUUAACUUUUAUAGUACUUAGUUCAAAUUUUUACAUUCUUAUUAUUCAAUUAUUAAAUAAUAUGUAAUUUUGCGACAUAGAGUAUGGAUGGGAAAAAAAUUGGUAAUUAGGUUUAUUGAGUAUUAUAAGUAAAUAUUUAAAACUAAUGAUGGGUGCAAAGAGCGGUAUAAAUUGAUAACUUAUUUUGGAAAAAUGAAUUUAAAUGAGUUUACAAAAAGUUAAAAUAAAUGGGUUAUAAAUGGGUAAUUGGGUUACCCAAUUCAUUUUUUGACUUACCCAUUUAUAUCCAUCUAAUUAAAUAGGUAUAAAUGGGUUGACUUACUUAUAUCCAUUAUCCAUUUUAUCCAACUUAAACCCGUCCAAAUCACACAUUUUGACACCUCUAGUCACCGGUAAUGGAAAUAUCUGAAUCCCUUUUUUUUCUUUUUUGUUUUGGCAAGUGAAUUGGAGGUUUUAAACCCAAAACCUUCUAUUUAUAAUCCUUUAUAUCUUAUCACCCAACUCAACUCUCCUCAAAAUAUCGGGUUUGUUUGACAAAGAAGUUUUUGGCCAAGUUUGUCUGCUAUAAGUUUUUUAACAACUUUAGCUAUAGUAACUUCAAAAAACUUUUUAAAAAUUUUAAAUUAUACACUUCAAAAUAUUUUAAAAAUUACACUCUUCAGAAAUUUUUUCUACAAUUUUAAAAUAAGUUACAAUAAAAUUUUAGACAAACAUCCAAAAAAAACUCAUUUGCUGAACGGAGCCAUCUUUUUGAGUGGCUUGUUUAAUGUCAACGAAGUAAUUAUCAUAAAUGAUCAGAGAAAUCGCCAUCUUCCGAGCUAAUAAGCUACCGUUUGAGUUAAUGGUUGUCCGCUUAAACGUCUAACCUGGAAAUCACUACCCUUUCUUUUCAUUUUUGUGGGUGGGGGUCAGGAACGUUUGAAGCAGUCAUUCAACCACGUGGAAAGGAACUACUCUGAACACUAAUUAUUUGGAGAGAAUUUCGAAUUCAUUUAUUAGGAAAAAGAGGGUGAGUAUGUAAAUGUGUAUAUAUAUAUAUAUAUAUAUACACACACUUGUCGAACCUGAAUUAUUUUAUUUUAUUUUAUUUUGUUGAGAGCUGCUUCUCCCUUAUGGUUCCAUUAAGUCAGAAAAUGUGUGUCACUUAGUUAUCUUUUAUUUGUCCCUUUCAAACACAUAAAAAAAAAGUAAACACAUACAAUCAUAGAUAUAUAUAUGUCGAACGUAACAAAUUGAGCAAAAAAAAAAAAAGAAGAAACUUGUACAACUAAGGGACUCUUGUUAAAUCAGAAAGUGAUCUAGAGGAAGUAAGCUUGUAUUAACCGUUGUUUUCGUAUCUAUAAAAAAAUUUGAUUUCUUGUUUGCCCUCUAUUUAUUGGUACACACGUUCGUUUGUGAUCCAAGUGAACAUGCAUCUAUGGCAAAGUCCAGAAGCAAAGAAGGAAAACUGGGCAAGUUUUGUACGUGAAAUUCGUCCCAAGUUAAUUGGCCACAAAAUAAGGAAAUUUAGAAUAAGGGACUAACUAAUAGCACAAUAAUGCCGAAUACAAAAAGAAAAAAAAACUAGCCAUCAAAAUCGAUCAGAAACCGGGAAGAAGAUUGGCAGCCGUAAUAUGGGCUAUUAUCUGUGACGACUGCAAGUCAAUGUUAUCCCAUACUGAUCUUAUCUCGAAAGAGGUGAAGCAAUAAACACGUACGAGUCUUAUUCAGAAACAAGUACUGUCCCCUUCCACAAAUCAAGCAAACGAAUGCAAUAAUUGAGUUGCGCACUUUCAACCACUGUCCGUUAAAUUGGAUUCCACAGGCUAAUUCGAUCAGGAGCAGUUUAAAUUAAAGGUUUCUUUUCAUUUCAAGAAAGCGAAAAGAAAACAAGAAACAAAAAAGAAUAGAAGCUUAAUUAUUUGGUGUGAGCUAGAGAAUAUUCAUAGUUGCCUAACCAGCAGGUUUGAGUUCUACUAUCAGCAGUUUUCUACGGUGGAACAGUGGCCUAUCCUGAUCUUAGAAUGUAAGAGACACAGAAAGAGAGGGAGAGAGAGAGAGCACGCAUGCUGCUAGACUAUGAAAGUUGUGCUUUAUUGAAGAACAUGCAGUGGGCGUUAUUAUCUGUCCAUAAUCAGAUAAAUGACUGGGACUAAUCGUGUCCUUAACACGUCUAGUCAUAAUUUAUCGAGUAGCAUAAAUCCAAAAGUGAUAAGAUUUUGAGAGUUGUCUUUAUGUACUAUCAUGAGAUGAUGCAGGACAGGACACUCCUCAACAUACCAUACGAGAACCAGAAAAGGAGAAGGCACGAACAUGUGACUAUUAUGUUAAAACUAGACACCCAUAAUUGUUUGAUGACUAUUUUGAAGUAAUAUAUGUUUUAGCCUUUAGGUGGAAUCAGUCAAAAUUUUUGCUGCUUCUGGCGGAUUACUAGCAAAAACCCAAUUCGCUACUUAUUUGAGAAUCUUCAGUUAAGUUACUAGCAGUUGGAGUUGGUAGUUUGGGUUGAUUACCAAUGUCAAAAUAUGCGUCUUCUUUUUUGUAUAUAUUUUUCUUCCUUUUGGAUUAAGAGACAGGAAUAUGAAAAUGGAAACACAAGAAGUCAGAAAAAAAUGCUCUCAAUCUUUUUCUUGUCAAAUUUUAGAUGCCAACAGCAAUCUAAAUCAAGCUCUUCGUAGUAAUUUGGAUAUGAAAGUGCUAUCCGGUACUCGAACAUUGAAUUGGCUCGGGGCCAUCUAGCUUCUUCCGAUCCAGUACUUGCUUUCCUUGUAGCCCCAUAUCAAUAUUGAUCUUGCUGUUUGCUUGGACCACAACAUCAACGCCGUGGAUUCCAAAUGAAUCGGAGACUAGGGCGUACCAAAGGAAUAAUUAAUUAUCCCACAAUUUGAUUUACAACAAGUAAUGAUUUUCCAACAAAGUUUGUACCAAAUUCUUGAAGUUGCUAAAAUUGCAUAAUGGGCAUAGUUGUAGCUCCUACUUUUGCAUCCUCAACGUGUCAAAGUCUUGAAUUUGCGUACGACUACUAUGAUUAUUCAUAAUGCAUUUACUUGUCGGGAUUUUUCAGUCUUUAACUUCUUUUUUUAUUCUGUAAACAAACAAUUUCUCAAACUCAUUGCCCUACGGACUUAUUGCGAGCGUCUAUUUUGCUGCACUUUUUCUUGUACUUCCAUGUUAUUGCCCGGUAUCAUAUCAUCCACUGGGUAAACUUUUCUGCACUCAGAAGUUUAUGAUAAGAUUGCGCCACUAACUUGGAGAACGUUCUUGAACAUCAAAUUUAACCUCCUACGUACCCCAAAGCAGAAACAGAAGUUGACAAUGUAAUCUAUGACUCGGUGGACUGAACUGACGACUUCUAUUAGCCUCCUUUAAAUAAAGCUGAGAUAGUAAUAUGAAACACAUGCUUGAAUGAAAUCUGAAAGAUUGCAUCUGCCUUUGGUGGUGGUUCUUAUCCCCAGCUAGCAGACAUCUAAUCUACUCCAUUUAAAAUGAUCAUAAGCAGCCCGAUUGAUGCACGUAUUCAUAUAACAUUAGUGUUUCAUUAUUAAUGGCAUAUCUUAGCAAUACGGCCACAAAAGUCAUUUUCAAGGAUUUCUGAUUAGUCUUCUUCUUAAUCAAUGCAUAGAUUUUAGGUGGGAUGAGCUGGUUCAAGUAUUAGAGUUCUGAAAACUCAAGACAUAGAGGACUCAAGAUUAAUUCCUCUCUCUCUCUCUCUGAUAAAAGAGAAGAAAAAUAUACGUAUGAUAAUAGAGUUAGAAACCUUGUACCCAUCCUAGGAUGAAGGCAGAAUUACUCAAAAAGAAAAAAAAAAACCCUUGAUUUUUCCUAAUUUGAGCUUAUGCAAGAAGAAUAACAUUGUGUUAAAGCAAAAGUUUGUGAGAAGAAAUGUUGAACAGAGACAUAAGACGUGUCCCAGUGUCCGGCUCCGGCAGAGACGCUGCUGCAUGUAUAUACAAAUUGCGUACUGUGGCUUUGAUUUGAAUGAGAUUUCGUCUUCAUGUACAAAAAAGAUUGAAGUAGCGUUUCUUUUCUUCUUUUUUUGGUUCAAAAAAGUUUAGUGGUUUCUGCUGGAGCAGGACACAUCCUUAAGAUUAAAGGUCACUUACCAGAAUAUUCAUAUAUUACUCAUCAAUGCAGGGUUUACAUUUGCAGCGGAAUUUGCAGACAUGUACGACAUAAGACGUGUGUCCUACUGUCUGGCUCUCGCGGACACGCUCCACGCAUAUUACAAAUUGAGUACUGUGUCUUUGAUUAAAUGAUAUUUAGUCUCUUCAUGUACAAAAAAGAACACUUGUAAGUUAUUCACUAAUCCAGCAUUUACAUUUGCAGUGAAAUUCGAAGAUAAGUAGGUAAUAUUCGUAUUUAGUUACCAUCGUUUUGAUAUCAAGUUUUGUCCUGAUGCACCGAGAUGUCAUUUCAGCUCCGUGCAUGCGUGUUCGGCAUGAAAGACUGCUGCUCUUCUCGAGGAAGCUGAUCACAAAAUGAAAACGAAACAGUGGAAUUUGUCAUUCUGAAAUUUUUUUUUUUAGAAAAAAAAAAGAAAAAAUGGAAAACAUCAAUGCAGCACGAUGGACAAUUGAAAGAUGGAAACUCAGUGAUGUAAGGACAAAAGACAGCGUACAAUGAAAGAUGGAAACUCAAAUUCUUCCCAUGGUUUUGGAUCGGGGCUGGUGCAAUUGCACCGGCAAUCCCACCAUGCCAUUAGUUGCCAAGAUCGGCUGAGGAGAGUCUGGACUCGAAUGCUUCCCAUGAUUGAUUAUGGUUCUUCUAGUCAGCACUCCAAGCAAGGAGGCAGCUGCUUAGCAGGUGAAAAAUCAAUAAUUGUCUAUUUAGUUUUAGAAGGGAGAUGUUAUUAGCACUUCUAAAAGAGUUUUUAGCACUUCAUCCUCUCUGUAAAAGCUUGCAUAAAGCGUACGGGAUAAAUAAAGUGUUAGAGGCUUUUCUAAGAGCGUUAAUAUCAUUUUUCUUUCCUAUAUUUCUUUUUCAAGAUUUUUCAGUUUAAAGGGUGAAGUAAAUUUUAGAUAAUCUAUGAAGGCAUAUUAAUUAAUGACGUUAAAAGGGAAUUUCUAGAAAUUUAGGAUGUGCAAGUGUGAGGCAAACUAGUUGUGGAGGUUUGGGAUGUCGUCCCCUUAGAUGUAUCCCACAUCGGGGUUGGAAGGGUUUGGGUUGGUAGUUAUAAGUCUCCUGUGGAACCUCAAAGUAUACCGACUUUUGGGAUUUCCUUGGGGUUUAGAUUUGUAAAAAUUGACGUAAGCUCUUUGGGUUUCGAAAGAAAAAAAGUGUGAGGCAAACUAAACAGGAUUAGAAACUCAGCUGUCCUUAUUUUCAAUUUCCUAUAAUUGAGGGUAACAAUAAUUGAUAACCCCCAACCUUAAAGGUUGCUUCUCUCCUGGAUAAGUGUACCUUAAAAGCACAUAGCAACUUAAUUGAACCGUAGGAGUCAACACAUUUUGCGUUACACAUAACGUUAAAAUCUUGUAUCUUUCAAUAUAAAACUCAGAUGCAAAUUACAAUUAAUAAUAUUCUAAAAGACAGGAAAAUAAUUCUCAAAAGAAGAAGAAGGAAGAAAAAUUGUUCUUUCUCUUCCCUGUUUAGCAAUUAUUGUCUUCCAAAUAUUACUGACUAAUUAUUAUCCGGAGAUCAAAUAUUUGCCAUCAUCUCAUCUUCAAAGUGGGCAUAAUUAAUUAGGUUCCACUGCCAAGAAAUUUGUGUAUUAUAUGCCUGGUUUGAGCCCGUGAUUUGAUUUAAGGGCUUCUAGAGAUCCUAUGGAUGUUAUUACCAAGAAAUCAGAAUUAUUGACGGAUUUGAGUUGUGAUUGACAUACGUACUCGAUCGAUCGAUAGCUUCUCUUUAAUAAGACUAAAGAGUUAUAUCUGCUCUCGUCACAGGCCAGAUGGCCUCGUUUCGAAAUGACUUGCGGAAUUAUAGCCAAUGUCACCUCGUAAUCGGAAAUUAACACUUGUAUGUUUAAUCAAAGUGCGUGGAUCAUUUUAUUCCCCUUUUCCAAAUCCAUCAAUUUCAAUGCAUCAGGCAACCAUAUACUCAUAUUCCUAUUGUUUUACGUCCAACCCUGGCCAUGACAUGCAUGUAUAAAACCAUACUACGAGUUUGUAAAAUGUAAACCCUUGUAUAAUACGUAAGCAUCAACCAAAAAUUUGGCCCUUUGGCAGGGGAAAAUCAUAUGCAAAUAGUAUAUAAAAAUUUUAGUAUAUAAAAAUUUGAGACAAUUAAGGCUUCAAUUAAAUGAGAAAAAUAUAAUUCUACCAUAAAAAAAAUUCCAAUUAGAACUUCUUAAUGAGACCCCAAACUAUAGUUGGUAUGCAUCAUUUUCUAACGACUGUAGAUUUCCAAAAAAAAAAAUGUUAAUCAUAUUUGGAGAAACAAUUUGCAUAUAGAGCAUAAAAUGAGUUUUUGUAGGUAAAAUCAAGAGCAUUUCUUCCUGCUUGAUUGCGUCUAACAUGGCUUGGUAAUGACAUCACUAAACAGGAUCAUGACUCUUUUAACAGGUGAGGCGAUAGGGAAACCUGUCAAUCAUAAACAUCUCUAUGCAUGGGAUGAGAAAUUGAGCCUUACUCCCUCCCUUUUUUUAUAUAUUUAUAAAUAAGGAAUAUUCAUUAAUAAGAUUGUUGGAAAUCAUUCAACACGAUUUGUUUAACAAAAUCCGAAGGAAUGUUCCAUAUAGAGUCUCUACAGUUGGCAGAUUUUGGAAAAGAAGCUAGAUUGCGUGCUAACUUGUUUGCCUCCCUUGGAAUCCAACUUACAUUGACACAAUUUUGGUCUAGCAAAGACAUAUGAAUAUCAUCAAUUAUAAUGCCUAUAUCAGAAAAAAAACAUCGCCUCUAUCUCUAAGAAGCCGGAUAAUCGAUGAUGCAUCCCCUUCACGUAUGAAAUUCAGAAUCAUCAAAAUUUUGGCCAAGGAAACUGCUUCUCGAUCUGACAGCAAAUGCUUCUGCCAUUUCAGCACUCACAAAUCUAGAGAAUUGCUUUGCCAAAUCAGCAAGAAAAUUACCAUUAUGAUCUCGGAUUGCCACUCCAAUACCAAAGAUAUUGUUAUGCUAAUAGGGAGAAACACCUCGAGAAAGUCUACCAAAAAAUUCAAUAUGUAAGUCAGGAACCCAACUUUGACCCAAAAGCUUAAACUACUAGAUCUUGAACUCUUAAUUACAUAUUAACUGCUAUUUUUCCAUCUCUCGGACCAAUAUGAAAUAUGACCCUUUACUCAUUAAUCUAAUAAAUCUCUCCCUUUACUCAUAAAUCUAACAAACCUCCCCCUUCAUGAGUAAUCCCUACAUUAAACCCAAAUUUACAAGCUCUUCUUCGAACCCACUUUAAUACUCAACACAAGUCCACCUUAUCAUCUAAGAUCACCUCUUCUUCCAAACAUAGACCCACUCUUCUUUAACAUCCAAACUACAUUCUAGACCCCUGCUAACCUUUGACUCCUUGGUCUAACACUAGUCAAACUCCUUAGUACUUUGACACUUUGGUCCACUACCAAGAAGAAAAUUUUCACCGGUCCAAUUUCGAGAAGAAUCUACUUGUCCAUGAGUAACCCAGUCUCGCAACCUUAAACUAUUAGGUCUUGGACCUUUACUUACAUGUUAACCGUUUUUUCUCUAUCUCUCAAACCAAUGAGAGACAUGACCCUUUACUCAUGAACCUAACAUAUGCGACGAAAUAUUGCCGUCAAAAUUGAUCUUAUAAUGAUGCACUGGAGGAGCUAACUAAUGAAUAUCAUGAUUUUGGGGCUGUAUAGAACAAGAGACAUUGUUAGCUUUCUUGAAAUCUGCAAGAUAGUUGAGAGCAAAGCUUGUCAUUGUCAAAGGGUCAGGAGACUUUCUUUCAAAUAGAAUGGAAUUCCCGUUGUAACAAAUCUCAUAACCUUAUUCCCUCUUCAUUAGCAACGAGAAAUGGAGAUCUCUAAGAAGCAGAAUGGGAUCAAAUUAGGUUUAAUGACCAGAAAAGGUACCUUAUCUUCAUGUGGACCAAAGUGCCAAGAAAAUAUUCAGUUCACAUGACAUAUAGUAAUGUACCAGCAGUCUAUACAUCGUAUCAUUUUUUAUCACUUUGCAGCUUAUCUUGUCUAUAUAACAUCAUGUAUGUCGACAGUAUGUUAGAACAAUAGCUUAAAAUUAAUCCUCGAGCAAUCAUUUUUUGUUUAAUCACUUAGAUGAAGUAAUUCAACAAAAAAUUUGCUCUUCCCUUCCCCCUCGUGCAAAAAACAUGCCAUCAUGAAAGGGAGUUUGUAAAACAAAAUGUAUGCAUUGCUAACUAGAAUUUUUUACCUUACCAUUUCACUUUUCUCUCCUGUAUUUUCUCUAUGAUUCACUUUCUUCUUCUUUUGCCAAUUCAAUGUCUCUGAUCUUGCUAACACAUAGCAGUCAAAAUUCAGGGUUCAUCUUCCCCAGUCGUAAGAGAAAAAAGAAAAACCCCAAAAAGGAAACACUGAGCACAAUUAGCGCUUGUUCUUUUGUAUCUAUAAUGGUUGGUUACUUGUUUUUUCUGCAGCAAGCCGACAAGCACAGACAUUAACCUAACUGCCUUCUUGUGAUAUGCUAAAAUAAUCCAAGCUCUAAUUUGUAAUUGGAUUUUUCGUGACGUCAAGUAUUGAUAGUAGUUGCAGGAAAAGGCUGGAAAUAAUUGCAUUACAUAUUUCCAUAAUGAAGUAUUAAAUUCCGAAAUAUCUAGGGACCCAUUACCAGUAUUUAGAUUCCAACUAGAACAAUAAUCGGACUUGCAACCAAAAUAUGGCAUUAAUGAUUUGACAUAUAAUAGAGCUUAGUCUUACGGAAUUAUGCGUGCAUAUGUCAUGUCCAGAUUCCUUUGAUUUGACCAGAAAUAUAUAGUGCACAUCUAAUUUUUUAGAUCCUGAGAAAGUGAUCAGGAUUUCUAUAGCAACCUGGUUUGCAAGUGUUUAUGCCAUUAAUUUCUUUAGGCAAAUGACAGAAGGUGGAGCGUCAGAGAAUUAUUUUAGAGCGUGAAUGUCAUUUGUCUUUCUUUAUGUUAGCACAAAAUCUUAAUUAUUUUUUUAUAACUUGCAAAAUACAUGCCAAAUAAAGGCCAAAAUAGCUCCAGUUUCUUUCCUGCAUAAAGGUUCUUUGAUAAUGUAAUUACAGUGUUAAAGUAUGUUUGUGAAUAUCUAUUUCUCCAAAAUGCAAUUGACAUAUUCAUAUUAAUAAUUAAAUGGUAUUUAAAAGAUAAUUAUUACAUUUCAAGUCUUUAUUUGAUUAAGUUCAAUUUUAGAUCCCAAAUGAAAAGAAAAAUGGUAAAAGAAAUACUUGUAGAGAAGUUAGACAUUUAUGGUUAUUUUGGUUUCCUAUUUUUACUUGGAUAACCAUUAAAGUAUCUCUAUAUUUGGAAUAGCAUGACGUUGAGUAUCAAUAUUACCUUUUAGAAGUUGUCUAAAGAUGAUUAGGUCUGAUUAGUUGGAUAACAAGAACAAUCCUAAUGAAGGACACCUUAAAAUCUAAUGUUUCUUUAUUUCAUAUAUGGCAUAAAAAAAAUUAAUUUUUCCUACACUGACAAUGUAUACACUGUUAGCGUUGGAUGAAUGAUAAAUAUAUAAAAUUUGAAUUUAAAAUUCAAUUUUUACACAUAUAUCAUGGAUCCAACAGUGAUAGUGUAUAUACUGUCAGUGCAUACAAAAUUUACUCUAAAAAAAAUAUAUUGAUAAUGUACGAUUUCUUUUCCAAAGUUCUUAUAAGCAUUGAAAAAAAUAAAAGAUAGAAGCAUACGUAUAAACUUAAGAUCUCUUGUAAUUAUUUCUACUCUAACCAAAAUAAUUAAAUUUCUUCUAUUGUAUUAAAAGGUUGAACUAAAAGUGCUACAACUUUCUGUGAUUUCUCUCCACAUGCAUGGCUGAUUAUGUUCCAAGGAUAAGAUUUUGAAGUUGGAAUGAAGCUUUCUUCAAUGCAUAUAUACCAUUGUCUUUUUGUAGUUGGGAAGCUUUCAUUAAAUUGAAAAUUUUCGUUUUGCAGCAUAUCCACAUACUGGUCUUGUGGCCAGAAAACAAAGUAUACAGCAGAGCAUAUCAGUUUUUAUCAGAAUAGCCAAAUUUCACCUUACUCCAACAGCCAUGGUUCUGGGGCCUGAACAGAUCACCAUCGGAUGAAGGUAGGAGAUGCAUUCAGUGUUUUAGGUAGACGAAUCUUGAUGCCCAUGUGAUAAGGUUUAUCUCAUUUUCUUAUCAUCUCUUUUUUUUUUUUUUUUAAUAAUCUCUUGAAAUGGGUGGUAAUUGGAGAAAUCAUUCUAAGCUCUUGCAUGUAUUGGAUUAUUUUCGCCAGUACAUUAUAUUGUGGUUUUUUUUUCUGGAAAUGACGUAUGUUGUGGGUUUUUUUUAAUCUGAACCAUUUUUUUACCAUGCAUAAAUCACACUUAAAAUUAAAAAAAAAACCACCAUAAAUAAUUUUUUCCUAAAUAAUCAUGAAUUCAAAUGGAUAUAUUCAAGAUUAAUCACGAUAGAAAUGGAAAUUAUACUUAAACAAGUUCCAUUUUAGUGUAUCAAAUCCUCUAAUUUGCUGCGAGAUUGUUCGAAAAUACAAAAAACAAAUUAUAGAAAAAAAAAAAAAAAAAAAAGCUUUGAGGGUUUUAAUUGGUUGGAACACCAUUGACCUUUUUGCGUAACUCUUUUCUUUGGUGCCCCUAAAGAAAAUGUUAGACAACUAAUGGACAACUUGGGGCCGUCACUUCUCAUUCGUUUCAGUUUGAGCUGCCAAUUUCUUUUUCCUCUAAAAGUUUUUUUUUUUUCUUUAACUGAAUUUCCAUAAGAAUCUAAAUGCAUUUAAUGUUCGAGGAAACAACUCAAAAAAUUAUUUGUUUUUUUCUUUCUUAGUCCAUUGAGAUGACCGGGAAGCUCGAUCGCAAAACAUUUGUUCCAUAUGCCAGUGAAGCACUUACUCCCUCCGUCCCACUUUGAUAGUUCCGUAUUCCUUUUUCAUCUGUCUCAAAUUGUAGUCCACCUUCCAAUUGAAGAAUGUAGUUGUAUUUUAAUUUUCCUAAAAUACCCUUAUUCAAUGUAAGUAGUUGUUACUAUAAACCUACCCCAUUUAAUGAGAGUUGAUUCUUUUUUUACCAUUAAUUCAAGUUCCCAUAAAGUUGUACCAUAUUUAAUGUGAGGGUAUUUUAGGAAAAUAGCAAUCUAAAUUUACUUUUCCAACAAAAUUAACUACUUUUUCUUAAACUGUGUGAAAAAAGAAACGAAACUAUCAAAGUGGGACGGAGGGAGUAAUAAUUAUUCAGGGUUGUGGAGCGCAGAAGGAGUUAGACUGCCUUAACUUUAAAAACUAGCAAUUGGAGAAUUAUAGAAUGGUAGUACUCAAAAUUGUUUAUUUACUCCGUAUCCUUUUUUUGAAAAACAUCUAUAUAUGUCCAUUCAAUUGUUUACUCUUUCUUUAAAAAAGAAACCUUUAAUCUAGAAUAUGCUAGGAAUAAUUAUUUUUUUCCUUUUUUUUUUGUAAGUUUCAUUUCAAAGAGAAAGAUAAAAAGGUGAGAAAUUAUAUCCUCGUCAGGCCAGGGUACAAAUACUCUAAGAAUUUGAUACAUGACUAAACAUGGAGAAAAAUCUAAGAAUACGAAAAAAAAAAAUCUACACCCUUUCAACCGAGAACAUGGAGAAAAAUUUGAAACAUAAAAUUGAAGCCUGAAAAUGUUUAGUAUCCUAUGUUUACUAUAAAGAACCAAAAAGGAAUAAAUAUUAACCCCCCCCCCAAAAAAAAAAAAAAAAAAAAACACAAGGACUUGUCCACGAUGGUCACCUCCCAAAAUUUCAGCUAUGCUUUAUCUUAACAUGCUUGCUUCACAUUAUUUUAGCUUGCUUUUUGUUUUACUUGACCUAAAGUCUAAGUGCUAUCUUUUCGAAGAAAGAAGAAAUGAAGAUUAUAUCAGUCAUUAUCACAAUGAUGUUACUCUCCCCAUUCCAGUCACAUCUGAGUGUAGGGUAAUGCUGCAAUUCAUGGUCGGUAAGCAAUCCUAAAUAUUUGAUAAUUUUGUCACAUCAGCCAUGCCACUGUAAAAAAAAAAAAAAUUAUAUCCAAUCUCAUGAACCAAAAAGAUUUUCUUUCACAGGUUGGUGGCAGUGGCACCAUAAUAUUGAACCAAAUAUAAUGAUCAAGCCAUCUUUAUCAGCAGAGAUUCUUAGAACCCAUAAUUCAGAAAACAGGAAUUUUCUUAAUUUCCUGCUUGGCAGUAUUCCGCUUGUAAUGCGAGAACUUCAUAGUUCAUUCUUGACUUUACCACAAAGUUUUCAUAUCAUUUUUUUUUUUUUUUUGCAUGUGACCUACGACUAAAGUUUGUUGAAUUUCUUUCAUUGAUCAAGGUGUAUGUAAUCCACAGAUAUGUAUAAUUGUACGCAAGUUUUAAGCAUUAAAUAGUAGUGUACGUAGCAUUCAAAAAAAAAAAAAUAGUAGUGUACAUACAACUAUUUAAUUUUUCUUAAAAAAAAUGACUGAAAAGAGGAUUUCAACUUUUCUUGAGGGUCCUAUAUAUAGUACUCAAUGAUAUUGCUAAUCGGGAUUCAAGCAUGAAAUGACCCCCGAAAAAAAAAAUUUAUCGAGCGUUCACUUUAACCAAUCUUUUUCUUUUCUUUUUCAUGCUUUUACUGAUAAAGUUAGAGUAAUAUGUAAGAGCUGAUUUCAGAUCAUGAACUGCUCCUCGCUUUUGUCUUGAUUUGUUUCGAGUCCAACAGUAUAGCCUUUUAAAAAUGUCUUACUUGGAAGUGCGGUCAAGGUUAGUUAAAUACUCCAUCAUAGUGCUUUUUUUCUUUGUCAAAAGUUGGUAUUAUCAUUAAUAUUUUCAGAAAUCAAUGAUAAUACAAUCGCACUCUCGAUUUUGAUAGAUUAUAAGGGUCAUUUUGGUUGGAAUCAACAAUUUCAUAAACAAUUGUUGAGCUUAAAACCAAGCCAAAAAGAAACAUUCCCACCUGCCCAUCCGUGGUUUUUUCUUGUACUUGUACAGCUUGUGGAUGGUGCAGGUUUAACUCGUACAGGUCUUACCUAUUCGCACCGUCAGCAAGGCAGCGGCUCCUGUUGGUGUAUGAUGGCUAAGAUGGGCGCUGAAGAUUCCACUUGAUCUCCGCAGCCUCUCUUGGUGGGGCGCAAAGGCCAAGGGGGGUCGGCCCCCGACGAUCAAGUAAAAUAUACAGGUCCCGCAUGCAUGAUAACCUGGAACGAGGAAUAUUAUUAUUAUGGAGGCCGAAUUACACGACUCCUCCCUCAUGCACCUGAAGGUGAGCAGGCCACAUGUGCGGUUGCCAGUUGCGUACAUUCUUUUCUAAACGUCAUGAUGUAGUUGAAAUUAGUGAUGCAUGAAUAGAAUUUGGUUUAGCCAAGCAAAUGAUUAAUUUGAAAGAUACACUACUCUUUCUUCUUAAAAUCAAGAGCUGUGACGCGUAUGGAGUUUUAAUUAUUACGCAAUGAUUUAUUAACUAGUAUUUGUUCUUUGUAUUUGUUGUAUGCGUAUAGCUUAUGUACGUAAUUUCUGUCAUAUAUUGGUGUAGAUUGAUUUCAUUAUUAACGAAAUUUGAUGACGAAUAUGAUUUUGGUUGGUUUAAUUAUCUGUCAAUCAUGCUUACAUGACGUUUUUCGUAAAUGCUUUGUAUUGGUGGUUAAGAGUUUAGUGCCCGUAAUCAAUCGUUUUCCAAAACGAUUAAUUUAUUUGUUAAUUGCAUAAACUAAACGAAACCAACUACAUGUUUCUUGUAGAUCUAAAUGAAUGAAUGAACGCAAUAUGGAUGUUCGGGUAUAUGUUCCAUAAAUUAAGAAGAGCAAUCUUUUAGGUGUAACCUCAAAUUUUGUUCAUAAAACACACAUUUUUCAUUCUUCACUAACAAGUUUUGAUGUUUUUAUUUUCAUUUAUAUCAAGUGUUAGUUGCGAAAAAUAUUCAUGUACAUAAUUAUUUUAAACAUUGGAUUAGAAACUUUUUAUUAUGAUUUUAUUGUGGAGGUAGUUUUUAUUCUCUACUUUUGAGAUAUUAAUAUUUUGAAGGCCAUAGGAGAGUUGUAAUGAUGAUUCUAGGUUAAAUUAGCUUAUAUUGAAAAGGUAUUUGAGCAUUAAUAUUUAAUUUGGGAGUAUAAAGUUGGUUGUCAAUGGGCUUUUGUGUGUUUUCUUUUAUCGUGACAAGUAUUGAUACUGUAUAUGCAAUUUGGGAUCUUUUAAAUGACUACUUGACUUUAGAACUUAUGUUCGGAUAGUUAUUAGGGAUUUGGCUUGUUAAUUUAUGUAAAGUGUGGAAGAAAAUGAUUGGGUAUACUAUAUUUUUCUUUCUUAAUUUUGUACAAAGGGACCACUUUUUGAAAGAAAAUCUAAGUUUUUGGAUCUAUAUUGUUACUAAACAGUAAAAGUAGGGGAGGUAUAUAUAAUUUUUAAAACUUAAGGGGAGUUCUUUGUAAUUGUGAGAAACCUUAGGGGAGGUUUGUAAAAUUGUCCCUUUAUUUUUCUACCUUAGCAAGAGAGGCUAUCGGGAACUGAAUUCUUCAUCUUUUUAACAUCAGACCAUCCAAUUAGCCAGAUCAAGAACACCAAGGCGCUUCCGGUGAUAUCUUAAUUAUAAUAAGGUUAAAAAACUUACCUUUGACAUCUUGAACCUGAAUAUACAUCUCAUAGAGAUCACAACUCGAGCUGCCCACUAUGCUAAAGUUGAUGAGAAAUAAACACCCAAUUAACCACUACAAAUUAAGCACCACAGACAAUUAUCAACGUGGUUAAAUCCAAAUUAACAGUAAUCAGGUGGAUUAAGAAUUGAAAUUAGCAGAAAACCGCAUGUUGCUUGGGGUGGCAAAAUCUGUCUUUUUCUGUGGCCGCCAAACGAAAAUAAAUGAGGUGGGCUGCUGUCUUUGACCGACAUCACCUUCCUCGUCCCACCCCAAAAAACAUUCCACAGCCGCGAAUUCUUAUUUGCUUGAUUUCUCGGCAGUUUCUGCGUUCCAAGGACAUGCAAGGAAUAUACAAUUCACUAAACCUAAAAGAUAGAGUGUCCUUUUAUACUACUAAUAAUUAAAAAAAUUGUAAUAAUUGGCGACAGAUUCAUUGAUCUUAUCAUCUUCGAUUUGUAGAUACGGAAGAAUAUCAAUAGAAAACUAAUUCCGUCAGUGAUGAUCCCAUGCGAUUCUCCCAAGUGGGGCUUAUCAUGUAUGGUGGUGAAAGCUUAUUUACCGUAUCAGGUGCCCGUAAUAGGGGGUGUCAAUUAAACUUUCUGUGCCGGAUUUUAUUAGGCAAAGCAAGCUUUUUUUUGGGGAUGAAUUAGUCGAGCUCGAGUUGGCUCGAUCUCAUUGACAGUUCUAUCUAUAAUGCAUGAAUCUCAAAUUAACGAAAGUAAAUCGAGAUAAACCAUGCAAAUUUUUUUUUUUUGUUCGGUGUAAAUCUGAUCCAAUCAAUUAUGCAUCAAGAAAAAUAUGUAUGAAGCUCAAAAUCUCCACGAUGAAAGAAUUGAUGUGAUCUGAUUUAGACCUGAAUCCUGUUUGGAACUGCUCCAACUUAGCAGAAGCCAAUUUGGAAUCUUUGGCCGGUCAGUCUAGUUGUUGAAUACACAGUUGAAAACAUGAACACUACCUCCCUCUGAAGCUUCCCCCAAACGUCGCGCUGAGGACAUUAUCAAAAUAAAAAACCAUUAAUGGAGCAAAAGAACAAAAGGGUUCACUACAAAGGUAACAAGGACUUGUAGGUAUCUUUUAUUUUUAUGUGUGAAAACAUUUUCUUCAAUGUAAAAAGAAAUGUUAACCACCUUGUAGCGUAGUUCGAACUUACUAAUUUAUUGAAGCUUUAGAUAAAACGGCACCAGAAAGUUCAGAAACUGGUCGGGAAUAUAUAUAUAUAUAUAUAUAUAUACAUAUAUAUAUAUAUAUAUAUAUAUAUGUAACCCCUAGCUUGCUGAGCUCAUUCACAUAUGCACUGCCAAAAUCAAUCAUUCGAAAAAGAUGAUUCAUUGGAUACAUAUAUUGAAAUCGCACGAUGCAACCACUAUUGUAAUUGGAGUUUUACUUAUGCACUUUCAAAAAAAAAAAAAAAAAAAAAAAAAGUGAUUCCUAAAGUGGUCAAAAAUUUUGUUGUUCCCGAAGCUGCGAGCAUCUCCAAUGGGGGUGUAAUGGCUCCCCAUUACACCCCUCCAUGACACGGCUCCCCAUUGGAGCCGUGUCAUGCGGAUUACACGCAUCAUACAUAUGAUGCGUGUAAUCCGUUGAUUCUUCUUCCCAUGGCAACGGUAAUAUAACAUUCCAACGGCACAAUUUUCUUCCGAUUGAAUUUAACAUUCCAACGGCAUUAUUUUUUAGAAUUCUAUAUAAAUACACAACACUUUUUACUAAAACAUAUCCCAAUAUUCUACUCUAUUAUUUCUUUUAUUCUCUCACACACUUCUACUCUCUCACUCAUUUAAUUCAUUUUUUGUGAUUAUGGAUGAAAAUUGGAGUAGUUUUACAAAUAUGUUAAAUGCUCCAAAUAUAGAAAAUUCAUCAUCCUCACAAAAUCAAAACCCCCAAAUUAUUUGUUUAAUUUCCUACAUAAUUAUUUUUUAAAAAAUAACAAUAUAUUAUUUUUGAAACAUAGAAAAAAAUAUAUUAUUCAAACUUAAAAAUUAAUAAUAUCAUUUUUAGAAAAUAAAAAAAUUCAAAAUGUACAAAAUUUAACGAAAGUUAGUACUUUAUUUUUUAAAAAUAACAAAAUUAGUUUUAAAAAUUACUUUAUUUAUUUAUGGGAUAUGAGUUAAGCAUUAUUAAAAUAAAUAUUUGAUUAAUUGUGGACCCAUGCUAUUACACCUUGUGGAGUGUAAUCCAUUGUGAGUGAAAGUGUAAUAAAAGAGGAGAAAGUGGAAUGCUGACGUGGCAUGUGGAUUACACUCCAUAAAGUGUAAUUCAUUGUGGAUGCUCGGCGGACUAAGUUCUAUUAAUCAACUUCUCGAGACAAUUCCUAAUUUCUGUCCCAUUUUUUGAACCAUUUUGCUUUGCUUUCAUUUACACACAAGCUGCAUAUUUAAGCUUUCAGUUUUGUCGAAGCCAUAGAAUAAAUGCUAGAAUCACCGUUCAUACUUAAGGGCUGUGAUUAAUAUCUAUGUAUCUAAGAAUUAUAUUUUGUCUUUUCAUUUCAAAGUGGACCUUUCUAAUUGACCCAGUGGUAAGUAUUUAGGAACAUUAAAAGUAUGCAUAAAUUUAAGAGAGAAGUAAAGACAUGUGUAGCCGCUGGUUGUGAAGUCAAGUUACUUUUACAAGUGCACUAAUUACGAAUAUCUAAAUUAUAGUUAAAAAUCAGUAAAAGAUGCCAGAUCAAAGGGGAAAAAUUGGCAUUUAAGAUUUACAAACUGACAGCUCUAAUACUAAUAAAAUACUGACGGAUCAAGGGGAAAGAUGGCAGAUCAAGGAGAGAAAAAAAACGUUUAAGAUUUACAAAGUGACAGCUCUAAGACUAAUAAAAUAUUUUGCAAUACCUUAAUUUGAGUUUCUUAACAUAAGCUUUAAUAUAUUCCAACCUGAAAUGUCGAGUAUGCUUUAAUUAUUGAUCCAUAUUUUCUAUCACCUUUUCUUUUUUUUCGAUAUUUAUACAAUAAAUACAAAAGUGAGACAACUUCAUUUUGAUGAGAUUAUUUGAAAAUUAUUGUUUUAAUAUUUACAAAAUACGUUUUUCAAUCAUAUUUUUAUUUCACAUAAUUGACAUUAAAAUUUAAAAUAUCAAAACUUCUUUUUCCAAAUAACUAUCGAUCCAAACAAAACCCUCGACACGUCUAAGAAACCAUUGGCUUAUCAAAGGUUGUCCCAUGAGAAGUCCAAGUGGCCUAGGUCAAGGUUACCCCGUGAGAAGUCUAAAUGGCCUAGGUAAUUUUAUUAAAUAAGGGAUGUAAAUGUAAAUGUGUAUUAAAUAAUAUAUUAGAUUAAAGUAAAAGAUAAACAUUUUUUACAUGUGAAUAUUUAUUUGUUGAUUUAGACAAUUUCCAUAUAAUCUUUUUUAAAAUUUUAAAAUUCAUAUUUUUCAUAUGUGAUACACAUCCGAACACGUUAAAAUAAAAAUAUCUUUAUGCUGAUAAUUGAUAAAAGAUUUAACCUAAAUUAAAUAUAUUAAUAAUUACUUAAUAAAAUCCCUUCAAAAAUUAUACUAUAUAUACACACACACACAGUUUCAUUGGACUAUUAAGGGUUCCUAAAAGAGAAUCUUGCUUUCAGUUACAACAAUAAGUCCAAAAGAUUUACUUUAGCGAAUUGUUGUUGUUGCAGUUUUUUCUUCAUAGAAAAAAUUAUUUCAUUCAAUCAAUUUGUACUAUAGAAAUACAUCAAAUCGAACAUGACACAGAUAUAUAUAGAUACAAAUUUGAAAUCAAUAGAUACAACAAAUCUAAAAAAUCAAUACAAAUAAAAAAUGUGGUUAUUGUAAACCCAUGCAUCUGUGCGUGUCUUCUAACAAUUAGAUCUGAUUAAAAACUGGUUCAAACCGAAAAAGAAGUUUGGAUUUGACAAUAAUAAAUGGAGAAAUUAGAUCUAUAAAAUCUCAAAUUUCAUAGGAAAAGAUAAAAACUGAAACAAAACUCUUACAAAGAAAAACUCUAGGAGCGAAUAAGAUUCUGAAUAGAAUAAUUUAAGAGAAAGGAAACUGAAACUAGGAGAUUUUACGCCAGAAGAAUCUCUCUUUAAGAUCUCUCCUUAAAAAAACCCUAAAAGAGAAAUUAUUUCUAUAAAAUAAGCUAAAAAAAAACUCGAGAGAGGGCUUUCUUCCAUGGAGAUCCACCAAAUGAGUUGUUUCAACUCGGAAGUUUCAUCAUCUUAGCGAUGUUUUGAAAAUAGGACCGAACUGCCUGAUUUGACCGAUUGGAUUGUGAACCAGCUCCGAUUCACUAUUAGUGUUGACUUAUCAUAAAAAUCGAUCAAAAAUCGCAAAAAAUCAGCUAGAUCGUUCAAUCUGGGUUGACCCAUGAACUGUAAUUUUUCAUUUUUUUUCCAUCUUUUAUAUUAAAUGAACCUAAACAUAAAACUCAUCUAUCGAAUCUUUUGUUCUCUACCCUAAUUUCUAAAAGAAUAACCAAACUCUCUCUAUUGCUCACCCUUAAACUCAAAGAUCGUCGUGUUCUUUUGUAGUUUUAUUAGAUUUAGUUUAAUUUUAGAAGUUCCAAUGCAUUUUGUUUAAUUUGAGAAUAUGGUUGUGAUUCAUGUAGGAUUUAAGAUUUUUUUCCAAAUAGGUACAAUUGAGAUGAAUAUAUUUGUUUGAAUUCACAAUUUUAAAUAUUUAUUUGUGUUUAAAAAUAUUUAACAUUUUAUCCGAUGAUAUCUUAACUUGGUCCAUGAGAUAUCUUAUUAGAUAAGCGUGUCAUCGAACUAGAGUUGAACCUGUUUGAAUUUCGAUUCGAUCACUCUGCCGGUUCAAUUAGCGGUCUGAGUUUUAAAACAUUUUAUUAUAUCUCAGCAGACAAAAAUUUCAUGGUGUCAAUGUCUUCAAUCUCCAUUUGACAGCCGACGUUUUGCGGCCUAUCAUUCGAUGAAUCAAAUGGCGCUUGUGCAUUCACAAAAAUCACCAGCCCACCGUCUCCUCUUCUGCAAUAUCAGGGGCCACACAACGUCAUUGUGAGCAGUAAGUGCCGUGCGGUUAUAAUCACGUAGUAUGCUUUAAUUUCACCACAGUUCUCUAAGCCUACAUAUUCUCACCGUCCAGCGCUGUCUUACGUGGAACUCUCAUUAUGCUUGCUGACGUCCUUUUCUACGAAUAAAUAAACCUCAAUAAUUGACUUCCUAAUUCAACCUUUGCCAUCAUACAUUCCCAAAAUUGCACAAACUUUAGACGUUGACGAUGUUGCCCCCACCUCAAUUCCACCCACAUCGUAGACGUGGCACUUCUGUAAUUGUCAUCUUUUUCUUGGACUACAAUUGCAUCAUAUUAUAUGUAUUACUAAUAUAAUAAUUUUUUUUUCCUAGUCUGUGCCUUAAUAUAAAUAUUAUGUACAUAUAAAACAUGGUGACAAGAAGGACAAAAAAGUAAUUUCGAUAAGACAAGAAGUUGGCUUCAAAGUGUUUUACUCGCUUACCUCUGCUCGUUUACCGCAUGUGCCGCACACGUGUCUCGCCCAAUCAUUCACAUAAUCCAAACGCUGCAGUUAGUACCCAUCGACGAUCUUGACACGUAAUCCUUCCAUCAAGCUGAUCACAGCCGUCAGAUUGAAGAGCCGGAGGAUAAUCUAAAUUGACCAUUUUACCCUACAUCGACUAUAUAUUUGCCCACCUGAGGAACUAGGCAAGAAAUUAGAGAAGAGAGGCGACUAGAGAGCUCUCGUUGGUUUAGCUCGCCAACCCUAGUGAAAGCCCUUAUUUCUUUGCCUUCCUCUACUGCCCCAGUUGCGAAUGCAGAGAGAUGAGAAUUGCUUCGCUUCUUAACCCCCAUUUGGGCGGCGGAAGGUCCCAAAAACAACCCACCGGCGGCAGGAAUUGCCACCGGAAACACGUCGAAGACGGGUGAAUCCUUUCACCCCUUCUCAGCCAGCUUAAAUAUUUUCCCAGUCCAACAAAACAGUGCAGUUCUUCAGCCUGUCAACCAAAACAAACCCUUUAGUUUUCUUGUACUAUUUUCAUUUUUUUUCAGCAAAAUCAUUCUACAGAGCGCCGAUGACAAUGGGGUCCGAGGAGAAAUGCGGAGUACUUCGCGGAAAGUACGAGCUGGGGCGGCUUUUGGGCCACGGGACUUUUGCUAAGGUGUAUAUGUCGCGGAACCUGCAAACGGGCAAGAGCGUGGCCAUGAAAGUUGUCGGGAAAGAGAAGGUG